rnacentral:lncRNA from 1 species
CACCUCCUCCAUAUGCAAGAAAAUUUUGUUGCGACGACUCCGAAUAUUAUCUUGAAUUUCCUGCAGCUCCAUUGUGGCAAAAUCCUGCACUGUUUCAGGCCCCUCUAUGAUACAAAAUAUGCACCAUUAAGCAUGUAAAAACUAAAAAUUACAGGCUACAAAGCAAUUUCCGUAUAGUUGUUGGGUUAAAUAACAUCAACAGCAAAUAAAUCACAUGGGUUUUUCACAUAAAGUUACAAACUUUCAAGGACUAAUAAGCUGUCUGCAAUCUCAUAAAUUUCACAGUGCAAAGUAACAAUCCAAAGCUUGGAACUUUAAAUUUCCACCUUCUGUUAAUUUCCUAGAGAGAAGAGAGGGGGGGGGGGAAGUACCCGGCGGGGUUUGUAUCAGCGGCGGGAUUGGGAUCAGAAUCGACAGACGGAGCGAAAGAGGAGGAGUCGGGUUCCGAAGCCAUGGCAAGGGAUCGCCAUCUGGAGCUGCUUGUUGAUAUGGGGCUUCUGGGUAGCUGAAUUUGGAGCAGCCGGCGCUAUGCAGUUUGUACGGACGGCACCGAUUUACGGGGAAAGAAACGGCCAAAAGUCUGCCGGAGCAGAGCAUCUCUGUCUCUCUCUCUCAAACCAGAAGGUAGAGCUUUCUGUUUCUCUUGAGGUUUCUUUCACUGGUAAAUUCCAGAGAAGCAGAGAAGAAGGCUCUCUGAGAAAUGGCGAUGGUGCAAGUGGAGACAAAACAAAUGUAAAUCUUGAAGCACUGAACAUCUGCAGAACACUUGUCAACUGCCGAACUCUAGGAUUAGGAGAGAGACAGUGAGCGACCGGCCAAAAAAACAAAAUGGAGGUAAGUGGCUAAUUCUUCUCUCAUUUUUUUUUCCUUGUUUUUCAGGAAAAAAAAAAGACAGAGAGAGAUUUUUAGUGGACCUGGCGUCGAUAGAUUCGAGUAGUAUGUCACAUUUAAAAUUUGAGCAAAUUGUAACUAUAGUACUUUAAUUUUAAUUUAAUUGGAGGAAUGAUCCAUCAACUAAAAAUUCAUUACCAUUGAUCAUUUAAUUAAAAAUCUAUUACCGUUGGUCCCUCAACUUUAAUUCAACUAGAGAAAUGAUCUUUUAACUUUAACCCAAUUGUAGCAAUGGUCAUUCCAACAUAACUCGUUUUGACAAAAUUUUUGAUGUAGUUGACGAAAAUGACCAUAAUUACAUACUUUGAUAAGUUGAGGAACUCUAAUUGUAUAAAUGGUCAUUUCAACAUAAUUUAUUUUGACAAAAUUUUGACGAAAUUGAUGAAAAGGACUAUAGCUACACAUUUUGAUAAGUUGAGGGACCAAUAGUAAUUGAUUUUUAGUUGAAGGACCAUUGCUAUAAUUUACUCUUAAAAUUUUAUUAUAGGAUGACAAACGUCGAAAAUAAAAGGUUAAGUGCAGUGAUCGUCUUUGAGGUUUUGGAGGUUCUGUGUGGUCAAAUACUUUGUUCUCCCUAAAAUUGCCACUAUUGAGACGAUUACUUGCCUCAUACAAACAUUUUACGUUUACUUAGAACUAGAAAGACAAGAAUUGCAUGUGAUGAAUUGCUCUAAUCAUGGGGUUUAUUUUUUAACUCAUUGUGUUUUAAAUUUAAACUUUUUUCCCUCUCUUUGAUAUACUUAUAAAGUGUGAAAUUAAUAAUUUUAAUGAGUGACUCAAUUAACUAUUUUCAUUUCUUACGCGUUCAAAAUUACACAAAUUUGUUGCAUACAAUUUUUUAAAAAGAAAAUUUCUAUUAUUAUGGAGAAAGUUCGGUACAUUAUGGAAGGAGGAAUUUUGAACUCGAAACACAUGGUAGAAACCUAACGCCCAUCCACUAGGAUAUUAGAAACCCAACGCAUAUCCACUAGGAUAUUAGACCACCAGAGCUGGUCCUGAGAUAUUUGGUGCCUGUGUCAAAAUGUGUCUUUUUCCAGUACAACAACAGAAAUUGAAAAGAAAUAUUUAAAGAGGGCUGGAACCCAGUCGAAGCUGGGGGCUAGGCCCUCACACCCAUGUUAUAUUACUCGAAAAAAAAAAAAUAUACAACGGGAUGGAACAUAGUACCGAAACCCCGACAAUAAAAAACAAAAUCACAUACAACCACUCCAAGCAGUCAACAUGACCAUUACAUAUUGAAUCCAAAAGGUUGACGCCUAUUCUCUGCAUAUAAUGCACAGAAGAUAACAAGAUUACUAAUAUAAAAAGAACAUCUGAAAAGAUGAACAUAUGCAUCAACAUAUAAGUUAACCAUUCUAAGUGCAAAUUUAGAAGUGAUAUGCUCCAAGUAUAAUAUUGGACAGAAGAGCGGCAGCAUCAACCAGUUCUGCUAUAUCCGGCUGGAUGAGAGCUGCUAAAGACAUGAUUGUUCCCUAAUAACAUGAAUAAAUUGAGUAAACACCAAAAGUAGCAGCAAGGGAAGGAGAUGUUAAGAAGAUGAAGAGGUGUAACACCUGUGAAUGUCCAACAACAAAGACUUUGGUGCUUGUUGAAUAUAUGCAGCGCAUCAUUUCUGAUAGAUCAAAUCGAGCCAAUUCCUGCCAACUCCAAUCCUAAAAAUCCUACAGUAAAGCAUAAAUCUUAUUCUCUUCUGAUAAAGAUGUGUGUCCCUGUCUCCAACGUGUUUGACGCACAUUCCCUACCCAUACAUCGAAACCUUCAUCUGCAAGGACAAAUCCCAGUUAUUCUUCUGGAGAAUUUAAGAACCAUGAAUCACCUGGUCAAGAUCAAGAAAAGCCAGUAACCAAUUACAAUUGAGUUUGAAGCACAUAAGAGCCUAAUUUAAAAUGUAUCCCAUGGAUGUUCAUCAAUUUACACAAUAGUUAGUUUCAAGAAAGGAAAUUUCAACAGAACCUGAAAACUUCAGAUCAGGGGGCACCAAAUAGUGAGCUAUACAUUCAAAAUUUGAAAUAAUCAACUUAGUGGGACCAAUAUGUUGAAAAAAUUGGAAGGAGCUAUGAAAGUAAGGCUUUUCACUAAUCAGACGUCCAGAGAAUCAAUAUUUUACUCACGGAUCAGUUACGGGGAACACUCCCCACCAAAGCAAUCUCUUUCGUCUGAAUCUGGAAAACAAGCAGCAGUGGAUUUUAACAGUCUGGGUAUCUCAAAGUUACUUUAAUCAUAAAUUUAACACUAAAACAUAUAAAUGGGCAUUAUUUAGUGAAAUAUUAGUAUAGUACUCACUGUGUGCUCGGAACAAGAGUACCCAGAAAGCUCAAUGAGCUGCGCACAGAGGACUACAGCGGUGAACGACAGCGACCGAUUCUGUAAAAUUCAGUCAAGUUUUGGGUGAUUUCUGCAGUUAUUUCGGAGGUCAAGAGGCUGAUAGGGAAAGCUGCGACCGAAGGGCACUGGUCUGGAAGCAAAGGCUCAGGUCACCGCUGUCCCGAUUCGCGAAGGAAGUGCCCCAAAAACAAUUUCGGCCCUGGACAGGUGCACUGUUUGCACUGGACCAGGGCCGGCCGGCCCUGGCAAUAACGUCCCCCAAACAGUACAUAUACAGAUGCUAGAAAUAUAUUAAUGUAACCUGAAACUACUAGAACCAUUCAAUUCUAGCGUCUACAGCUAUAGCAUUAGUUGGUACAAUGGACAUUCUUCCAAAGAGGGGGAUGAACUCGUUGAGGCUCUUAUUUAUUCCUCCUCUUGUUGUGCCCUUUUCAGCUGCUAAUUCCAGACGAUCCAAUCUCAUACAUCUUCCCUGCAAAAGCAUGCGUGCCAGACUUCAAGAUCAAAUUUUUCCAACAAAAGAAACUUAAAGAUCAAACUCGCUAGCAGAUUAAAUGGUGCACAAGGGUGUUAAAAUCUUGACAUAGUAUAUUUUUGGCAGAUUUUAUGUGAGCAUGCAACUAAAACUGGCAUCACUAUCAAUGGUGCAAAAAGAUUGGUGGAAAACUUUAACAGUUUGAGUUGUAACUUCUCCAUUGUAUUUGUUAAGGCAAGACGGAUGUCAUCUAUGCAUUUUUCUGUAAAACUUAAAAGGCUGCAUAGCAGCUCUUGUUCGUACGACAAGCAAUUGAAAAUCCCAUCAUUAUGCCCCGCAUAUACCAGAAAAAAAAAGUCAUUUACACAAAUUCAGAGCGUUCAUCCACUGUAAUUUGCAGAUAUAGAAACGUUAAGAUAAAAGGAAAUGCAAAGUUAGCAACGGGAAUUGACAUACCAAUAUCUUCACAGUUUCUGCACAAGCACAAAUCAAAAGAAUCCGGCGGUGGAGUUAUGUACCUCUCCUUGGAAAAUGCCACCUCUUGGGAUUUCAAAAUAUGCGGCCGUGGCUAGCCGUCUGACCACGCCAAUUCCACCAAAGCCGCCGCAACGCGGCGCAGUGUCCGAUUGAUUGCUUCAAAACAGAGCUUCGUAUCCAUGUGUUUAUCAGCACAGAGUACCCAAAACCCCUGAAAAUUAUUUCUUUAUUCAGAUAAUAAAAUUUCCCAAAUUUCAAAUUUUAAUUCCGAACCAAAAAUAGGAUUUGAAUUUUGAUUACCUAGAAAUUGGGGGGUUGGCGAUAUGCGUCCUCGAGAGGGUACCAAUACAAAUUACAGAGCGUGUUGGGACGAUGUACAAGGCUUUUGCAGUCUCUCAGAUGUAAAUACCGAAGCUCCGUAAGGCGUUCAAUCCAGGGGGAAAGCUCUUUGAUAGAUGUUCCAUCCAAGACAAGAUUUCUUAAUCCUUCCAUAUUUUCUUCAAUGCUUGGAAACACCUCGAAUUUUGUACAACCGGAAAGAGAGAGAUAGACAAGGGACUUGAGCUGACAAAUGCUACUUGGAAGACUCUUAAGCUCCUUGCAAUUUUCUAGCUUCAAAUGAUUCAAUCCCGUGAGAUUAUUAAUUGACGAGGGCAUUUCUUUAAUUUUUGAUCCGGAUAAAUGAAGAACUUUUAACCCUUCAAUCACUUUUAAAAUCUCUGGAAACAUCUCAAGACUCUGACAAUCAUAAAGUACAAAGGUUUCGAGAGAUUUCAUAUGAAUGUUGCUUGGAAGACUCUUAAGUUUUUGGCAAUCUGAUAGGUUCAAAUGAAUCAACCCCGUGAAAUUAUUAAUUGACAUGGGCAGUUGUUUAAUUUUUGACCCGGAUAAAUUAAGCUCUUCUAACCCCUCAAUACCAUCUGAAAUCAAUGGAAACAUCUCAAGACUGGAGCAGCCACAAACAUUAAAGGUUUUCAGACAUUUCAAAUGAAUGCAACUUGGAAGACUCUCAAGUUCCUUGCAAUCUUUUAGGUUGAAAUGACUCAACCCCGUGAGAUUAUUAAUUGACUCGGGCAGUUCUUUAAUUUUGGACUCGGAUAAAUUAAGCUCUUCUAACUCCUCCAUACCUUCUGAAAUCUCUGGAAACAUCUCAAAAUUGGAGCAGCCAAAAAGAUUAAAGGUUUUGAGAGAUCUCAUACGAAUUUUAUUGGGUAGAAUCUUAAGUUCCUUGCAAUAUGAUAGGUUCAAAUGACUCAACCCCGUGAGAUUAUUAAUUGACUCAGGCAGUUCUUUAAUUUUGGACUCGGAUAAAUUAAGCUCUUGUAACUCCUCCAUACCUUCUGAAAUCUCUGGAAACAUCUCAAGACUGGAGCAUCCAUAAAGAUUAAAGGUUUUCAGACAUUUCAUAUGAAUGCAGCUUGGAAGACUCUUAAGUUCCUUGCAAUCUCUUAGGUUUAAAUGAAUCAACCCCGUGAGAUUAUUAAUUGACUCGGACAGUUCUUUAAUUUUGGACUUGGAUAAAUUAAGCUCUUGUAACUCCUCCAUACCUUCUGAAAUCUCUGGAAACAUCUCAAGGCUCACGCAGCCAAAAAGAUCAAGAGUUUUGAGAGAUUGCAUACGAAUUUUGCAGGGUAGAAUCUUAAGUUUUUCGCACCCUUUCAGAUCCAAUAAAACAAGUUUUGUAAGAUUCGAAAUAGAUGGGUGAACCUUAACUAACCCUCCACAACCAUGAAGAAUUAGCCUCUCAAGAUUUGGCACAUUUGUGAAGUCAGGGGUUUCCUUAAGGUAUGAACAAUAACUUAAAUUGAUGAAUUUCAACUUUUCCUGCGUCUGUUAAAACAUUCAGGAAAACAUGCAUUACUUAAUAAGACAUCUCACUCAAAGCCCAAACAUUUAAAAGAAACAAAUACAUGUAAAUGAUUGCACAUACCUGGGUUCCUUCCCAAAGUCGGUCAAUGUGGCUAUAUUGCAUGUCAAGUCCAACAAGAUUUUCGAAUUGAAAGUUGGAUGGCAAAGACUUGAGCGGGAAACAAGACCAGGAAAGAAACCUCAACUCACUAGAAACAAACUUUAAGGACCCAGUCAGGUGUUGUAUGCUGAAAGUACCGAUCUUGAGAAGUCUUAGUUUAGUCAUCCUAUCAAAAGCUUUAACAAUUAAGCAUCCCUCAUAUGAGUGCCCCAAAUCUAGGAUUAUGCUUUUAACUGUUUCUGUACCCUGUGCAAAUCAAAGGGAAGGAAAAAGCAGAGAACCUUAGUUUAGAUUAUGAAGUUAAUGGUUGUUUCUUAAGGAGUUGUUUGAUAAUAAUUUUGUUUUCACUUUUCACUUUUGUUUUGAUUAUUUAUUUAGAAAUCUGAAAAUUGAAAACAUAUAACUUGUUUGUAAUUGUUUUCAAUUUUCAAUUAUUAAAAAAAUGAAAAUUAAAAAUUAAAAAUGGAAACAAAAGUGGUUAUCAAACGAGCUUAAGAAAUUGAUUUUGGUCAAAAGUUGAAGCUUUCUACUAAACAUUGCAUAAGAAGAGAAAUUAUCACCGUAUUUUUAGUUAUCACAUGAAGAACAUCUUCAUAACUCCACAACCUACUUCGUUUCCCAGGCUCUUCGAUAGAUUCUUGCUGGACGAUUUUCCGACCCAUUUCCUCUAGUAAAUCAUGCAUCUCCAGUUCCCCCUUCCAUGAGACAGUUACUAGAGCUCGAUCGAUUAAAACUUUUAUUCCAAUAUCAGGAUAGGAACCACAGCUGUGCAGAACUUCGGUUGCAUAGUCUUUUCUCAUUCCUUUAAAGAAACAUGCAAUAUCUAGAAAGAUAUCCUUCUCCGUGUCAUCUAGUCCAUCGAAGCUUGUUUUAAGCACAUCAUGAAUUCCCUUUUGCGGGAUUUUCUUUAUUUUUUCUAACUCAUUUUCCCACUGGCGUACAUUUUUGUUAUCAAGAAAAGCUCCCAAGACUUUGAGUGCUAAAGGCAGACCUUGAGCAUAUUUUACAGCACGCCUCGAGAGAUCAUCAUAAUCUCUGUUGGGUUGGUUUUUUCUAAAGGCGUACCGCCUAAAGAGUUCCAGAGCUCCAUUAUCACUUAAAAUCUUGGGAUUAUAUAUCUCAUCAGCUAUGCUUAGUAAUUGCGAAUCUCUGGUUGUUAUAAUAAUUCUGCUUCCACCACCAAAGGAAUGUGGUUCUUUAAGUAAAGCUUCAAUUUGUUCUAAUUCUUCCACAUCAUCAACAACAAUAAGAACUUUUCUCCGACCUAGGCUAUUUAACACCACCUGGAAACCUUUAUUCGAAACGUCGGAACUCCCCACCUUGUUGUUCGAGAUACUCGAUAGAAGUUCUGCCUGCAUAUAUAGUUUGCCAUGCUUUAUGAAACCUUCCUUGAAAUUUUCAAGAAAGCAACAAGCUUUAAAUCCACCAGAGAUUUCAUCAUAAACAGCUCUAGCGAUGGUUGUUUUGCCUAAACCACCCAUACCCCAUAUUCCAACAAUGCGAACAUCAUUAGUUUCAACUCCAGGAGGAUACAAUAAUGAAUGCAUGUUAUGCAUAUGAGAGUCCAUUUCAACCAAGCCAUUAUCUUUGCUUGAUGAUGAUGAGAUGUGGAUCAAUUUCUUAAAAACAUCUUCUACAAUUUUCUCAAUAAGCUCUGCAUCAUCCCUGUCAAAUUUAAAAAACAAUAUAAUAACACCACCAAAUAAUACUUAAUGGGUCUUUUUCAUCUGUUAGUUUAAAAAAAAUAGAAAUUAAAACUAAAACUAAAAUCUAAACGUUAUAAAAAUCCCAAAAAUUAAUAGGAAACUAAAACAAAUUAGAAUUUACUCAUAUUUCGCGAAUCCCAGCCGGAUAAACUGGUGGCAAUUGUAAGAGCGGAUCUCCAGCUCUGAACCUCUUCCAUUUCAGCGUUAGAAUCACGAUCGUGCUGAGCAAAAGCUUCCUCGAAUUUUCUCUUGAGUUUACGAACGUCAGACGGAUCAACUUCAUAGAAAAUGGGGAGUACAAUCUGGUUAUUGGUAUCCUUGCAUUUCAAGAUUUGCACGAGUUCUUUCAAGCACCAAGUGGAAGAAGCAUAGUCUUGAGAGAAAACUACAAUCGAAAGCCUUGACUCUCGAAUCGCUGUCAGGAGCUCAGAAAGGUGGUCGCCUUUUCUGAGCUUCUCGGCAUCAAUGAAGGCGUUGAUUGGUUUCUUAACCAGAGCGUUGUAGAGAUGGCUGACGAAGCCCCUGCGAGUGUCUUCCCCUCUGAAAUUGAUGAACACAUCGUAUUUGCAACCAAGGCCAGAAGAAGAUGAAGAAGAAGAAGCAGCCAUUAUUAAUCGAUCGCACCUGGUCAGCGACGAUCGAGCAGCUAAGACUAAGAGAAUUGUAAGUACAGAGAUACUCAAUAGAUCUACAAAUUGGAUCACCGGAAAUUAGUCUGAUCGAUACCAAGUCAAUGAGUCAAUGCAAAAGUAAAAAGGGGAAAGGGAAAUUAUGCUUUAUGUUUUUUCACAUCUUCUUCGGGGAAAUUUCGGUGUGAAAGGAAUCUUAUCCUUUUGAUUUUUUAACCGAAGCAAAUGCGAAGAAAAGGGUCAAAGUGGUAAAUUGAAUAUACACUUGCCUAUCCAACAACCUCUUAAUUUAAUAUAUUUAAUUGAGAAAAGUAGUUUAGAGGAAGAGGUAUUCAUCAAUUCCCCAUAAACUUGUGACCAUUGGCCAAUUUUCCCCCUCAACUUUAAUUUUGGCCAAUUUCUUCCCUAAACUCUCAUAAUUAGUUAAUUUCCCCCAUCAACUUUAAUUUGGUCAAUUUCCCCCCUCAACUCUCAUAAUUAGUCAAUUUGCACCCUACUGUUAAUUUUUUAUUUAUUUUUCAUCUAUUCUUUUUUUUUUCUUUCAAUCUUUCUAAUAACUUCCAACAAAAUACUAAAAUUAAUAUAAACUCACCUGCAUAAUAUAGGGUAAAAUGUACAAAAACAUAAUACCAUUAGUAUGUGAUAUGGGUUGAUUAUAAGAAAAAGUUAUGAAUCGGGUUUAAAUCAUGUAGAAGAAGAAACAAUAAUCCUAAACUCAUGGAUCAGACCUAUUUCAAUAAAAUGGGUUAUUCUUAAUAAGGAGUCGAAAAUUAUGAAUUGACUAGCCAUUUUUGCACUAAACCUCGAUUCUCCGCAAUUUACUUGAACUUAGCUUUCACUUUUAUAAAGAAAAUUGUAUUCACAUACAAAAAUGUACACAUCAAUCCUUUUCGUUAUCAAUUUUGUAUAGUAAAAAAUCAAAUAAAAUUACUCCAUACUAAUUUAUUAUGACUAAUAAUACUAUUUAUGAUAAAUUGUAAAAUUCUAAAUUUUAAUCUAUUUGUAAUAGGAUAAAGACAUAGGAAAAUGAUUAACAUACAUCUUAUUUAGUUUCUUACACACACUUGUUUAAUUAUGAUCAAAUUAAAAAAUUAACAGUAGGGUGCAAAUUGACUAAUUAUAAGAGUUGAGGGGGGAAAUUGGCCAAAUUAAAGUUGAGGGGGGAAAUUGACUAAUUAUGAGAGUUGAGGGGGGAAAUUGGCCAAAAUUAAAGUUGAGGGGGGAAUUGGCCAAUAGUCACAAGUUCAUGGGGGAAAUUGAUGAAUACCUCUUAGAGGAAUGAUGGUAUCUCUUUUUCUUCUCACUCAAUCUUCCAGCAUGCGAUUUAAUCAUGAUUAAAGCCAAGCUUAAUAAUAGGUCGUAUUAUUUAGGUCGUUUUGGAUUAUAAGUUUUUGUUGUGAACUUGUGAUACGAUAGUUAGAAAAUUAAAAAAAUUAUAAUUUAAAUAUAUGUGGUGAAAUCUGUUAAGAUUUAGAUUCAAAAUUGAAAAUUUCAUUAACUUCAUUAAUUAUUAGCACACGAAGCUUACAAAUGAAAUAAAAAUAAUAAAAUUAGUCUCACAUGUAAUCUCUAUGCGCUAACAAUUAAUAGAGAGAUUCAUUUUAACCUAAAAUGUGUGACUUACGUACUAAUAAUUAACAAAAUAUUGACAAAAUUUUCAAUUUUAAGCAUAAAUCUUAAUAAACUUCAUCUCAUAAACUUAAAUCCUAAUUCAACAAUCUUCUCAUUACCUUACCACUGCAAACUACCUUGCCACUACAAAAAUUAUUAAUCAAAUUAAACUUAUUAUUUACUUACAAAUACGUAACUCAAUCACCGAAAGCUAUCUCCGUUGCUAUCUCCGUUUCUUUGCUGAGUGGACAGCUGUCUCUUUGUCUUCUUUUGGCAGAUAGCUACUAGACUCCUAGUGGCCGGCCUAUUUUCCACAGCUGGUUAUAGGACUCAGUUGCUAUUCAAGAAGUGUUAUGUUGUAAUUCAAUAUUGAUGGAAAUCCAACAGAAUCUUCUUCGAAUUGUUGUGAGCAUUUUGGGAUAUUUUUUAAUCAUAUUCAUUUAUCGUUGUGGGAUCAAUUUUAUUAAAUAUUAUUUAUGUUUAAUUUUAAAUAAAUAAAUUUAAAAUAAAUUUUUAUCGCACGAUAUACUAUGAACGAAUACGAUUCAUAGAUCUCCAAUAUCUUCACAAGAAGAAUCCAAAAGGAUCCGGAUUCAAUGGAAAUAAGCUAAUUUUGAAUCAAAUAACAUUACUUUAUUUUGUAAGUAAAUUAAUUUUAAAUCAAACAACAUUCAUUUAUUAUGUAGCUAAUUAAUUUUGUAUGUGUCAUCAUAUAUAUUAGGCACAUUUUAUUAUAGGUGAUUUUGUGGUAUUCAUUUUCAUUUGUAAGUAAGAGGUCUUAAGUUCGAUUUUCAUCAAAAACGAAUUUAAACUAUAUUAUUGCUAGUCCAUUAUGAGGCCUAACCCACCCUCCUCCCCCUUAGUGUAGAUAGAUCGUUUGUUCAAAAAAAUAUAUAAUCAAAAUAGAAUGUGAAGCGAAACAAUAGAUCAACAUUAUUUAUGUUAAUUAUAAAUAGGUCAACCAUGUAUGUGAUACUUAAAUCAUUUAAAAUAAAAUAAAAAUUACAAAAUCUGCCAUUACAGCUGGCACACACUUUAAUUAACACUUUCUUUCUCAUAAUUUUUAUAUUUGGAAUAAGUCAUACGAAUCAAAUACUACAAUGUAUUAUCUGUUUUUUAAUUCUAUUUUUUACAUUUGGAUUCAGACACUGCGUUGUAGUGUCCAUUUACUGAUUUUGUUUUUUCCAUCACUCACAUGCCUCCUAUAUGUUCCUUUGUACAUUUGGAUUUAGACAAUGCAAUGCAGUGUCUGUUUCUUGGUUCUGGUUUUCUCUUUUGGAUUCAAACGCUGCAUUGCAAUGUAUGUUUCCUAGUCCUAUUUCUUUCAUCAUCCACACGUCUCCUACACUUCACACUUUCAUGCGACUCCUGAUUUUUACAUUUAGAUUCAGACAUUGUAAUGCAAUGUUCAUUUCCUACCUUUGAUUUUUACAUUUAAAUCUAGGGUUAAACUCUGUUUACUACCCUAAUGUUUCGUGGUUUUCUACAUUUAGUACAUCAAAUUUUUUUCAUCCCAGAGUCAUACCUAAAGUGUUAAUUUUGGGACAGUCUCAUACAUCCAUUAGUCAAACUGUUAGUUCUCACGUUAAGUGAUGAUGUGGCGCCCAUGUGGACAAUGACUGGGCCCCACGUGUCAUUAAAAAAUAUUAAAAUAAUUAAUUAUGUAACACCCGCCCCCACUUAUAAAAUUAUAUGUGUGUAAUAUUCCCUAAAUAUUCUGAAUCUAUCAAUUUUACCCUUUUUGGACUACCCUAUCAGGAUCUAAACAUUGGAUCCUUCUUUCUUUUCAAACUGCCACGUGGCAGCUCCCUAGCAAUUUCCCUGUCUUCUCUCUCUGUCCCCCCCCCGUGACUCCUUCUUUCUCUUCUUCUUUUUCUGUUUUCUUUUCUUUCUUCUGUCUGUCUCUCUGUCCCUCCCGACUCUAUCUCUUUCUCUCGUCUCUCUCUCAUAGCUCCCUCAUCUCUCUUCUCUGCAGCAACCCGCACGCACGCACCCAUCUCCCCCGCGCGAAGAAGACCCAUCUCCUUCUUCUCUCUCCCUCUGUCCCGUGCUGCGAGCCCAGAAACCGGAGAGGAACUCCGGCGAAACCUUUAUUUUCCCGGUUGGGACGAAUCGAAGCCGGGUGUAAGCACACCCAACUCCGGCGAUCCCGAGGGUGUCGGGGCUUUUUCCGGCCAUCUCCGAUCGUUCCACGACGAAAGGAAGGUGCAAUUAUUAACGGUGAUUCUGUUAUACCUUCUUGGUAUAGCUUUGCACCGUUGGUGUACGGUGAGUGGACCCCUUCAAAAUCAUGUUUUAACAAUAGAAAUGCAUACAUGAAAAGCAUGAUUUAAUACUUAUGUUUUACGAAGUACUUUAUGAGAUAUAUGCUUACUGAGGCUAGAUUGAAUUAUUACUAUUUUUCCUAUAACCCAUGUUCUUAUAGAAUAUCCGAUGGAUGACGAUAUGAUAUUAGAACAUGUUUAGAACACCUCUUUGUAGUAUAGAUGAUGGAUGACUUUAUACUACGAAGUUGUUUUUCAAUAUGUUAUGCUCAAUGGUUUUGUACUUACCUAGUGGUCCUUUCCGCUACGGGACGUAGGGAUAGAUUCCGGUCCGUCCCGAGCGACGGUUUGGUGUUGGCAUAGGGCCUGGAGUGUGUUUCCUCUGGCUAUUUAGCACAGGGACGGGGAGCCGGCAUGGGGUCUGUAGUGUAUUUUCCUCUGACUGUCUGCUCAGAGACGGGGAGCUGGCAUGGGGCCUGUAGAGUAUCGGACAAUUCACUAGUGUUUAUUACUUAUACAAGUUAUGAAUUUGAGAUAUUGCACGGCAUGCUAGGUUUCGGAAAAUCUAUUUUGAUCAUGAUAUAUGUGUUUUCAUUAAACCUGGGGGUUAGUAUGUUGAUAACUGUUUUAUUAUAUUUAUAUCAAACUGGUCCACUCAUGUUUGUUUUGCGCCCCCUUCAGGACCUACGAACGAGGAUUACGAUAUAAGCUACGAGGCUUUUCCCUAUCAGUGAUCCAGUGCUAUACUUCUUCUGCUUCGAUAUCUUUUGUAAUAUAGCACAUCUCUAUUUUAAAUUCUGUUUGUACUCUGUAAUAGAUGUAUGCUUUGACAUUAUGCGUGGAUCCUAAUGUUGUAAUUAGAAGUUGAAUUUGUAGUAUUAUUGUGGCUAGUCUUGCUGCCUGUUUUAGCUUAUUUGUGAGUUUUUACUUAAAUUAAUGGCUUUCGUCACCCUUUGGGUGUCGGCCAGCACGUGAUAAUCCCGAUGUCACGAGGACAUCGGGAUCGGGGCGUGUCAGAUUGGUAUCAGAGCAUGAUUCAUUCAGAGCAUACUUAGGAUUCUUUUCCACCAUUUGGUAAUUAUAAUUCCCCUUAUAUCCUUAAUUUUCUGUUGUUCUAAAUCUUUCUUGUUUCUUAUCAGAAUUAUGGAUCCCGCUGGUGGGCAUGUACCUCGUCGAGCUCGUUUUGGUAUAGGGGGAGGACUUGAGCAAUUGGCUAAUGUUUUGCGAACUGCCCUUACUGGUAGAUCAUCGAAUCGCACCUAUAUUGAGAUUGCUACCAGUCAUGGUAUUCCAGAGCUUAAGGUAGUGGGAGCCUGUCCGGAGGCUGAGGAAUGGUUAGAGCAGGUGGAAGAUACUCUGGAGGGUAUGAGAUGUCCACCAGGUGAGUGGGCGGAGACUGCUGGGUUUUUUCUUAAGGGUCCUGCAAAGAUUUGGUGGAAAGGAGUGAAGCAUUCUCGUCCACGAGGCACUUCGAUGACUUGGGUGGCAUUCCGGAAAGCUUUCAGUGCACAUUUUCUGAGUCCCAGUUAUCAGUUGAGGAUGAGACAACAAUUUCUGGAGUUUCGUCAAGGCGAUCUGAGUAUCACAGAGAUGGAUAAUACUUUUCGACGCCUGUCGAGACACCAUCCGGUGACUUAUGAUAACCCGAGUGAGAAGAUGGUUCAGUUGCUGGUUUGUUUGAACCCUGAUUAUCGUGAACGAGUGGCAGCUAUAAGGCACAGAAGUUAUGAGGAAAUGAUUGAGACUUGUUUGAGGAUUGAACAAUCUAGGUGGGAGACUCAGCACCAGGAGGAGCAGGCGCAGUAUCAGGAACCACCCAGAUAUCAGGAACAACCUCGGAACCAGAACCAGAGAGGUCAUGGUUUUAGAUCUCGGAGUGUGAGGAAAUCUGGUAGCUCUUCUAACUUUGUUGGCCCUAGACACUCUCAUUCCUUCAAACGUCAGGGUCAAGGUUCAGGUUCUUCCAGCGAGGGUUCGGGUAAUGAAUCAGGGAGGCGAUAUUUCAGUCAUUUUCGAUCGCAGGUUACGUGCCACAGGUGUGGAGGCAUGGGACAUAUUGCCAGAUUUUGCCCUUCAGGACAGCCUGCUGAGAGUUAUGCAUCGGUGCCGAGUUAUGGUGGAGGGAGUAAUCCGAGUUCUAGCUAUGGAGGUAAUUACACUCAGAGUUAUGGUGGAAGUGGAAGUGGAAGUCAGAAUACCCAAUUUUCCACUCAGAGACAGCCGCAACAGUUUGGUGCAGCUUCGAGUAGCCGCUCUCAGGGGAAUCGAGCAGGCCGUAAUAAUCAAGGUUUCAGAGCUCGUGGUAACCGUAACAGUGGUGGAGGACGUCAGUUUCAUGGACGUAUCAACGCCAUGACACAGCAGGAGGCUGAUCAGGAUCCUCAAGUCAUUACCGGUAUGUUACUUAUUUGUGGUAACUGGGCGAGGGUUCUAAUCGAUCCGAGUGCUACUUUUUCUUUUGUGUCUUCAUCUUUUGCACCGAAUUUAAAUGCACCACCUACACCUCUUGGUUAUGAUAUGCUUGUGCAAAUGCCGCAAGGGGAUCUGUUUUGUGCUCAGUGGGAGUAUAAAAGUUGCCCAGUGGUAGUGGAAGGGGAAAUGAUGGAGGCUAAUCUGGUCCCUUUUCAUUUGGCGGAGUUCGAUGUGAUUUUGGGGAUGGAUUGGCUAUCCAGGCACCGGGCCUAUGUCGCAUGUUGGGAGAAAUCUGUGACGUUCAAUCGACCUGGACGACCGUCAAUCACAUUUCAGGGUGAGCGACGAAUCCUUCCUAGUAGUAUUAUUUCCGCUAUUCAGGCUACUAGAUUGUUGAGUAGGGGAUGUGUGGGAUUCUUAGCUCAUGUAGUAACGAGGGAUAAAUCUUCGUUACGUCCUAAGGAUGUGCCAGUGGUGAAGCAUUACACCGAUGUUUUCCCGGAGGAUUUACCAGGGUUACCGCCUGCGAGGGAAAUUGAAUUUACCAUCGAUUUACUUCCAGGAACAGACCCUAUCUCUUUAGCACCUUAUCGCAUGGCACCGGCGGAGUUGAGGGAAUUGAAGGUUCAACUUCAGGAAUUGGUGGAUAAAGGUUACAUCCAACCCAGUAUGUCUCCCUGGGGUGCUCCUGUUUUAUUUGUUAAAAAGAAGGAUGGAUCGAUGAGACUUUGCAUCGACUAUCGGCAGUUAAACCGGGUGACGGUGAAGAAUCGAUAUCCUUUGCCUCGGAUCGACGAUCUGUUCGACCAGCUGAAGGGUGCUCAGAUAUUCUCUAAGAUAGAUCUUCGCUCAGGUUAUCACCAGUUGUUAAUUCGGGAGGGAGAUGUACCGAAGACUGCUUUCCGCACUAGGUAUGGACACUUUGAAUUUCGUGUCAUGCCUUUCGGACUGACGAAUGCACCUGCAGCAUUCAUGGAUUUGAUGAACAGAGUUUUCAGACCGUAUUUGGAUCGGUUUGUGAUUGUGUUCAUUGAUGAUAUUCUGAUCUUUUCCAAGAGUGUCAGCGAGCACAAGAAGCAUUUGAGGUUGGUGUUGGAAAGGUUGAGCAGUGAGCAGUUGUAUGCUAAGUUUAGCAAGUGUCAGUUCUGGCUAACCCAAAUUAGCUUUCUCGGUCAUGUAGUAUCUGCUGAGGGGAUUAGUGUGGAUCCUCAGAAGGUGUCAGCAAUAACUACGUGGGAGCAACCGAGGAAUGUUACUGAAGUGAGGAGUUUUCUAGGUCUGGCUGGCUAUUACCGAAGAUUUGUUAAAGGUUUCUCAGCCAUUGCCUUACCUCUGAAUAAGUUGACUCGAAAGGAAGUGGAGUUUAAGUGGGAUGAAGAUUGUGAGCGGAGUUUUCAGGAACUGAAGCGAUGUCUUACUCAAGCUCCCGUUCUUACUCUUCCAGACGAUAGCGGUGAGUUUGAUAUCUACACGGAUGCAUCAUUAUCAGGUUUGGGUUGUGUACUGAUGCAGCAUGAUAAAGUCAUUGAUUAUGCUUCCAGACAGCUCAAAAUUCACGAGAGAAACUAUCCCACUCAUGAUUUGGAACUUGGUGCAGUAGUGUUUGCUUUGAAGAUCUGGAGACAUUACUUGUACGGUGAGAAGUGUCGUAUCUUUACUGAUCAUAAGAGCCUCAAGUAUAUCUUUACUCAGAGGGAUUUGAAUUUGAGGCAGAGAAGAUGGAUGGAACUUAUCACUGAUUAUAACUGCACGAUCGAGUAUCAUCCCGGACAUGCCAAUGUAGUGGCAGAUGCACUUAGUCGGAAAUAUCAUGGAUAGCUUGCAUCUCUCCAAGCUAUUCAUGUUCCACUACUAUUUUCUCUUCGAGAAACAGGCUUGUCGGUGAGACCGGGUGAGCAAUGAGCGUGGUUGGCAAAUUUCCAAGUUAGACCUGUUUUGGUGGAUAUAGUCAUAGAAGCUCAGGAGCUUGAUCAGGAGAGUGCCAACAUUAAGGUCUCGGUGGAAAAAGGAGAAGAGAAGCAUUUUAUCAUCCGAAGUGAUGGAGCCUUGAUGUGGGAAAACAGAUUGUAUGUUCCUCAUGAUAACGAAGCAGUGAAAAGAGCAAUUCUGGAUGAAGCACAUUUGUCAGCUUAUGCCAUGCAUCCGGGAAGUACUAAACUGUAUCGCACUAUCCGUCUGUUCUAUUAUUGGUUGGGAAUGAAGCGGGAUGUGGCGGAUUAUGUGAGUAGAUGCAUCAUUUGUCAACAAGUAAAGGCAGAGAGGCAAAGACCUGGAGGAUUGAUGCAGAAUCUUCCGAUACCAGCAUGGAAAUGGGAAGACAUCACCAUGGAUUUUGUGUAUGGUCUGCCGAGGACGCGGUCGAGAUUGGACGGCAUAUGGGUAAUUGUUGAUCGACUGACUAAGACCGCUCAUUUCUUACCUGUUCGACAGACCUAUUCAAUGGAGAAAUUAUCGAAGUUGUUCAUCGAUAAUAUUGUUAGACUUCAUGGUGUACCUGUCUCUAUUGUUUCAGACAGAGAUCCCAGAUUUACUUCCAAAUUUUGGAAAGCUUUUAAUACUGCCAUGGGUACUCAGUUGCUGUUUAGUACUGCUUAUCAUCCACAGACUGACGGUCAGUCCGAGAGGACAAUACAAACAUUGGAGGACAUGUUGAGAGUGUCUGUUCUUCAGUGGAAGGGUAGUUGGGAUAACUAUCUGCCGUUGGUUGAAUUUGCAUACAACAACAGCUACCAUUCGAGUAUUGGUGUGGCACCUUAUGAAGCCUUGUAUGGGAGAGUGUGUCGAACGCCGUUGUGUUGGGCAGAGGUCGGCGAGCGAGUAUUGUUGGGACCGGAGAUUGUAGACACUACCAAUGAGAACAUCCAGCUGAUAAAGAGAAAUCUCAAGGCAGCUCAAGACCGACAGAAAAGCAUAGCGGACAAACAUUCCAAAGAUCGUGAGUACAAGAUUGGUGACUUUGUAUUCUUGAAGUUGUCUCCCUGGAAGGGUGUGGUUCGUUUUGGUAAACGAGGAAAGUUGAGUCCUCGAUAUGUUGGUCCUUAUCAGAUUACGGAGAGAAUUGGUGCAGUUGCCUAUAGAUUGGAGUUGCCACCGGAGUUGUCUCAGAUUCACAAUGUUUUCCAUAUUUCUAUGCUUCGGAAAUAUGUAUCAGAUCCCUCUCAUGUUAUUCAGCUAGAGCCGCUGGAAGUAAGUCCGGAUGUUAGUUAUGUUGAAGAACCAGUGGCUAUUCUUGACCAGCAGAAUAAAGUGUUGAGGAACAAGGUCAUUCCGUUGGUGAAAGUGUUGUGGAGGAACCACGCUACUGAAGAAGCGACGUGGGAAACGGAAGACCUGAUGAGGAGUCAGUAUCCGUAUUUAUUUGCUUGAAGUUGUAAUUUCGGGGACGAAAUUUUUAUAAGGGGGGUAGAUUGUAACACCCGCCCCCACUUAUAAAAUUAUAUGUGUGUAAUAUUCCCUAAAUAUUCUGAAUCUAUCAAUUUUACCCUUUUUGGACUACCCUAUCAGGAUCUAAACAUUGGAUCAUUCUUUCUUUUCAAACUGCCACGUGGCAGCUCCCUAGCAAUUUCCCUGUCUUCUCUCUUUGUCCCCCCCCCCGUGACUCCUUCUUUCUCUUCUUCUUUUUCUGUUUUCUUUUCUUUCUUCUGUCUGUCUCUCUGUCCCUCCCGACUCUAUCUCUUUCUCUCGUCUCUCUCUCAUAGCUCCCUCAUCUCUCUUCUCUGCAGCAACCCGCACGCACGCACCCGUCUCCCCCGCGCGAAGAAAACCCAUCUCCUUCUUCUCUCUCCCUCUGUCCCGUGCUGCGAGCCCGGAAACCGGAGAGGAACUCCGGCGAAACCUUUAUUUUCCCGGUUGGGACGAAUCGAAGCCGGGUGUAAGCACACCCAACUCCGGCGAUCCCGAGGGUGUCGGGGCUUUUUCCGGCCAUCUCCGAUCGUUCCACGACGAAAGGAAGGUGCAAUUAUUAACGGUGAUUCUGUUAUACCUUCUUGGUAUAGCUUUGCACCGUUGGUGUACGGUGAGUGGACCCCUUCAAAAUCAUGUUUAACAAUAGAAAUGCAUACAUGAAAAGCAUGAUUUAAUACUUAUGUUUUACGAAGUACUUUAUGAGAUAUAUGCUUACUGAGGCUAGAUUGAAUUAUUACUAUUUUUCCUAUAACCCAUGUUCUUAUAGAAUAUCCGAUGGAUGACGAUAUGAUAUUAGAACAUGUUUAGAACACCUCUUUGUAGUAUAGAUGAUGGAUGACUUUAUACUACGAAGUUGUUUUUCAAUAUGUUAUGCUCAAUGGUUUUGUACUUACCUAGUGGUCCUUUCCGCUACGGGACGUAGGGAUAGAUUCCGGUCCGUCCCGAGCGACGGUUUGGUGUUGGCAUAGGGCCUGGAGUGUGUUUCCUCUGGCUAUUUAGCACAGGGACGGGGAGCCGGCAUGGGGCCUGUAGUGUAUUUUCCUCUGACUGUCUGCUCAGAGACGGGGAGCUGGCAUGGGGCAUGUAGAGUAUCGGACAAUUCACUAAUGUUUAUUACUUAUACAAGUUAUGAAUUUGAGAUAUUGCACGGCAUGCUAGGUUUCGGAAAAUCUAUUUUGAUCAUGAUAUAUGUGUUUUCAUUAAACCUGGGGGUUAGUAUGUUGAUAACUGUUUUAUUAUAUUUAUAUCAAACUGGUCCACUCAUGUUUGUUUUGCGCCCCCUUCAGGACCUACGAACGAGGAUUACGAUAUAAGCUACGAGGCUUUUCCCUAUCAGUGAUCCAGUGCUAUACUUCUUCUGCUUCGAUAUCUUUUGUAAUAUAGCACAUCUCUAUUUUAAAUUCUGUUUGUACUCUGUAAUAGAUGUAUGCUCUGACAUUAUGCGUGGAUCCUAAUGUUGUAAUUAGAAGUUGAAUUUGUAGUAUUAUUGUGGCUAGUCUUGCUGCCUGUUUUAGCUUAUUUGUGAGUUUUUACUUAAAUUAAUGGCUUUCGUCACCCUUUGGGUGUCGGCCAGCACGUGAUCAUCCCGAUGUCACGAGGACAUCGGGAUCGGGGCGUGUCAAAUUAAAUAAAAGUUAUAAAAAAAAAACCGAAUCUGCAACCCAGAAGAAGAACCUUCUGGGUACGUGUUUGCAGUUGCGGGGCGAAUUCUAGAUCUUAAUUGGAUUAUUAGUUUCUGUUGUAAUAUGGUAGUUAGAAGAUUAAAAAAAACUAUGAUUUAUGCUUCAUAUGCUAACAAUUAACAGAUAAUUAAUGAAAUUUUUAAUUUUAAAUCUAAAUCCUAACAUAUUUUACAAUAGAAGCUUAAAUCUUAAUUUACUCAAUCACAUGGAUUAUUUUAUAACUACCUUACUAUUAAUUCAAUUAAACCUAUUAUUUCUACGAAAACUAACAAAAAUUUCAAAAAAAACUUUAGUUUUAAUGAAAAAAGAAAAAUGAAGAUUUGGUAAAUAAUACCAAAAAAAAAAUAAAAAUAUAAAUUUUCAUUAAAAAUGAACAGCAUCAAAAGUGUUUUAUUAAUACUCCAAUUAUUUAUUUACAAAUACGUGACUAAAUGAAAGGGAGCACUCAAAAUGAUGAAAAGCAGGAGCACCGAAGGCUAUCUCCGUUUCUUUGUUGAGUGGACAGCUGUCUCUUCGUCUUCUUUUGGCAGAUAGCUCCUAGUGGCCAGCCUAUAUUCCACAGCUGGUUAUAGGAUUCGGUUGCUAUAUAAGAAGUGUUUUGUUGUAAUUCAAUAUCGAUAGAAAUCCAAUAGGAUCUUUUUCAAAAUUUUGUGCGGAUUUUGGUAUGUUCGUAAAUCGUAUUUGUUCAUAUUAUACGCUCAUUUUUCAUGGAAUAUUAUUUUUGUUUAAUUUUAAAUAAAAUAAUUUAAAAUAAUUUUUUAUUGUAACAUGUACAAUGAACGGAUAUGAAUUGAUUCACAGAUCUUCAAAAUCCUUACAAAGAAAAUCCAAAAAUAAUCCGAAUUCAAUGGAGAUAAGUUAAUUUUGAAUCAAAUAACAUUAGGAAAAAAAAUUAACAUUAGACGGUUUUAAAUAAUUUAUUGUAUAUUUUUAGGGAAUUGUUAUUAGCACUUUAAAAAUCUCAUUUUACACUCCAAACUUUUUAUAUUAGAAAAGAAAAAUACACUUAUGAGGAAUGUAGAAUAAGAUUUUUGAAUUAACCAUGCAAAAAUGUAAUGUUAAAGCAUCAUGUCAUACAGACCUCUUCAAGGUACCAGAAAUUUUUGCACUAAAGAUGUCACAAGCAGCUGAUAUGAAGCUGCAUUUUCUGUGAGUUGAAAUUUUGUCAAUAUAAUCGAUCACCUGAAGAGAGAGAGAGAGAGAAAGACAGUGAUGUCCAGAGAUGUGAGCCUAAAUGCUGAGUGUGUAAAAAAAGAAGAUUAAAUGGAUAGCAAGAAUAUACAACUUUAAUGCUGAAAAGAACAUUGAAUAUGAUGCUCAUUCAUCAUUGCCAUUGAACGUGUACCUUCUUCUUUUCCUCUUUCUCAAAAGCAAGUAGAGCCUUGAAGACUUGCCUAUAUGAUCCAUCAUCACAACCAGGCAAAGUUGUUUUAAUCAUAGCAACAAUGGCUCUAACUAACUACCUGCCAUAAGAAACAUGCUACAUCAACAAGAUCACAGAGUGUACCAGAAACCGUAAUGUAGCAAAAUCUUAGAUAAAAUAGCUGGCCAAAAGGGAAUGGAAAAGCAAGCACAAAAAACAAUGAAAAGGACCAGUGAUGCCAAAAUUCUGGUGGAAAAGGUGAAAAGCUUAUGUCUAUUACAGUUCUUGUAUGCAUUCUUUAUAACUUAAGUUCUACGUAGCAAAAACCACCUUAUGCACAACAAUAUUGGAAAAAUUAGAUACAUACAACUGAGAAGAUAGGUUUUCAUAAUCUGGACAAGUGCUAACUACCUUCUUCCUAUAAACUGCCACUCCAUGAACAUUAAAUGGUAUUUUCCUUUCACGCAAGGCUGUCUGGAAGACUUUUCCUGAUACCUGUAGAAUAAAUUACAAAAGAAAAUGUGACCAAAAUGUCUUAUAUGAUUCACCUCAUUCACAUUAGCACUAAGGCAAGUAAGCUUGACCUGCCUCCGGUAAAGGAUUGCUAUAUUUCCAUAGGAGCACCCUGCUUCUGACCGUUUAGAUGCAGUCUCCAGGAUCUUGUCGACAACAAAGGCGCAUUGUGCAUCCUCAUUGUGACUUUCCUUGAUAAUUACCUACAUUUUGCCAGUAAAACCAGUGUCACUAACUAAAAGGACUGAAAAAUGACAUCAAAUUGUACUUGUUGGAGCAAGGAAAGAUUAAGUACCUUAGACCCAGAAGAAUUGUCCGUGUCAACAUUCUUUAGUUGGCAUCACUUCUUAUUGUUUUUUAUAACAGAAGAUGCAGCUUCCACACAAUAUAGCGUGUGGACCGAAAGUUCUUAUUAAGCCUAAUCUGAACCAUAAAGUUAUGUCAAAUCCCACAGAACCCCAUAAAAUAAAACUUACUUUCCUGUAAUUGUACAAUAUAUUUGUUCUAUACUAUAUAUAACGAAAAAAGACACCGUGAAUGACAUAAGAUAACAUAGCAGUCAAGUGCGAAGCGAACCUCUUUGUAAUUUGAAAAAUCUUUACGAAAAGAAUCAAAUCCAGAAAUGUCCGCCCCAUUGAAACUGAAAAUGGACUGCAGCAGGAUAUAUGUUAUUUGAUUUAGAACAGAUAAGGGCUGGAUUAGAAUGAGCUGAGAGAGGGAGAGAGGGAGAGACGGAGCAAUAACAUUGGAUUUCCAUAAUAAAUCAACAACAUGCCUGAUCAUCAUCACCAACAAUGGUUAUGUGGUUAUGAGAGGCGAGAAUCCGCAAAAGUCUAUAUUGCAUAGCACUUGUGUCUUGAAACUCGUCUAUUACAAUAGCUUUCCAUGACUCCUGGCACUCCUUCAACACUAAUUAAGAGAACACCAUGUAUCAACAUUUAGCAUUACUUGUAAAACUAGAUAAAUCAAUGAAAUAUACUUAGAUGAUAGAGACCUUCAGGAAAAUCACUUAGCAGCUUCACAGAGCAGCUAAUUAAGUCGUGGUAGUCCAAAGCGUUGCACGAUUUCAAGAUAUCAUUGUAAUUCCUAAGAAUUUCACCCUGAUUCAGAUUGAGAGCUAAAACUCAUAAGCAAUAGUUUCAAAGAACUGAAAUGAUAUCUGAAAUUCUAGUUCUGAGCGUACUCCUGUCACAUCACCCAUUCUUUGGCAUUCAGCGGGAGUUCUUUCCAGAAGCUUUUGCCUGAAACAUAAAUAAAUUUAUUGCCUAAUGCCACAUAUUGUAAGACACACCAUUGUAUUGGUCACUCUAGCUAAGCACAAUGAGCUUCAGUGGCAUACGGCGGUCACACAACACGCCGGAUGCACUCUUCCACUUCAUCCAUCCAGCUUGUAUUCUAUGGUUGAGAUCUCCAUCUAAUUCUCCGUUCUUUUGCAAAAUAGAUCCUAGGUAACGAAAACGGUCGCUCUUUGAUAUUUCUUGAUCUCCGAUCCUCACCCCUAAAUCGUUUUGGCCUCCAUUUGCACUGAACUUGCACUCCAUAUAUUCUGUCUUUGAUCGGCUUAGGCGAAAACCUUUAGAUUCCAACACUUCUCUCCAAAGGUUAAGCUUUGCAUUUACCCCUUCCUGAGUUUCAUCUAUCAACACUAUAUCGUCUGCGAAAAGCAUACACCAAGGAAUAUCACCUUGAAUAUGUCCUGUUAACUCAUCCAUUACCAACGCAAAAAAGGUAAGGACUUAAGGAUGAGCCUUGAUGUAAUCCUACAGUUAUGGGAAAGCUUUCGGUUUGUCCUUCAUGAGUUCUUACGGCAGUCUUUGCUCCUUCAUACAUAUCUUGUAUAGCUUGGAUAUAUGCUACUCGUACUCCUUUCUUCUCUAAAAUCCUCCAAAGAAUGUCUCUUGGGACCCUAUCAUACGCUUUUUCCAAAUCUAUAAAGACCAUGUGUAAAUCCUUUUUCCCAUCUCUAUAUCUUUCCAUCAAUCUUCGUAAGAGAUAGAUUGCCUCCAUGGUUGAGCGCCCUGGCAUGAACCCGAAUUGGUUGUCCGAAACCCGUCUCUUGCCUCAAUCUAUGCUCAAUGACUCUCUCCCAGAGCUUCAUUGUAUGACUCAUUAGCUUAAUACCACUAUAGUUCAUGCAAUUUUGUACAUCGCCCUUAUUCUUGUAGAUAGGCACCAAAGUGCUAAUUCGCCACUCAUUCGGCAUCUUCUUCGUUUUCAAAAUCCUAUUGAAAAGGUCAGUGAGCCAUGUUAUACCUGUCUCUCCCAAAACUUUCCACACUUCGAUUGGUAUAUUGUCUGGGCCUACUGCUUUUCUAUGUUUCAUCUUCUUCAAAGCUACAACCACUUAUUCCUUCCGGAUUCCACGAUAAAAAAAGUAGUUUCUACACUCUUCUGAGUUACUCAACUCCCCUAAAGAAGCACUCAUUUCAUGUCCUUCAUUGAAAAGAUUAUGAAAAUAACCUUUCCAUCUGUCUUUAACCGCGUUCUCUGUAGCAAGAACCUUUCCAUCCUCAUCCUUAAUGCACCUCACUUGGUUUAGGUCCCUUGUCUUCUUUUCCCUUACUCUAGCUAGUUUAUAGAUAUCCAACUCUCCUUCUUUGGUAUCUAGUCGCUUAUACAUAUCGUCAUAAGCCGCUAACUUAGCUUCUCUCACAGCUUUCUUCGCCUCUUGCUUCGCAUUUCUAUACCUUUCACCAUUUUCAUCGGUCCUAUCCUUGUAUAAGGUUUUACAACAUUCCUUCUUAGCCUUCACCUUUGCUUGUACCUCCUCAUUCCACCACCAAGAUUCCUUUUGGUGUGGGGCAAAGCCCUUGGACUCUCCUAAUACCUCUUUUGCUACUUUUCGGAUACAACUAGCCAUGGAAUCCCACAUUUGAUUAACUUCCCCCUCUCUAUCCCACACACACUGGGUGAUUACUUUCUCUUUGAAAAUGGCUUAUUUUUCUUCUUUUAGAUUCCACCAUCUAGUCCUUGGGCACUUCCAAGUCUUGUUCUUUUUUCUCACUCUUUUGAUAUGUACAUCCAUCACCAACAAGCGAUGUUGAUUAGCCACGCUCUCUCCUGGUAUAACUUUGCAAUCUUUACAAGUUAUACGAUCCCCUUUCCUCAUUAGAAGAAAAUAUAUUUGUGUUUUUGACGACCCACUCUUGUAGGUGAUCACAUGUUCUUCUCUCUUCUUAAAGAAGGUGUUGGCUAAGAAGAGAUCAUAUGCCAUUGCAAAAUCCAAGAUAGCUUCCCCAUCCUCGUUUCUCUCCCCAAAACCAUGGCCACCAUGAAAACCUCCAUAGUUGCCUGUCUCCCUGCCCACGUGUCCAUUUAAAUCUCCUCCUAUAAAUAACUUCUCCGUCUGAGCAAUUCCUUGCACCAAGUCUCCAAGGUCUUCCCAAAAUUUCUCCUUCGAACUCGUAUCCAACCCUACUUGAGGUGCGUACGCACUAAUCACAUUGAUAAGUUAUUGUCCUAUUACAAUCUUGAUUGCCAUGAUUCUAUCUCCUACCCUCUUGACAUCUACAACAUCUUGUGUCAAGGUCUUGUCCACGAUGAUGCCAACACCGUUUCUCGUUCUAUUUGUGCCCGAAUACCAUAGUUUAAACCCUGAGUUUCUAGAUAUAUAUAUAUAUAUAUAUAUAUAUCAAAUGGCCCCUAAAUGCUAUUAAAAAUCUCAAAAAUUAACAGGAAACUAAAACAAAUUAGAAUUUAUUCAUGGUUUCGCAAUUCCCAGCCGGGUAAACUGGUGGCCGUUGUAAGAGAGGGCCUCCAGCCGGAUAAACAUUUUCGAGUUAUAUGAUAUUUGUAUAGCAAAAAUACUUUAAUAGCAAGUGCGCGUGAGUGAAGAAAUUGAACUUACUUAUAUUCUUUCGAAUCCCAACCGGAAAAAUUGCAGGCUCUGGGAAGAGCGGACCUCCAGCUCUGCACCUCCUUCACGUCAACGUUAGAACGACCUUCAUGUUUAGCAAAAGCUUCUGCAAAACUUCCCUCGAGUUUACGAAUAUUGGACGGAUCGACUUGGUAGAAAAUGGGGAAUACAAUCUGGUUCUUGGAAUGGUUGCAUUCCAAGAUUUCCACGAGUUCUUUCAAGCACCAUGUGGAUGAAGCAUAGUUUUCAGAGAAAACUACAAUCGAAAUCCUUGACUCUCGAAUCGCUGUCAGGAGCUCGGAAAGGCGGUCGCCUUUUCUGAGGUCUUCGGCAUCAAUGAACGUGUUGAUUGGUUUCUGACGCAGAGCUUUGUAGAGAUGGCUGACGAAGCCCGUGCGAGUGUCUUCCCCUCUAAAAUUGAUGAACACAUCGUAUUCCCAACCAAGGCAAGAAGAAGAAGAAGAAGCAGCAAUUAAUCGAUCGCACCUGGGCAGCGAUGAUCGAGCAGCUUAAGACUAAGAGAAUUGUAAGUACAGAAACACUCAAUAGAUCUACAAAUUGGAUCACCAGAAAUUAGUCAAUGAGUCAAUGCAAAAGGGAAAAGGGCAAUUAUGCUUUUUGCGUUUUCACAUCUUCUUCAGGAAAUUUCGGUGUGAAAGGAAUCCGCAUACUUUUGAUUUUUCAACCCAAGAAAAUGCGAAGAAAGGGGACAAAGUAGUAAAUUUAAUCUACAGUUGCCUACCCAACAACCUCUUGAUUUAAUAUAUAUUUAAUUAGGAAAAGUAGUUUAGAGGAAGGAUGGUAUCUCCUUUUCUUCUCUCUCGAUCAGUCAAUCUUCCCGCGUGCGAUUUAAUCAUGAUUAAAGCUAAGCUUAAUCUUAGAUCGUAUUAUUUAGGUCUAAUUGGAUUCUUAAUUCUUGUUGUGAUAUAGUAGUUGGAAGAUUAAAAAAAAUUAUGAUUUAAAUGUUUGUGGUGAAGUCUGUUACGAUUUAGUUUCAAACUUGAAAAUUUCGUUAACUCCGUUAAUUAUUAGCACAUGAGACUCACAAAUGAAACUAAAAAUAUAAAGUUAGCCUCACAUGUAAUCUUCACGUGCUAACAAUUAAAAGAGAGUUCCGUUUUAGCUUAAUAUAUGUGACUCACGUGUUAAUAAUUAACGGAAUAUUAACAAAAAUUUUAAUUUUAAGCAUAAAUUCAAAUAAACUUCACCACAUAAGCUUAAAUUCUAAUUUAGAUAUCUUCUAACUAUCUUAUCACCAUAAAAAUUAUAAUCAAAUUAAACUUAUUAUUUAUUUAUAAAUGCGUAAUUAAAUCACAAAGUGUUGAAUGAAAGGGAGCACUCCAAAUGAUGAAAGAUGUGUGAUAUCCACACAUCUUUUUUUUUACUUUUUACACAUCGUUUUAAUUUUCGACUGUCGGAUCGAAUUAAUUGAAGAAAAUCAAAGGAUAAAAAUCAACAAAGGGUGUGCAAGAAGUAAAAAUGAGUGUGUGGAUAGUCAUCCCAUGAAAAGCGGGAGCAUCGAAAGCUAUCUCCGUUUCUUGUUGUCUAUUUGUCUUCUUUUGGCAGAUAGCUCCUAGGGACCGGCCUAUUUUCCACAGCUGGUUAUAGGACUCAGUUACUAUAGAAGGAGUGUUUUGUUGUAAUUCAAUAUCGAUGGAAAUCCAACAUAAUCUUUUUCAAAUUUUUGUGAGGAUUUUGGGGUGUACGUAAAUUGAUUAUGUUCAUCGUAUAUUAUGUGACCAUUUUUUAUCAAAUACUAUUUGUGUUUCAUUUUAAAUAAAAUAAUUUAAAAUAAUUUUUAACUGCAAGAUGUACAAUGAACGGAUAUAAUUCACAAAUCUCCAAAAUCCUUACAAAAAAAUCCGAAAAAGAUCCAAAUUCAAUGGAAAUAAGCUAAUUUUGAAUCAAAUUACAUUACUUUAUUUUGUAAAUAAAUUAAUUUUGAAUCGAACAACAUUCAUUUAUUAUGUAAGUAAUUCAUUUUGUAUGUAUCAUCAUAUAUAUUAGGCACAUUUUAUCAUAGGUGAUUUUGUGAAAAAUUAAUAAAAAGUUACAAUAUUAACAAUAGAUCAAUAAUAUUUAUGUUAAUUAUAAAUAGGUUAACCAUAUGUUGUGAUACUUAAAUACAUUUAAAAUAAAUAAAAAUUACAAAAUCUGACAUCCACUGCGACGUAGGAGCCACGGUGCAGCCCAAACUUUGCAGAUAAGAAAUCUGGUAAUUCACAGCAUGACAAACAAAUUACUGGGUCUCCUGACCAUCGUUGAUGCCAAUGUGUGCACAAGGAAAGGAGUAAGGUAAUCAAAUGCGUUAGUCUUGUGUACCUGUUUCGGUGUUGGUUUGGAUGAACCCAUUGAGUUCUCGAUCCUUAACUUCUGGAAAUGCUCCUGAAAGCAUAAAUAUAUGUACGGAUUUAAACCAAUGACAAAUGGACAUAAUUUACGGACAAUGAUUGAAGAAAAUACAGAUAUAAACGCCUCAGUAUUCCAUUGACGAAAGUUCUAGAUUUGAUGAAUCAAAAGUCCCACGUUGAGACUGCGUUAAGGCAAAUGGUUCUCAAAACCUGUUUUUCCCUCAUCAAAUGAGCGCGUUGAUCUGCAGGUAUUUUCUGCCAUCUCAAAACCUGUUACAAAGAAAUAUAACGUUGAUGUCGAGCUGGAUAGCAUAUUAUACCAAUUAUGUGUACAAACCUAUUGAAAUAAAGUAGCUGUAGUUGCAUAUUACGACAGAUAUUAACGAAAACAAAAGAAGGCUCGCCUAUUCAAGAUCCUAAAUCCCGUGAUUCUUUUGUUUUUAGUUUCAGAAAUUUUCAGAGCAAACUGGAAAGUACCAAGAUACUUACAUAUUGGGCAUAAUGAAAUGCAUCUUCAUCUUUCAAGCAAGAUUUGAGUGAGCGCAAACCGUCCUGAGAGUUACAUAAGUCAAUCAGUAAUAUAAAAACGUAGACGCAUCACAUCCAAACACAAGUAUUCAAACACCAACAACUUCUUCAUGCGGUGAGGCAUGUUAAAAAAUAGGGAAGAACAGUUAUUGAAUAGGAAGUUAAAGGACUAAAUUUAUGACCUUGUGUUUGUAGUUCUUGGCUCGUAUGCGUUCAUCUAUUACAAAACCAAUCUGUAACAGGUACAACAGAAAAUAUAAGCAGUAGUCAGAACAUUAAUCUUCGGCAUUCACAUUGCCACCAAUCCAAAGUUAAAAGUCUGAAGGCAAAACAGUAUGAUUCUUAUCUCUCAAACAAAAAUGAAACUAUACCCCGGUCUCAGACAUAAAUGAAAUAAGUUCUACUGCCUCAACUGAGUACUGUGAUUAUAUAUAAAUCCAAUUCACCUUGUCAAGUAAUCUCUUAGGAUCUUGAAAUGCUUCCUUCUUAGCCCAGUCAUUAAAUACAUGCGAGAAAAUUGAUCUCUCAUCCACACUGAAUCUAUUGCACAGUGACAGAAGAAUAAAGUUAAACAUGAACAUAACCAACCAAAAUGCUAGUUAUAAUAGUACACCCAUAAUUGCAAGCAAAACCUUUUUAAGAAGCCAUUUCCAUGGUUUUCCUCCCAAAUUCCAUCAAUUCUGCAGAGGCAACGUCAAAUUUACUAUGAUGGAGAUCAUUUUGCACUGUAAUAACUUCAGAAGGUAGGAGAUUUGGUUUCAGAUCAUCUGUUGACGGAGUAGUUUCUUUUGAAGUGUCAUGAUGCUUUUGAUUGCAAGCCUUCUGUACUUACGUCAGCCUACAAAACAAAAAUUGCAUUCAUCCACACUAGACUUAAUAAGAUUAGAAACACUUCAGAUUCUUCAUUAUUUGUAUUUUUGACUAAACAGCAGAACAACUGAGGAUAAUGAACAGUAAUACACACCUGGACUUCUCGUAGAUGAUUUGGAAUUUCUUUCAGAAAUCGCGAAGGUUGAAGCAUCUGAAGGAGUCACCUUCUCAGUCAGAGCAACAACAACAAAUAAGGAGGACAGGAAUUCAAGCUAAAACGAACCUGCCAACUGGAAUCCAUCGUAACAUAAAGAAUGAAAAGCUUUUUUCGAGCACGAGUCAUUGCAACAUAUAAUAGGCGUCUCUCCUCCUAUGAUUAGAGUGGGAUUAUUGAGUUAUUGACCAAAAGAAAAAAGAGUGGGAUUAUUGUGAAAAACAUGUCAAAGCUCUGCAUAUAACUGAAAAAUGUUGAACAAUUUACCACACACCUCAAUGGAGGUCCCAUUUUCUUUUGCAACCCCAUUGAAUUCAUGCAACAACGGGAUCUCAGAUUCAUUUACCUGUGUUAUUGGCAUGAGCAUUAAAGCAAGCUAAGAUGAUUUGAAGAGGUUGAUAUCGUCAUGAAUAUAGUAGAACAGAAUACCAAUUUCAAGCCAUCAAUUAGGUAUAGCAUUGGCAUGUUUAAUCCGUAAAUCUAAUGACAGAACACCUCAACUCUACACAUAAAUAAAUAAACAACCUGAAAAAUAUUACAGCCACAUGUUAAGGCAAAUACCUUAAUUAUGAAAACUAUAUCCCACUCUAAACCUUUUGACUGCAAGAGAAUGAAAAAGAAAGACAGUAAGCCAAGAAUGUUUUGUAGAACUCCAAAGGAAGUCCAAUAGGGAAAUCAUCGCAAGUAUAAGAGUUAGCGAGGUUCGCAUAAGAGGAUAUCAAAAAGAUCUAGAACCUGAUGAAUAGUAGUCAAAGUGACAGAACUUUGGUUGUCAUGUCUUCGGGAGUGAAAAUUUUCACUCUCCUGCUCAGAUAUGUAGUCGAUGAAAGCUUUGAGUAAAUUAACGCAGCCUUUUUCUUCUGCUACGACUUCUCUCUCCCCUUUUCCCGCAACAAAAUGAGUUGAUAAGAAAUCAGAUACGUCGUCUAGUAGGUACUGAAGAACCUGCAAUGAGAAUAAUCGCAUCACAGCAACAGGGUUGGACCAAGAUUUAAGUGACAACAAUGAUUAACUAACUAAAAUAGAGAAAUUAUUCAUUUAAGACCUUGUUGACGGAAAAAAGGGUUUUCCAAGCAGCGGGUCAUUUAAGCUUAUUGUAUAAAUGACAAUCAUCACAAACGGCAAACUUACAGAUCUCACGUCAUUGUCUUCAUUCAGCAGUUUUCCUCCAUCUACAUCAACGACUGCACGUUGCUCAAGACGGUACUUCUAAAAAUUGAAAGUCAACAACAACAACAACAACAACAACAAAGCCUUUUCCCACUAAGUGGGGUCGGCUAUAUGAAUCCUAGAACGCCAUUGCGCUCGGUUUUGUGUCAUGUCCUCCGUUAGAUCCAAGUACUCUAAGUCUUUUCUUAGAGUCUCUUCCAAAGUUGUCCUAGGUCUUCCUCUACCCCUUCGGCCCUGAACCUCUGUCCCGUAGUCACAUCUUCGAACCGGAGCGUUAGUCGGCCUUCUUUGCACAUGUUCAAAAUCACCGGAGCCGAUUUUCUCUCAUAUUUCCUACAAUUUCGGCUACUCCUACUUUACCUCGGAUAUCCUCAUUCCCAAUCUUAUCCUUUCUCGUGUGCCCACACAUCCCACGAAGCAUCCUCAUCUCCGCUACACCCAUUUUGUGUACGUGUUGAUGCUUCACCACCCAACAUUCUGUGCCAUACAACAUCGCUAGCCUUAUUGCCGUCCUAUAAAAUUUUCCCUUGAGCUUCAGUGGCCUACGACGGUCACACAACACGCCGGAUGCACUCUUUCCAUCCAGCUCGUAUUCUAUGGUUGAGAUCUCCAUCUAAUUCUCCGUUCUCUUGCAAGAUAGAUCCUAGGUAGCGAAAACGAUCGCUUUUUGUGAUCUUCGCUAGAUUUCUCCGGUCAUUAGUGUGGAUAAGUAUAUAAAUGGAUAGAGAUAGGAAAGCAAACACAAGAUGUACGUGGUUCACCCAGAUUGGCUACGUCCACGGAAUAGAAGAGUUCUCAUUAAUUGUGAAGGGUUUACACAAGUACAUAGGUUCAAGCUUUCAUUUAGUGAGUACAAGUGAAUGAUUUUAGUACAAAUGACAUUAGGAAAUAUUGUGGGAGAAUGAUCUCGUAAUCACGAAACUUCUAAGUAUCGGAGUGUGGUGUCGUCUUGACUUGCCUUAUCUGUCUCAUAGGUAGAUGUGGCAUCUUCUCUGGAAGUACUCUUCCUCAAACGAUAAAUUAUUAAGAAGCAUUGAAUAUAAGCAUGAAACGAAGAAAAUGUUAUGGAAUGGUGAUCCUCAUCCUCAAAGAUGAUUAAAAGCAAUUUGAUUCAAAAAUGACAUAUCAACUCUGGAGAAAUGGAAGACAAACCUGUGGUACCAUAUUCGCAACUGAGGUUAUGACAGCUGAAAUCGAUUGUUCCUGUGUGCAUUGAUAAGUGAGACUACCAUAGAGAUUCACAACUAAAUAAAGACAGGUAUUCCACAGAACAACCUUUACCUCUUUGGAAACACAGAUCUAACAAAAACUAUAACAUUUUGGAUUAAUAUUGACAAAUCAAGAAUAAUGCAAGGGAGCAAGAGAUACUCUUCCUUCUAAUAACAAGGAGGCGUGAAAAGUAUACAGAGUUCCAACAAUUAGAGAACUAAAAUCAAACUAAAAAAAUCACCAAAGUAGACAGAAUCUCACUUCGCCAAAAAUUUGAAAAUAUACCUUUUUAUCCAUUGAGAUUCAUGAACUACUACUACUACAUCAUGCCAAUAAGCAAUGCGUAAGAGGAGCUACAAUUUACCGAAUAUAUUUACCCUGAGAACAAGUUUUGAAAUCAUCUCUAGUGUUAACAGCACCUUGCGUCCUUGGGUAAGCUGAGUCCUAUUAUCAAGUAAAGAGACCAAUCAGUACAUAUCCAAAAGAUCUUAAAUGCUUGUAAUACCAAAUAAGAAAGAAACAUGAGUAUAUCUUGAAUUAACCAUGCAAAAAUGUAAUGUUAAAGCAUCUUGUCAUACAGACCUCUUCAAGGUACCAGAAAUUUUUGCACUAAAGAUGUCACAAGCAGCUGAUAUGAAGCUGCAUUUUCUGUGAGUUGAAAUUUUGUCAAUAUAAUCGAUCACCUGAAGAGAGAGAGAGAGAAAAAGACAGUGAUAUCCAGAGAUGUGAGCCUAAAUGCUGAGUGUGUAAAAAAAGAAGAUUAAAUGGAUAGCAAGAAUAUACAACUUUAAUGCUGAAAAGAACAUUGAAUAUGAUGCUCAUUCAUCAUUCCCAUUGAACGUGUACCUUCUUCUUUUCCUCUUUCUCAAAAGCAAGUAGAGCCUUGAAGACUUGCCUAUAUGAUCCAUCAUCACAACCAGGCAAAGUUGUUUUAAUCAUAGCAACAAUGGCUCUAACUACCUGCCAUAAGAAACAUGCUACAUCAACAAGAUCACAGAGUGUACCAGAAACCGUAAUGUAGCAAAAUCUUGGAUAAAAUAGCUGGCCAAAAGGGAAUGGAAAAGCAAGCAUGAAAAACAAUGAAAAGGACCAGUGAUGCCAAAAUUCUGGUGGAAAAGGUGAAAAGCUUCUGUCUAUUACAGUUCUUGUAUGCAUUCUUUAUAACUUAAGUUCUACGUAGCAAAAACCACCUUAUGCACAACAAUAUUGGAAAAAUUAGAUACAUACAACUGAGAAGAUAGGUUUUCAUAAUCUGGACAAGUGCUAACUACUUUCUUCCUAUAAACUGCCACUCCAUGAACAUUAAAUGGUAUUUUCCUUUCACGCAAGGCUGUCUGGAAGACUUUUCCUGAUACCUGUAGCAUAAAAUACAAAAGAAAAUGUGACCAAAAUGUCUUAUAUGAUUCACCUCAUUCACAUUAGCACUAAGGCAAGUAAGCUUGACCUGCCUCCGGUAAAGGAUUGCUAUAUUUCCAUAGGAGCACCCUGCUUCUGACCGUUUAGAUGCAGUCUCCAGGAUCUUGUCGACAACAAAGGCGCAUUGUGCAUCCUCAUUGUGACUUUCCUUGAUAAUUACCUACAUUUUGCCAGUAAAACCAGUGUCACUAACUAUAAGGACUGAAAAAUGACAUCAAAUUGUACUUGUUGGAGCAAGGAAAGAUUAAGUACCUUAGACCCAGAAGAAUUGUCCAUGUCAACAUUCUUUAGUUGGCAUUGCUUCUUAUUGUUUUUUAUAACAGAAGUUGCAGCUUCCACAAUAUAGCGUGUGGACCGAAAGUUUUUAUUAAGCCUAAUCUGAACCAUAAAGUUAUGUCAAAUCCCACAGAACCUCGUAAAAUAAAACUUACUUUCCUGUAAUUGUACAAUAUAUUUUUUCUGUACUAUAUAUAAUGAAAAAAGACACUGAAUGACAUAAGAUAACAUAGCAGUCAAGUGCGAAGCGAACCUCUUUGUAAUUUGAAAAAUCUUUACGAAAAGAAUCAAAUCCAGAAAUGUCCGCCCCAUUGAAACUGAAAAUGGACUGCAGCAGGAUAUAUGUUAUUUGAUUUAAAACAGAUAAGGGCUGGAUUAGAAUGAGCUGAGAGAGAGAGAGAGAGAGGGAGAGAGGGAGAGAGGGAGAGAGGGAGAGAGGGAGCAAUAACAUUGGAUUUCCAUAACAAAUCAACAACAUGCCUGAUCAUCAUCACCAACAAUGGUUAUGUGGUUAUGAGAGGCGAGAAUCCGCAAAAGACUAUAUUGCAUAGCACUUGUGUCUUGAAACUCGUCUAUUACAGUAGCUUUCCAUGACUCCUGGCACUCCUUCAACACUAAUUAAGAGAACACCAUGUAUCAACAUUUAGCAUUACUUGUAAAACUAGAUAAAUCAAUGAAAUAUACUUAGAUGAUAGAGACCUUCAGGAAAAUCACUUAGCAGCUUCACAGAGCAGCUAAUUAAGUCGUGGUAGUCCAAAGCAUUGCACGAUUUCAAGAUAUCAUUGUAAUUCCUAAGAAUUUCACCCUGAUUCAGAUUGAGAGCUAAAACUCAUAAGCAAUAGUUUCAAAGAACUGAAAUGAUAUCUGAAAUUCUAGUUCUGAGCGUACUCCUGUCACAUCACCCAUUCUUCGGCAUUCAGCCGGAGUCUUUCCAGAAGCCUUUGCCUGAAACAUAAAUAAAUUUAUUGCCUAAUGCCACAUAUUGUAAGACACACCAUUGUAUUGGUCAUUCUAGCUUGAUUGUAGCUAAUAUUUUUUAAAUCGAAUGAUUAGAGUUCUUAAUCCACAAUAAUCUGAACAUUAAAUUUGGUAUUCAAGACUAACCUGUGUCACCAACUACAGCCAUUUCCUUGAUGCAUCCUUAAAAUGAUGUGGAGAUGUUACGCCGUUAGACUCUUCCCCAUCUAUAGCAACAUUAAGAUUCGUUUACUCUUUUCAUCUUCUGAUAACCGCACAGCUUCAAUGAUUGCUCUUCUCUGUUGCCCAUGUCCAUAUAUCAAAAAUUCUGGUCUGCGCUCGAGUCUAAAACACAAGCCAACAUAACAGACUCAGCUAUACCACCAAAUGUAUGGUGUUCAAAAUCAAGGGAGGUGAAUCAAUAGCUUACUUCUCAGCAUGUGAUCGGCAAAGUUGCAAUGAAAAUGAAUGAAAUGUACUGAUUGUUAGUAGUUUUGCCGUUGCUUUCCCAGUCACAGAUCCAAUUCGAUCUCUCAUCUCGGAAGCUGCUGCUGUAGUGAAAGUCAUUGCUAGAAUGUUCGACGUGCUAAUGCCCUAAGAACACAAAAAAAAAAAAAAAAACGUAUAAGAUUUCGAUCAUAAACAAGAAAUGUAGAGAAACACACAAUUACGAAAGAAAAAGUUAGAGGGAAAGUAGCAACACCUCAUUGAGCAGCAUUAGAACGCGCCCAACUAUCGUUGAAGUCUUUCCACUUCCAGGGCCGGCAACAAUCAUCAAAGGUACUGAAAUAUCGCUGCAAGCUGCCUCGCGCUGCCUUUCGUUGAGAGAAAGCAAAUACUUCAAUACUCAUCCGGCAUGUUAGGCAAUCCAUGGUUAACAGAAUCUUUUUGGUUUUCACUACUCAAAGGUGGCGCUGAUGCGGCACUAACGUCACUACCACAACUCCCAAUAUCAUCACGCUGAAUGUCCACACUCGGUUUCUGCUCGAUUAAAGCGUCAAUUUCCUGCAAAAUACUCUCGUCGAAAUCAUCAUCGUUAAGAAUUCCAGAUGCAGAGAAAGAAUCAAAUGAAGUCAGAAACUGCGGUUGUCUGAUUGGAGUUGUGAAAGAAUCCGAUUUUGACACGCUUGAUUCGGUCCGGCUAACGCUUAAGCUCCCGGAACACGAAGCACUGCCAUAUUCACCACGCGUUGAAUUGUACCGGCUUGCGGAAAUCGGAGGCGGUGUUCUUUGAACUCUAUUGAGCUGAGUUGGCGUUUGGAUUCCAUUUCCGCCACAGAUUCUGGAAUUUGAAAAACACAAUUGAAUUGAUUUAAAUUGAAGCAAGAAAACAGCCGAGUAGCAAAAAAAUAGUAAGAAGAUGAAACCUUUGAUUCCUGAACGACUUACUUGGUAUGAGGGAGGUGAUGAUCAGGUGAAACGGCGUCGUUGCGGGGGCGUUUGCGAUCAAUGAGGGCCUUGGCGGCUCUGAAAUUCCGAGAGAUGCGGUUUCUUUGUUCCGCCGUGAGCCCUCCGCCGUACGCCUGAACGUUUUCCUUGGACAUUGCUUCGAAGAUUCCAACGGAGGAUUUGGCCUGACGGCCUGACCAGGCUGAUAACAGUGUAAAACCUUAGGAGCUAAGGAAAACUAAGAGAUAGAUCGUAGAGAGGGAAAGUUUUUUCUUUUUGGAAACUAGUAGGGAGGGAAAGUUUGUUAAACCUGAAUAAUAUUCUUUUCAUUCAACUUGUCUACAAUAAUUACCACUCUUGGUAUUUAUACAUUUCUAACACACCUCACUAACUAACUAAGACCACUACCAAUCAUACAAAAAUAAUUGUCCUUUGAUGAACUCUUUCACGAACAAAGUGGCAAUCAAUCUCUACAUGUUUGGCUUUAGAGUGCAAUACAGGUUUAGUGGCAAGAGCCAUUGCUUAAAUGUUAUCACAAUGCAAAACUGGAACAGAAGGAGAACCAACAUGCAAAUCUCGAAGAAGAUGUUGUAUCCAGAUAACCUUAGCAGUGGUUGUAGCCAUUGCUCUAUAUUCAGCUUCAGUGGAAGACCCACUCACUGUAUGCUGCUUUUUAGAACUCAAAGAGAUAGGAGUGACAAAACCCAUGGUUGAACGACGAUCAUUGUGAUCCCCUGCCCAAUCAGCAUAUGUAUGAGCUUUCAACUAAGAUGAACCUGAUUUAAAACACAAUCCCAGAGACAUAGUGCCUCUGAGAUAUCGCAGAAUACGUUUCACAGCAGCAAAUGAGUGGCUAAUGGUGAAUGCAUAAACUGACAUACUUGAUUGACGGAAAAAGAAAUAUCUGGUCUUGUAAAUGUUACGUAUUGUAGUGCCCCAACAAUACUUUUGUAAGUGGUAGGAUCAGAAACAGGUUCACUACCAUGAUUCAGAAGCUUUUGAUUAGGAUGACAAGGUGUGGAAAAAGGUUUACAGUCCAGCAUAUGCAUCUUUUGAAUGAGUUCUUUGACACACUUGGUCUGAUGAACAAAGAGUCCCUGUUCUUGAUAUUCAAUCUGUAAACCAAGAAAAUAAUGCAACACACCCAGAUCUUUCAUGUCAAACUCACUAGUUAACUGACUAAUAACAUUCUGAACCUUCACAGCAUCAUUACUAGUGGGAAUGAUAUUAUCAACAUGUAAUAAGAGAACAAUAAUUGAUGAACCAUCACACUUGACAAAUAAAGAAGGAUCUGCAUAUGAUGACUUGAACCCAAGCUUAGGCAAAUAACCUGAAAACCUGUCAUGUUAGGCUCUGGGAGCUUGCUUGAGUCCAUAUAAAGACCUCUCUAGUUUGCACACAUAAUCCGGAUAGGUAGAAUCCACAAACCCUUGGGGCUGAGACAUAAAAACUUCUUCCUCAAGAAAGCCAUGCAAAAAAGCGUUCUUGACAUCUAACUGUUUGAGUUUCCAAUUAUGAGAUGCAGCCAAGGAUAGAACCAAUCGAACUAUGUUUGGUUUGACCACAGGGCUAAAGGUUUCAUAAUAGUUAAUACCAACUUCUUAAGAAUACCCCUUAGCUACAAGUCUAGCCUUGUACCUAGCCACUAAACCAUCUGGAUUUCUCUUAAUCUUGUAGAUCCAUUUACAACUAACAAGAUUUUUGUCAGGUGGUAAGGGCACAAGCCUCCAAGUAUGAUGUUGAAUCAAAGCAUCCAUCUAUUCUUUCAUGGCAUUUUGCCAUUAAACACACUUGACAAUACUAGAAAAAGACUGAGGUUCCUUGAUUUCAGAAGCCUGAUCCACCUUAGCAGAAAACACCUUCUUUUUCAUAAUCCUAGACUUAGACCGGGUUUGCAUGGGAUGACAAUUUUGAGCAUUGAUACACACUGGUUGGAGAUCAUCCACUUGAGACAUUGUAGUAUUUGGAUGAUCUUUUGAAUACACAGUAGGCAAAACCUCUGAAGAAGGCACAAAACUUGUGGAAGAAGAGACAAGAUCACCAGAACUAGUGGGUUGAGAGGAUGAUGACUGAGUAACAUGUUGUGAUUUAGAGGUAAGAGAAGUGGGACCAAUAAAUGGAAAUGUGGAAGAAACACUAGGUGGAUGAAUGAAUGUGUUUGAAUGCACAACAGACAUUGGUGAGGAAGAAUGACCAGAAGUAACUUGAGGAUUGAAACCCAAAGCAUUAGAGUCUGUAGGAAACUUGGAUUCAUCAAAAAUAACAUGUCUAGAUACUAACAGUUUCUGAUCUUUGAGAGAUAAGCAAAUAUACCCUUUGUAUUGUGUAGCAUACCCCAGAAAAAUACACUUAGUAGUUUUAGGUUCAAGUUUAUUGCUUCUAUAGGGUUUCAAUGAAUGAUAGCAUAAACAACAAAAAAUUCUCAAAUGAUCAAGCUUAGGUGGAGAUUUAUAUAGCAUUUCAAAAGGAGACUACAUAUGUAGGGUAGGUGUGGGCAUUCUGUUUAUAAGAAAAGUAGCAGUGGCACACGAAUGGAACUAGAAUUUUGAAGGUUGAAACUUGUUGUAAAAAGGUAAUAGCUGUUUCGACAAUAUGUUGAUUUUUUCUCUCAGCCAACCCAUUAUGUUAUGGGGUAUAAGGACAAGAUUUUUGAUGAACAAUGCCUUUGGUAAGAAGAAAUUGCUUAAACUGAGUAUUAACAUAUUCCCCACCCCCAUCACUUUGCAAAAUUUUUACAUAAGCAUCAAAAUAAUUCGAGACAAAAGCAAGAAAGUUGACAAAACAGUGAGGGACCCCAAACAUCUAUGUGAAUUACUUCAAAUGGAGUAAGUGACUUCGAAGCAAUUACAGGAAAAAUGGAGCUUGGUAAAAUUUGCCUUGCAAACAAGCUUUACAAGUAUGAGAUUGAGAGUUACAAGGAAAAGAUAUACAAGACUUAUUAAGUGCUGCAGUGACAAUGGAAUGUGCAGGAUGGCCUAAUCGACAAUGCCACAAUGUAGAAUACAUCUUUUGACCCACAAAUGCAAUUGGAUUAAAAACAGGAGAAAUAGACCUAUGUGGUUUGAUUAUGGGAAGUGGAUAGACAACAUUAUUACUCAGCCCUUGGAAUAGCACUUUCCCGGUGACCUUGUCUUGUAGAUAGAGAGAAACAUCAUCAAUGAUACAAUGACACUGAUUAUCUUUGCACAACUGAUUCAUAGAUAAUAAGUGUUGUGACAGUUUUGGAACAUGUAACACAAAGUUUAACUUGAAAUUAUGUGACUUAGUGAGAAGAGAAGAGGAACCAAUAUGUUUGAUAGCUAAACCUUCACCACUAGCACUGGUCACAGUAUCAUUUGAUGGAUAAAUUUGUUGCCAUGUGCAAGUUUGACAAAUCUGAGGUCAUAUGGUUAGUUGCUCCCAAGUCAAGAAACCAUAAAUCUUGUUGAAGAGUUGAGGAUGAUGCACCAGCUCGUGCUUGUAUAGCAAGAGGAGGAUUUUGUGAGGAUAUAGUUGAGAGAUACAUAUGUGGUAUGACAUGAUACUGAAACUGGGAGCUAUUAGACCGUGGAAUCAUGCCUUGUGAAGGACCACAUGGAUUCUAGCUAGGUGCUUCGCCAUAUGACCCAGCAGGCAUUGGAGUUGGCAUAGAUGAGGAUAAACCCUGAGAGAAAUGCUUUGAUGUGCCUGUGAAAUUCUUAUUUCGAUCAAAGCAAGUAGCAGCAACAUGGCAAUUUCUGUGACAAAUUUGACAUCCAUGUUGAAAACAAUUCAAUGCAAAAUAAACUUUGCGAUCACAUAUUUGCAGAAAGGCCUUUGCAACCCUAGAAAGAAGAAGGAGCAAAGAAGACCAAAUGUGUACGUUUCUCUUUGGUUUUUUUUCCCUCUUAAUCACGCUGUUCGAAAUCACGGACCUCGGGCCUGGGCCUAGUGGGCCCAAUUAUGAGGCCCAUUAUCUCCGGUCUUCUCGUUCUACUUCUAGUUACCCAAAUUAAGAACGUACUGGUUCGCUUUUAGCGCGAGAGAGAAAUGGAGGCCCUGAUUGCCUCGUACGGAGACUCGUCGUCGGGCUCAGACUCCGAGUCGCCGGCUCCACCUCCAUCACCACCUCCGGAGCUCAACAACCCUCAAGAACCGACCCCUGCGCUGCCUCCACCUCCUCUGUCACUUCUCGACAACCCCAAUUCCUUCGGUAACCUCUGAUUCCCAUCAAUUUUCAUCUUUUAGCUUUCUGUUGUGAUGGCUUUUUCCGAGUUGCCCACCAAGUAUUUGAUGUUUUGCCUCUGAAGGAUUUCUGGACUUCUCGGCAAGCGCCCAGCCGAGCAGAGUUCGGAACUUUCCUCACGUCGAAGGGAACUACGCAGUACAUGUAUACAUCCCAGGUUAUCAAAAUUCUCGAAAUUUUCAGCUCCAUUAGCAAAUGCGAUCGCUUUGCACUUAGUUUUUGCUUGUUUAAUUCUGUGGUCAGUUUAUAUACCACCAGCACCAAGGAAAGAGAUGGCCUUGUUUUUGAACAAGCUAGCUUCUCUGGUGCCUGGUCUCCAUGCGGUUGACGUUGACUUCCUGCUUGACAUUCUGCGUAAGGACGAGCACAAGCUUGAACAAGUUGCUUUAGGCAGAGAGUUCCAUAUAAGUCUCGGAAGAACUGUUCCGAUUCGGGUGCACCAGAUUGAUUCCUUGGUGACAAUGCUGCGGCAGAAGCUUCAGAUUCAGAGGCGGUAUGGUUACAUUUACAUUCUCUUGUCUGCAUUGCGUGAAUUUAGUUCUGUUAUUUAACAUAAUUCUGUAAGCCUGCAAAUUUUUCGUCCAUUUUCAGUUUAACACAUUUUGUUAUUGUGAAACAAGUAUUGGAUUGAUUUUAGCAAGUGGUAGGUUUUUGUUAAUGAUGAUCAGACCCGGACCUUUGUGUCUAUCGAAAUCAUUGCUGCUGGGUUAGCUGAGGUAUGAUUGCUAGCUUUCUCUCUUGGUGCAAUUCUAAAUGUUUUCAGUUGUUAUAUGGGCUUAAGAUUUAGCAAGGACUUGCCGAAAGUCAUGGGAUUUUGAAAUAUCGAGAUCUUGCUUGCUUAUUAGCUUAGAUUUGGUCUUCGAUGCACUUGUAACAUGAAAAACACAAACGAAAACUAAUGCAUGAUAUGCUCAUGGUUUUAACAUGUGUUGUCCUGGCGUAAAUCAUGUUCCUAAUCAUGUCAUGUGAGUAUAAGCCUAUGAAACUUAGGGCAUGUUUGGCGGGCUGGACAAGAUUGGAAUUGGUAUUUCAGACUAGUUAGGUUAGGAUUGAACUGGAUAGGAUAGGUUUUUUGUCUAAAGAUUGGUGUAGACUGUCUUAACCAGACUAGGAACGAUGGGAUUUAAAACGUGAAACAGAUCGGCGACAUCCCAACGAUGACCCGCCCACCCAACAACUCUGCUCGUGACUUGCAACACCUCUCGUACCCUCCACGCCCCUUGCGGCCCGUCAGACCACUCUGAUAUCCUGGAGGAGUGAAACGUGGUUACUAGAAGCAUACCUGUUUUCGUAUUAAUGCACGGUUGAAUCAGCUUUCAUUGUCUACAAGUCUGAAAUAUUUUAACUUCCAUUGAUUUCAGAUAACAAAGCAGAUUCAAGCUGUGAAUGAGGUGUAUAAGCUUCACAAUCAUCCUAAAUUUUACAAGGUUAGCUUUUUCGUCCUUUUCAAACUCGAAUCGCUUCCUGAAUAUAUGACAAUAUAUUGGAUCAAAUGAUUUCUCAAAAAACUAAUUCACUUGAUGGGGUCUUGGUGAUCACAGGAUCCACGCCCUCACAUCUCGGUAGCUUGGGCAUUGGGUGACAUCAGCAAUUCCCUGAACAAAGUGGUUGAAGAAGAAAGACGAAGAUCUACCAUCGGAGGAUCGUUACAGAAAUGUAUUUUUACCAGUAAAUUCAAUGGUAUCGAAUGUAGGAUUGGUAAUAAGACACACAAAAUAUGUAAAUUUUCUGAAGAAUAAUGUAGCCAUUUAACUGUAUUGUGAAAUUCCGAGAAUAUAUCACUGAGCAUUGGAUGAGAAGACAUUUCUUCGUUGGUGUCGAACUUCUUGUCGAAGGUAUUGGCACCAGUGUAAACGUCAUCAUCCAUGUUGAUGGUAAUUACUUCCCAGCUACUAAGGGUGUCGGAACAGCCUUGCACGCAGCCUCCUGUGCAUUACUUGGUAUUGUCUCAGAUUCUCCAAACUUGAAUGCUAAUGUAAACCCACUCUUGACCUUUCCGUCAUCUGCGAUUACCGGAAUGCCGGCUUGGAUGUUGCCGUUGACCUACCGAACUUAAAAUACCGACGAAAUGUUGGAGUACUUAAGUGUACUACUCGUUUUUGUAUGCGAGAGCUCCACCUCUAUCGUUGUAACAGCAUCUGAUGCGGACUAGUCCUUCAUUCCCGUUACUCUUUGCCAUCUCCACUUCGAACUUGGCGUGAUGGCUCCCGGCCUCCUCUCCGGUGAAAUUGAGUAACCCCGGAGCUGGCGUGCCAUCAAGAUUUCCGUCGUGUCUCUAUUUGCUGUUGUGGUUUGGUUUCACCACUAUAAACUUGGCAGAGUUGGCAUUUUCAUUCUGUUGUCUGUAUAUCUUGAUAUUACAAGUAUUUGUUGUGCAAAAUGCAUGCUAAGUUCAACUUAUGUUUAUAUGUGUGUGUGUGUGUGUUGCCACUUUUCCAACGUUUUCUCCAAAAUUGUGACGAGCAACAAAGCAGUUUUGAUUCCGUGCACAACAACGAUACCUCGAAAGAAAUUGAUUCUUCCCCAGAAAGAUGUUUUAAAACAAAGUUGAACAAGGGAAGAAAACUUUUGAAUCGCAAUCAGAUGUCUGGUCAAAUUCUUUAACAGUUGAUGUAUACAGAAGUUCCUUGCUUAUGACACGACUUAUGAGAGGAUGUAUGUAUUGCAUUUGCAUCAAAAGAAAGAAAGAAGGUUGUAAGUGGUAAGGGAACGACUACCGAUGCCGCUCCACUUCUAAUCAAAGGGAUCGAUCCGAGGGUCGUGUUCACUUGCCAUCGCCAUUCCAGUGCAAAGGCAUGUCGGGCACAUUACCUGCCACAUUUACAGACGCAAUGUUAGAUAUAGCUGCCAUUUGGAAGUCAUCUCUCAAAAUUUUGCUACUAAAUCAAUCUUAAACUUCAUUUCCAGUGCAAUUUUUUUCUUCUGAAUUGUCUUUCACAUGCCCGACAAAUAGAAGUAUCACCAAACAUGUGAAUAUAGAGCAUCUAAGCGGCAGGCACUAAAAGGAAUUUAGUAUGCAAUAAACAUUCAACGGACAUAAUUAUAUGUCUAACCUUUCCCGCUCCUGAGCAAUUUGAACAUCGUUCAGUUUUUGGCAGAGAUAGGGGUUGGUUUCCGCCAUCAGCUGUCGAUACUGGUUCAGUAAGAACAAGGGUUCCAGUGCUGGAGCAACGAGCACAAGCAAGAGAUCCUGCGUAAGUAUCAAAUACACAGGUAAGUUGACAUACGAAACCAAUCCGAACAUCUCCAUCGUAUAUAUUUAAAGCUACAGUACAUAAACUAAAAGUCAGAAAUAUAGGACAUUAUCACACCAGUUCCAAGACAAUAUUUGCAUCGUUUAUGCUCCUGCUGUUUCACAUUGUUUAUUUCAACUACCAUCAAUGCUGAGAUCACUCCGACUGCUCCUCCAGAGAAUGACGCCACUAUGGGAUCAACUUGACUGCAGUUUGAAAGUAAAGGAGAUCAAUAAACGAAACUGGUAACAACAUAGUAUCAACAUUAUUUAGCUUCGUUUCAAGAAAGAUGACAUCCUAGGUUUUUCUAAUGUGUAAAAAUUGAGGAUCCUCGUAAAAUUUGACCAUAUCGGUUCCCAAAGCAUUUGAUUCCUACGUUACAGACGGAAAACAGCAACAAUCGAAUUUAAAGAUUCAUAACACGAUAGAUGGUACAAAAUUUCAAAACGAUAAUUACUAGAGAACAGGAGGGUUAAUAGCCUGAGAUAUGAGCAAUACCUCAACUGCAACGGCAGAUGCAUAUUUACUAUAAAGUCUUUAUAUGAUGUGCCUCCUAUUCCCAGCUUCAACUCCAACUGAAAGAUGUAAAGGUAAUUGUAGGCAAAGAGUUACAAACAUAACCGAAUCCAUGUUUUAUAAGCAACAACUACACUUAUUUUGAUAUGUUUCCUCAUUUUUUACUUGCAAAUUCCGAACCAUAUUGUCGGACCAGUAAAAGAAAAUAAUGUUUAUGAUAACUGUUAAAACUAAUUACAACAAGUUAAUGCAUAAAGAACUUACGGAGGGUGCUAUGAGGCCACCGAAAAGGAUAAACCCCACAAUAAUUGAAUAACAAACAGCAUAAUACUGCUUAAGGUUGUCUGAACUCUGCAAGCAAUGAAUUCACCUUGUGAUUAAUACUUUGCACAAACACUAGUUUUCGCAAUUUUUUAUGAAUCGACAAAAGGCUACAACAAAAUAUGGCUAAAACAUGUCGGGGAUAUGAAAAUACAUGUCUUCACAGGGGCACCAGCUUACCAGGGGAGGCAAAAAUGGAAUGAACGAUGGAAAACUAGGAAGUUCGUUUUCUUGAUCUUCAUUUACCGCUCCAAGCUCUGCACGUUUAAUCCGCUGUUGUAUCCUCAGCCUGCGAACCUACGCAUAUCGAAGCUCAUUCUUAAAGAACACAUUUCUAAUGGCAAUUGGAGAGUAAUUUAAAACAUGCUAAACUGAGAAAGUGGUAGCAACUAGUAAUUGCUCUCACCUCCUCCAUAUGCAAGAAAAUUUUGUUGCGACGACUCCGAAUAUUAUCUUGAAUUUCCUGCAGCUCCAUUGUGGCAAAAUCCUGCACUGUUUCAGGCCCCUCUAUGAUACAAAAUCUGCACCAUUAAGCAUGUAAAAAUUAAAAAUUACAGGCUACAAAGCAAUUUCCGUAUAGUUGUUGGGUUAAAUAACAUCAACAGCAAAUAAAUCACAUAGGUUUUUCACAUAAAGUUACAAACUUUCAAGGACUAAUAAGCUGUCUGCAAUCUCAUAAAUUUCACAGUGCAAAGUAACAAUCCAAAGCUUGGAACUUUAAAUUUCCACCUUCUGUUAAUUUUUUAGUGCACCUGGUGUCGUUAGAUUCGAGUAGUAUGUCACAUUAAAUUUUUUUUUUCUGUGCAUGCAUUUUUUUUUAAAAGAAAAUUUUAUAUUGUUAAAGAGCGAGUUCGAAACUAUUACAUUAUGGAAGGACAUAGUACCGAAACUCCGACGAUCAAAAACAAAAUCAUGUACAACCACUCCAAGCAGUCAACAUGGCCAUCACAUAUUGAAUCCAAAAUGUUGACGCCCCAUUCGCUGCAUAUAAUGUACAGACGAGCGGCAGCUUCAACCAGUUCUGCCAUAUCCGGCUGGAUGAGAGCAGCUAAAGACAUGAUUGUUCCCUAAUAACAUGAAUAAAUUGAGUAAACACCAAAAGUAGCAGCAAGGGAAGGAGAUGUGAAGUAUAUGAAGAGGUGUAAGACCUGUGAAUGUCCAGCAACAAAGAUUUUGGAGCUUGUUGUCGAAUAAUGCAACGCAUCAUUUCUGGUAGAUCAAAUAGAGCCAAUUCCCGCCAACUCCAAUUCCAAAAUUUCUACAGUAAAGCAUAAAUCUUAUUCUCUCUUCUGAUAAAGAUGAGUGUCCCAGACUCCAACGUGUUCCACACACAUUCCCUACCCAUACAUCGAAACCUUCAUCUGCAAGGACGAAUCCCAGCGAUUCUUCUGGAGAAUUUAAGAAUCAUGCAUCACCUGGUUAAGAUCAAGAAAAGCCAGUAACCAAGUUCAAUUGAGUUAAAAUGUAUCCCAUGGAUGUUCAUCACUUUGCCCAAUUGUUCUUUUCAAGAAAGGAAAUUUCAACAGAACCUGAAAACUUCAGAUCAGGGGGCACCAAAUAGUGAGCUAUACAUUCAAAAUUUGAAAUAAUCAACUUAGUAGGACCAGUAUGUUGAAAAAAUGGGAAGGAGCUAUGAAAGUAAGACUUUUCACUAAUCAGGCGUCCAGAGAAUCCAUAUUUUACCCGCGUAUCAGUUACGGGGAACACUCCCCACCAGAGCAAUCUCAUUAGUCCUUCACAUCUCAACCGUACAGAAGUUGCACUAACAAACAUGACUCCUAUUAGUCCUUCACAUCUCAAAUCCAGGAAGUACCCAUCUUUCGUCUGAAUCUGGAAAAUAAGCAGCAGUCAAUUUAACAAUCUCGGUAUCUCAAAGUUACUCACUUUAAUCACAAAUUUAGCAAUUAAACAUAUAAAUGGGCAUUUUUUUAGGGAAAUAUUAGUAUAGUACUCACUGUGUGCUCGGAGCAAGAGUACCCAGAAAGCUCAAUGAGCUGCGCACAGAGGACUGCAGUGGUGAACGACAGCGACCAAUUCUGUAAAAUUUAGUCGAGUUUUGGGAAAUUUCUGCAGCGAUUUCGGAGGUCAAGAGGCUGAUAAGGAAAGCCGCGACCAAAGGGCACUGGUCUGGAAGAAAGGCUUUGGUCGCCGCUAUCGCAAUUCGCGAAGGAAGAAGUGCCCCAAAACAAUUUCGGCCCUGGACAGGUGCACUGUUUGCACUGAGCCAGGGCCGGCCCUGAAUCGCGAUAACGUCCUUCUCCAAACAGUAUAUAUACAGAUGCUAGAAAAAUCUACCGGAACUAUUCAAUUCUAGCGUCUACAGCUUUAGCAUUAGUUGGUACAAGGGGCAUUCUUCCAAAGAGGGAGAUGAAAUCGUUGAGGCACCAAAUAGUGAGCUAUACAUUCAAAAUUUGAAAUAAUCAACAUGGUAGGACCAAUAUGUUGAAAAAAUUGGAAGGAGCUAUGAAAGUAUGGCUUUUCACUAAUCAGGCGUCCACAUAAUCAAUAUUUUACUCACAGAUCAUUUACGGGGAACACUCCCCACCAAAACAAUCUUUUUAGUCCCUCACAUCUCAAACCAAGUAGAAAUUGCAGUAACAAACACAUCUCAAACCCAGUAAGUACCCAUCUUUCGUCUGAAUCUGGAAAACAAGCAGCAGUGGAUUCAACAAUCUGGGUAUCUCAAAGUCACUCACUUUAAUCACAAAAUUAACAAUUAAACAUAUAAAUGGGCAUUUAUUUAGUGAAAUAUUAGUAUAGUACUCACUGUGUGCUCGGAGCAAGAGUACCCAGAAAGCUCAAUGAGCUGCGCACAGAGGGACUGCAGCGGUGACGACGGCAACCGAUUCUGUAAAAUUCAGUCGAGUUUUGGGCGAUUUCUGCAGCGAUUUCGGAGGUCAAGAGGCUGAUAAGGAAAGCUGGGACGGAAGGGCACUGGUCUGGAAGAAAGGCUCAGGACACCGCUGUCCCGAUUCAUGAAGGAAGAAGUGCCCCCAAAACAAUUUCGGCUCUGGACAGGUGUACUGUUUGCACUGGACCAGGGUCGGCCCUGGCGAUAACGUCCCCCAAACAGCACAUAUACAGAUGCUAGAAAUAUAUAAAUGUAACCUGAAACUACUAGAACCAUUCAAUUCUAGCGUCUACAGCUUUAGCAUUAGUUGGUACAAGGGACAUUCUUCCAAAGAGGGAGAUGAACUCAUUGAGGCUCUUAUUUAUUCCUCCUCUUGAUGUGCCCUUUUAGGCUGCUAAUUCCACACGAUCCAAUUUCAUACAUCUUCCCUGCAAAAGCAUGUGUGCCUGACUUCAAGAUCAAAUUUUUCCAACAAAAGAAACUUAAAGAUCAAACUCGCUAGCGGAAUAAGUGGUGCACAAGGGUGUUAAAAUCUUGACAUAUGUAUAUUUUUGGCAGAUUUUAUGUGAGCAUGCAACUAAAACUGGCAUCACUAUCAAUGGUGCACAAAGAUUGGUGGAAAACUUUAACAGUUUGAGUUGUAACUUCUCCAUUGUAUUUGUUAAGGCAAGACGGAUGUCAUCUAUUCAUUUUUCUGUAAAACUUAAAAGGCUGCAUAGCAGCUCUUGUUCGUUGUAUUGAAUACCAUGGUUUUACUGAUGAAUGCAGAGUUUGCUGAUGAUUCAUACGACAAGCAAUUGAAAAUCCCAUCAUUAUGCCCCGCAUAUACCAGAAGAAAAAAAAGUCAUUUACACAAAUUCAGAGCGUUCAUCCACUGUAAUUUGCAGAUAUGGAAACGUUAAGAUAAAAGGAAAUGCAAAGUACCUUUCACCCAAAUUGGAGGAGCAACGGUGGCAUUAGCAAGCUAGCAACGGGAAUUGACAUACCAAUAUCUUCACAGUUUCUGCACAAGAACAAAUCAAAAGAAUCCGGCGGUGGAGUUAUGUACCUCUCCUUGGAAAAUGCCACCUCCUGGGAUUUCAAAAUAUACGGCCGUGGCUAGCCGUCUGACCACGCCAAUUCCACCAAAGCCGCCGCAACGUGGCGUAGUGUCCGGUUGAUUGCUUCAAAACAGAGCUUCGUAUCCAUGUGUUUAUCAGCAGAGAGUACCCAAAACCCCUGAAAAUUAUUUCUUUAUUCAGAUAAUAAAAUUUCCCAAAUUUCGAAUUUUAAUUCCGAACAAAAAAAAUAGGGUUUGAAUUUUGAUUACCUAGAAAUUGGGGGGUUGGGGUGGAGAGGGACUCGGGCCAAGACACAGAUAUGCAUCCGUGAUAAGGUGUGCAAGGCUUUUGCAGUUUCUCAGAUCUAAACACUGAAGCCCCGUAAGCCGUUCAAUCCAGGGGGAAAGCUCUUUAAUAGAUGUUCCAUCCAAGAAAAGAAAUCUUAAUCCUUCCAUAUUUUCUUCAAUGCUUGGAAACACCUCAAAUUUUGUACAACCGGAAAGAGAGAGAAAGGCAAGGGACUUCAGCUGACAAAUGCUACUUGGAAGACUCUUAAGUUCUUUACAAUUUUCUAGCUUCAAAUGAUUCAAUCCCAUGAGAUUAUUAAUUGAUAAGGGCAGUUCUUUAAUUUUCGACCCAGAUAAAUCAAGAACUUUUAACCCCUCAAUCACUUCUGAAAUCUCUGGAAACAUCUCAAGACUCCAGCAACCAUAAAGAUCAAAGGUUUUGAGAGAUUUCAUAUGAAUGCUGCUUGGAAGACUCUUAAGUUCCUUGCAAUCUUGUAGAUUCAAAUGACACAACCUCGUAAGAUUAUUAAUUGACGGGGACAGUUCUUUAAUUUUUGAGCAGGGUAAAUCAAGCUUUUCUAACCCCUCAAUACCUUCUGAAAUCGAUGGAAACAUCUCAAGACUGGAGCAGCCAUAAAGAUUAAAGGUUUUCAGACAUUUCAUAUGAAUGCAGCUUGGAAGACUCUUAAGUUUCUUGCAAUCUUUUAGGUUGAAAUGACUCAACCCCGUGAGAUUAUUAAUUGACAGGGGCAGUUCUUUAAUUUUGGACCCGGAUAAAUUAAGCUCUUCUAACUCCUCCAUACCUUCUGAAAUCUCUGGAAACAUCUCAAGACUGGAGCAGCCAGAAAGAUUAAAGGUUUUGAGAGAUCUCAUACGAAUUUUGCUGGGUAGAAUCUUAAGUUCCUUGCAAUUUGAUAGGUUCAAAUGACACAACCCCAUGAGAUUAUUAAUUGACUCGGGCAGUUCUUUAAUUUUGGACUCGGAUAAAUUAAGCUCUUCUAACUCCUCCAUACCUUCUGAAAUCUCUGGAAACAUCAGAAGACUGGAGCAGCCAAAAAGAUUAAAGGUUUUGAGAGAUCUCAUACGAAUUUUGCUAGGUAGAAUCUUAAGUUCCUUGCAAUUUGAUAGGUUGAAAUGACUCAACCCCAUGAGAUUGUUAAUUGACUCGGACAGUUCUUUAAUUUUGGACCCGGAUAAAUCAAGCUCUUCUAACCCCUCAAUCACUUCUAAAAUCUCUGGAAACAUCUCAAGGCUCACGCAGUUAAUAAGAUCAAGAGUUUUGAGAGAUUGCAUACGAAUUUUACUAGGUAGAAUCUUAAGUUUUUCGCACCCAUUCAGAUCCAAUAAAACAAGUUUUGUAAGAUUCGAAAUAGAUGGGUGAACCUUAACUAACCCUAUACAACCAUGAAGAAUUAGCCUCUCAAGAUUUGGCACAUUUGUGAAGUCAGGGGUUUCCUUAAGGUAUUCACAAUAACUUAAAUUGAUGAAUUUCAACUUUUCCUGCGUCUGUUAAAACAUUCAGGAAAACAUGCAUUACUUAAUAAGACAUCUCACUCAAAGCCCAAACAUUUAAAAGAAACAAAUACAUGUAAAUGAUUGUACAUACCUGGGUUCCUUCCCAAAGUCGGUCAAUGUGGCUAUAUUGCAUGUCAAGUCCAACAAGAUUUUCGAAUUGAAAGUUGGAUGGCAAAGACUUGAGCGGGAAACAAGACCAGGAAAGAAACCUCAACUCACUAGAAACAAACUUUAAGGACCCAGUCAGGUGUUGUAUGCUGAAAGUACCGAUCUUGAGAAGUCUUAGUUUAGUCAUCCUAUCAAAAGCUUUAACAAUUAAGCAUCCCUCAUAUGAGUGCCCCAAAUCUAGGAUUAUGCUUUCAACUGUUUCUGUACCCUGUGCAAAUCAAAGGGAAGGAAAAAGCAGAGAACCUUAGUUUAGAUUAUGAAGUUAAUGCUUGUUUCUUAAGGAGUUGUUUGAUAAUAAUUUUGUUUUCACUUUUCACUUUUGUUUUGAUUAUUUAUUUAGAAAUCUGAAAAUUGAAAACAUAUAACUUGUUUGUAAUUGUUUUCAAUUUUCAAUUAUUAAAAAAAUGAAAAUUUAAAAAUAUAAAUGGAAACAAAAGUGGUUAUCAAACGAGCUUAAGAAAUUGAUUUUGGUCAAAAGUUGAAGCUUUCUACUAAACAUUGCAUAAGAAAAGAAAUUAUCACCGUAUUUUUAGUUAUCACAUGAAAAACAUCUUCAUAACUCCACAACCUACUUCGUCUCCCAGGCUCUUUGAUAGAUUCUUGGUAGACGAUUUUCUGACCCAUUUCCUCUAGUAAAUCAUGCAUCUCCAGUUCCCCCCUCCAUGAGACAGUUACUAGAGCUCGAUCGAUUAGAACUUUUAUUCCAAUAUCAGGAUAGGAACCACAGCUGUGCAGAACUGUGGUUGCAUAGUCUUUUCUCAUUCCUUUAAAGAAACAUGCAAUAUCUAGAAAGAUAUCCUUCUCCGUGUCAUCUAGUCCAUCGAAGCUUGUUUUAAGCACAUCAUGAAUUCCCUUUUGCGGGAUUUUCUUUAUUUUUUCUAACUCAUUUUCCCACUGGCGUACAUUUUUGUUAUAAAGAAAAGCUCCCAAGACUUUGAGUGCUAAAGGCAGACCUUGAGCAUAAUUUACAGCACGACUCGAGAUCAUCAUAAUCUCUGUUGGGUUGGUUUUUUCUAAAGGCGUACCGCCUAAAGAGUUCCAGAGCUCCAUAAUCACUUAAAAUCUUGGGAUUAUAUAUCCCAUCAGCUAUGCUUAGUAAUUGCGAAUCUCUGGUUGUUAUAAUAAUUCUGCUUCCACCACCAAAGGAAUGUGGCUCUCCAAGUAAAGCUUCAAUUUGUUCUAAUUCUUCCACAUCAUCAACAACAAUAAGAACUUUUCUCCGACCUAGACUAUUUAACAUCACCUGGAAACCUUUAUUCGAAACGUCGGAACUCCCCACCCUGUUGUUCGAGAUACUCGAUAGAAGUUCUGCCUGCAUAUGUAGUUUGCCAUGCUUCAUGAAACCUUCCUUGAAAUUUUCAAGAAAGCAACAAGCUUUAAAUCCACCAGAGAUUUCAUUAUAAAUAGCUCUAGCGAUGGUUGUUUUGCCUAAACCACCCAUACCCCAUAUUCCAACAAUGCGAACAUCAUUAGUUUCAACUCCAGGAGGAUGCAGUAAUGAAUGCAUGUUAUGCAUAUGAGAGUCCAUUUCAACCAAGCCAUUAUAUUUGCUUGAGGAUGAUGAGAUGUAUCGCCGACCCCACUUAGUGGGAAAAGGCUUUGUUGUUGUUGUUGUUGAUGAUGAUGAUGAGAUGUGGAUCAAUUUCUUAAAAACAUCUUCUACAAUUUUCUCAAUAAGCUCUGCAUCAUCCCUGUCAAAUUUAAAACACAAUAUAAUUACAACACCAAAUGAUACUUAAUGGGUCGUUUUGAUAACAAUUUCGUUUGCAAUUUUUUUUAAAUCUAGAUUUUAAGUUUGCAGAUUUUGUUUUCAGUUUUUAGUUUCAAUGAAAGUAGUUAUUAAACAAGGUUUCCAAUUUUUCUUUCAUGGUAUACAGUACGUAGUCCCAAAUAUCAGUAGUUAGAUCUUGCAUUUAGAUCUAAUGGGUAUUUACAACCUUUUUUCCUGAGAAUUUUGUACCAUUGUAGCCAGAUCACAUGUUUUCAUCCGUUAGUUUUAUAAAAAUGGAAACUACAAACUUAAAAAAAAAAAAAAAUAUAUAAUAUAUAUAUAUAUAUAUAUAUAUCAAAUGGCCCCUAAAUGCUAUUAAAAAUCUCAAAAAUUAACAGGAAACUAAAACAAAUUAGAAUUUAUUCAUGGUUUCGCAAAUCCCAGCCGGAUAAACUGGUGGCCGUUGUAAGAGAGGACCUCCAGCCGGAUAAACAUUUUCGAGUUAUUUGAUAUUUGUAUAGUAAAAAUACUUUAAUAGCAAGUGCGCGUGAGUGAAGAAAUUGAACUUACUUAUAUUCUUUCGAAUCCCAACCGGAAAAAUUGCAGGCUCUGGGAAGAGCGGACCUCCAGCUCUGCACCUCCUUCACGUCAACGUUAGAACGACCUUCAUGUUUAGCAAAAGCUUCUGCAAAACUUCCCUCGAGUUUACGAAUAUUGGACGGAUCGACUUGGUAGAAAAUGGGGAAUACAAUCUGGUUCUUGGAAUGGUUGCAUUCCAAGAUUUCCACGAGUUCUUUCAAGCACCAUGUGGAUGAAGCAUAGUUUUGAGAGAAAACUACAAUCGAAAUCCUUGACUCUCGAAUCGCUGUCAGGAGCUCGGAAAGGCGGUCGCCUUUUCUGAGGUCUUCGGCAUCAAUGAAGGUGUUGAUUGGUUUCUGACGCAGAGCUUUGUAGAGAUGGCUGACGAAGCCCGUGCGAGUGUCUUCCCCUCUAAAACUGAUGAACACAUCGUAUUCCCAACCAAGGCAAGAAGAAGAAGAAGAAGCAGCCAUUAAUCGAUCUCACCUGGGCAGCGAUGAUCGAGCAGCUAAGACUAAGAGAAUUGUAAGUACAGAAACACUCAAUAGAUCUACAAAUUGGAUCACCAGAAAUUAGUCAAUGAGUCAAUGCAAAAGGGAAAAGGGCAAUUAUGCUUUUUGCGUUUUCACAUCUUCUUCAGGAAAUUUCGGUGUGAAAGGAAUCCGCAUACUUUUGAUUUUUCAACCCAAGAAAAUGCGAAGAAAGGGGACAAAGUAGUAAAUUUAAUCUACAGUUAGUUACCUACUCAAUAACCUCUUGAUUUAAUAUAUAUUUAAUUGGGAAAAGUAGUUUAGAGCAAGGAUGUUAUCUCCUUUUCUUCUCUCUCGAUCAGUCAAUCUUCCCGCGUGCGAUUUAAUCAUGAUUAAAGCUAAGCUUAAUCUUAGGUCGUAUUAUUUAGGUCUAAUUGGAUUCUUAAUUCUUGUGAUAUAGUAGUUGGAAGAUUAAAAAAAAAUUAUGAUUUAAACGUUUGUGAUGAAGUCUGUUACGAUUUAAAUUCAAAAUUGAAAAUUUCGUUAACUCCAUUAAUUGUUAGCACAUGAGACUCACAAAUGAAACUAAAAAUAUAAAGUUAGCCUCACAUGUAAUCUUCACGUGCUAACAAUUAAAAGAGAGUUCCGUUUUAGCUUAAUAUAUGUGACUCACGUGUUAAUAAUUAACAAAAUAUUAACAAAAAUUUUAAUUUUAAGCAUAAAUUCAAAUAAACUUCACCACAUAAGCUUAAAUUCUAAUUUAGAUAUCUUCUAAUUUAGAUAAUUUUUAACUGCAAGAUGUACGAUGAACGGAUAUAAUUCACAAAUCUCCAAAAUCCUUACAAAAAAUAUCCGAAAAAGAGCCAAAUUCAAUGGAAAUAAGCUAAUUUUGAAUCAAAUAACAUUACUUUAUUUUGUAAAUAAAUUAAUUUUGAAUUGAACAACAUUCAUUUAUUAUGUAAGUAAUUCAUUUUGUAUGUAUCAUCAUAUAUAUUAGGCACAUUUUAUCAUAGGUGAUUUUGUGAAAAAUUAAUAAAAAGUUACAAUAUUAACAAUAGAUCAAUAAUAUUUAUGUUAAUUAUAAAUAGGCUAACCAUGUAUUAUGAUACUUAAAUGCAUUUAAAAUAAAUAAAAAUUACAAAAUCUACUACUACAGCUAGCAUUCACUUCAACUAAAGCAAUACGUAGUUUUUAUAUUUGGAAUAAGUCAUACGAAUCAGAGACAUGAAGAGGUGUAAGAACUGUGAAUGUCCAACAACAAAGACUUCGGAGUUUGUUGUCGAAUAUCUGCAGCGCAUCAUUUCUGAUAGAUCAAAUCGAGCCAAUUCCCGCAAACUCCAAUCCCACCACCACCUUUCAAGCCGGACUCAGCCCUCCGGGCGGCAUUUGGCAGGACAGCACUGGAUCAAACAAGAUUGAGACUGGCAGUGGGAGCAAUGAACGAGCACACUCAGCAGGGAAGUCCAUCAUGGGUUCUAACCACACAUUGUUUCUCUACUUUGUGGCUUCCAACACGAUUGGAUUUUUUGUUUCACUUUACAUGAUCAAUGUCCUCACCAGCAAUUUCCCUCUGCAGUUGGAGCUUCAAAUUUGUAUUGUCGCGAUGUACAGCACGUACAACACUGCAGUUUUCAGCAUUGCACCGGAGAACGUGCGCUUCUUCGUCCUUCUGUUCUCUGUAGUUUUCCCAACUUUGGUUACACUUGCUGUCCAAAAUGAUCGUCUUUCGACAUACAUCACAAUGGCGAUCUUUAAUCAUAAUGACUUGUACUGCUCGAUCAAACGAGACGCAUGGAGGCGCGACGUAGGAGCCACGGUGCAGCCCAAACUUUGCAGAUAAGAAAUCUGGUAAUUCACAGCAUCACAAACAUGUUACUGGGUCUCCUGACCAUCGUAGAUGCCAAUGUGUGCACAAGGAAAGGAGUAAGGUAAUCAAAUGCUUGAGUCUUGUGUACCUGUUUCGGUGUUGGUUCGGAUGAACCCAUUGAGUUCUCGAUCCUUAACUUCUGGAAAUGCUCCUGAAAGCAUAAAUAUAUGUACGGAUUUAAACCAAUGGCAAAUGGACAUAAUUUACGGACAAUGAUUGAAGAAAAUACAGAUAUAAACGCCUCAGUAUUCCAUUGACGAAAGUUCUAGAUUUGAUGAAUCAAACGUCCCACGUUGAGACUGCGUUAAGGCAAAUGGUUCUCAAACACAAAGCAAUAGUUUGCUACCGAAAACAACCAAAGUCUGACAAAGGGAACCGUCUUACACCUAACCUGUUUUUCCCUCAUCAAAUGAGCGCGUUGAUCUGCAGGUAUUUUCUGCCAUCUCAAAACCUGUUACAAAGAAAUAUAACGUUGAUGUUGAGCUGGAUAGCAUAUUAUACCAAUUAUGUGUACAAACCUAUUGAAAUAAAGUAGCUGUAGUUGCAUAUUACGACAGAUAUUAACGAAAACAAAAGAAGGCUCGCCUAUUCAAGAUCCUAAAUCCCAUGAUUCUUUUGUUUUUAGUUUCAGAAAUUUUCAGAGCACAAACUGGAAAGUACCAAGAUACUUACAUAUUGGGCAUAAUGAAAUGCAUCUUCAUCUUUCAAGCAAGAUUUCAGUGAGCGCAAACCAUCCUGGGAGUUACAUAAGUCAAUCAGUAAUAUAAAAACGUAGAUGCAUCACAUCCAAACACAAGUAUUCAAACACCAACAACUUCUUCAUGCGGUGAGGCAUGUUAAAAAAUAGGGAAGAACAGUUAUUGAAUAGGAAGUUAAAGGACUAAAUUUAUGACCUUGUGUUUGUAGUUCUUGGCUCGUAUGCGUUCAUCUAUUACAAAACCAAUCUGUAACAGGUACAACAGAAAAUAUAAGCAGUAGUCAGAACAUUAAGCAUCGGCAUUCAAAUUGCCGCCAAUCCAAAGUUAAAAGUCUAAAGGCAAAACAGUAUGAUUCUUAUCUCUCAAACAAAAAUGAAACUAUACCCCGGUCUCAGACAUAAAUGAAAUAAGUUCUACUGCCUCAACUGAGUACUGUGAUUAUAUAUAAAUCCAAUUCACCUUGUCAAGUAAUCUCUUAGGAUCUUGAAAUGCUUGCUUCUUAGCCCAGUCAUUAAAUACAUGCGAGAUAAUCGAUCUCUCAUCCACACUGAAUCUAUUGCACAGUGACAGGAGAAUAAAGUCAAACAUGAACAUAACCAACCAAAAAUGCUAGUUAUAAUAGUACACCCAUAAUUGCAAGCAAAACCUUUUUAAGAAGCCAUUUCCAUGGUUUUCCUCCCCAAAUUCCAUCAAUUCUGCAGAGGCAACGUCAAAUUUACUAUGAUGGAGAUCAUUUUGCACCAUAACAACUUCAGAAGGUAGGAGAUUUGGUUUGAGAUCAUCUGUUGACGGAGUAGUUUCUUUUGAAGUGUCAUGAUGCUUUGAUUGCAAGCCUUCUGUACUUACGUCAGCCUACAAAACAAAAAUUGCAUUCAUCCACACUAGACUUAAUAAGAUUAGAAACACUUCAGAUUCUUCACUAUUUGUAAGUUUGACUAAACAGCAGAACAACUGAGGAUAAUGAACAGUAAUACACACCUGGACUUCUCGUAGAUGAUUUGGAAUUUCUUUCAGAAAUCGCGAAGGUUGAAGCAUCUGAAGGAGCCACCUUCUCAGUCAGAGCAACAACAACAAAUAAGGAGGACAGGAAUUCAAGCUAAAACGAACCUGCCAACUGGAAUCCAUCGUAACAUAAAGAAUGAAAAGCUUUUUUCGAGCACGAGUCAUUGCAACAUAUAAUAGGCGUCUUUCCUCCUAUGAUUAGAGUGGGAUUAUUGAGUUAUUGACCAAAAGAAAAAAGAGUGGAAUUAUUGUGACAAACACUUCAAAGCUCUGCAUAUAACUGAAAAAUGUUGAACAAUUUACCACACACCUCAAUGGAGGUCCCAUUUUCUUUUGCAACGCCAUUGAAUUCAUGCAACAACGGAAUCUCAGAUUCAUUUACCUGUGUUAUUGGCAUGAGCAUUAAAGCAAGCUAAGAUGAUUUGAAGAGGUUGAUAUUGUCAUGAAUAUAGUAGAAUAGAAUACCAAUUUCAAGCCAUCAAUUAGGUAUAGCAUUGGCAUGUUUAAUCCGUAAAUCUAAUGACAGAACACCUCAACUCUACACAUAAAUAAAUAAACAACCUGAAAAAUAUUACAGCCACUUGUUAAGGCAAAUACCUUAAUUAUGAAAACUAUAUCCCACUCUAAACCUUUUGACUGCAAGAGAAUGAAAAAGAAAGACAGUAAGCCAAGAAUGUUUUGUAGAACUCCAAAGGAAGUCCAAUAGGGAAAUCAUCGCAAGUAUAAGAGUUAGCGAGGUUCGCAUAAGAGGAUAUCAAAAAGAUCUAGAACCUGAUGAAUAGUAGUCAAAGUGACAGAACUUUGGUUGUCAUGUCUUCGGGAGUGAAAAUUUUCACUCUCCCGCUCAGAUAUGUAGUCGAUGAAAGCUUUGAGUAAAUUAACGCAGCCUUUUUCUUCUGCUACGACUUCUCUCUCCCCUUUUCCCGCAACAAAAUGAGUUGAUAAGAAAUCAGAUACGUCGUCUAGUAGGUACUGAAGAACCUGCAAUGAGAAUAAUCGCAUCAAAACAACAGGGUUGGACCAAGAUUUAAGUGACAACAAUGAUUAACUAACUAAAAUAGAGAAAUUAUUCAUUUAAGACCUUGUUGACUGAAAAAAGGGUUUUCCAAGCAGCGGGUCAUUUAAGCUUAUUGUAUAAAUGACAAUCAUCACAAACGGCAAACUUACAGAUCUCACGUCAUUGUCUUCAUUCAGCAGUUUUCCUCCAUCUACAUCAACGACUGCACGUUGCUCAAGAAGGUACUUCUAAAAACUGAAAGUCAAACGAUAAAUUAUUAAGAAGCAUUGAAUAUAAGCAUGAAACGAAGAAAAUGUUAUGGAAUGGUGAUCCUCAUCCUCAAAGAUGAUUAAAAGCAAUUUGAUUCAAAAAUGACAUAUCAACUCUGGAGAAAUGGAAGACAAACCUGUGGUACCAUAUUCGCAACUGAGGUUAUGACAGCUGAAAUCGAUUGUUCCUGUGUGCAUUGAUAAGUGAGACUACCAUAGAGAUUCACAACUAAAUAAAGACAGGUAUUCCACAGAACAACCUUUACCUCUUUGGAAACACAGAUCUAACAAAAACUAUAACAUUUUGGAUUAAUAUUGACGAAUCAAGAAUAAUGCAAGGGAGCAAGAGAUACUCUUCCUUCUAAUAACAAGGAGGCGUGAAAAGUUUACAGAGUUCCAACAAUUAGAGAACUAAAAUCAAACUAAAAAAAUCACCAAAGUAGACAGAAUCCCACUUCGCCAAAAAUUUGAAAAUAUAUCCUUUUUAUCCAUUGAGAUUCAUGAACUACUACUACUACAUCAUGCCAAUAAGCAAUGCGUAAGAGGUGCUACAAUUUACCGAAUAUAUUUACCCUGAGAACAAGUUUUGAAAUCAUCUCUAGUGUUAACAGCACCUUGCGUCCUUGGGUAAGCUGAGUCCUAUUAUCAAGUAAAGAGACCAAUCAGUACAUAUCCAAAAGAUCUUAAAUGCUUGUAAUACCAAAUAAGAAAGAAACAUGAGUAUAUCUUGAAUUAACAAUGCAAAAAUGUAAUGUUAAAGCAUCUUGUCAUACAGACCUCUUCAAGGUACCAGAAAUUUUGGCACUAAAGAUGUCACAAGCAGCUGAUAUGAAGCUGCAUUUUCUGUGAGUUGAAAUUUUGUCAAUAUAAUCAAUCACCUGAAGAGAGAGAGAGAGAAAGACAGUGAUAUCCAGAGAUGUGAGCCUAAAUGCUGAGUGUGUAAAAAAAGAAGAUUAAAUGGAUAGCAAGAAUAUACAACUUUAAUGCUGAAAAGAACAUUGAAUAUGAUGCUCAUUCAUCAUUGCCAUUGAACGUGUACCUUCUUCUUUUCCUCUUUCUCAAAAGCAAGUAGAGCCUUGAAGACUCGCCUAUAUGAUCCAUCAUCACAACCAGGCAAAGUUGUUUUAAUCAUAGCAACAAUGGCUCUAACUACCUGCCAUAAGAAACAUGCUACAUCAACAAGAUCACAGAGUGUACCAGAAACCGUAAUGUAGCAAAAUCUUAGAUAAAAUAGCUGGCCAAAAGGGAAUGGAAAAGCAAGCACAAAAAACAAUGAAAAGGACCAGUGAUGCCAAAAUUCUGGUGGAAAAGGUGAAAAGCUUACGUCUAUUACAGUUCUUGUAUGCAUUCUUUAUAACUUAAGUUCUACGCAGCAAAAACCACCUUAUGCACAACAAUAUUGGAAAAAUUAGAUACAUACAACUGAGAAGAUAGGUUUUCAUAGCUGGACAAGUGCUAACUACCUUCUUCCUAUAAACUGCCACUCCAUGAACAUUAAAUGGUAUUUUCCUUUCACGCAAGGCUGUCUGGAAGACUUUUCCUGAUACCUGUAGUAUAAAAUACAAAAGAAAAUGUGAGCAAAAUGUCUUAUAUGAUUCACCUCAUUCACAUUAGCACUAAGGCAAGUACGCUUGACCUGCCUCCGGUAAAGGAUUGCUAUAUUUCCAUAGGAGCACCCUGCUUCUGACCGUUUAGAUGCAGUCUCCAGGAUCUUGUCGACAACAAAGGCGCAUUGUGCAUCCUCAUUGUGACUUUCCUUGAUAAUUACCUACAUUUUGCCAGUAAAACCGGUGUCACUAACUAAAAGGACUGAAAAAUGACAUCAAAUUGUACUUGUUGGAGCAAGGAAAGAUUAAGUACCUUAGACCCAGAAGAAUUGUCCGUGUCAACAUUCUUUAGUUGGCAUCGCUUCUUAUUGUUUUUUAUAACAGAAGAUGCAGCUUCCACAAUAUAGCGUGUGGACCGAAAGUUUUUAUUAAGCCUAAUCUGAACCAUAAAGUUAUGUCAAAUCCCACAGAACCCCAUAAAAUAAAACUUACUUUCCUGUAAUUGUACAAUAUAUUUGUUCUAUACUAUAUAUAAUGAAAAAAGACACUGUGAAUGACAUAAGAUAACAUAGCAGUCAAGUGCGAAGCGAACCUCUUUGUUAUUUGAAAAAUCUUUACGAAAAGAAUCAAAUCCAGAAAUGUCCGCCCCAUUGAAACUGAAAAUGGACUGCAGCAGGAUAUAUGUUAUUUGAUUUAGAAAAGAUAAGGGCUGGAUUAAAAUGAGCUGAGAGAGAGAGAGAGGGAGAGAGGGAGCAAUAACAUUGGAUUUCCAUAAUAAAUCAACAACAUGCCUGAUCAUCAUCACCAACAAUGGUUAUGUGGUUAUGAGAGGCGAGAAUCCGCAAAAGACUAUAUUGCAUAGCACUUGUGUCUUGAAACUCGUCUAUUACAAUAGCUUUCCAUGACUCCUGGCACUCCUUCAACACUAAUUAAAAGAACACCAUGUAUCAACAUUUAGCAUUACUUGUAAAACUAGAUAAAUCAAUGAAAUAUACUUAGAUGAUAGAGACCUUCAGGAAAAUCACUUAGCAGCUUCACAGAGCAGCUAAUUAAGUCGUGGUAGUCCAAAGCGUUGCACGAUUUCAAGAUAUCAUUGUAAUUCCUAAGAAUUUCACCCUGAUUCAGAUUGAGAGCUAAAACUCAUAAGCAAUAGUUUCAAAGAACUGAAAUCAUAUCUGAAAUUCUAGUUCUGAGCGUACUCCUGUCACAUCACCCAUUCUUCGGCAUUCAGCGGGAGUCUUUCCAGAAGCUUUUGCCUGAAACAUAAAUAAAUUUAUUGCCUAAUGCCACAUAUUGUAAGACACACCAUUGUAUUGGUCAUUCUAGCUUGAUUGUAGCUAAUAUUUUUUAAAUCGAAUGAUUAGAGUUCUUAAUCCACAAUAAUCUGAACAUUAAAUUUGGUAUUCAAGACUGACCUGUGUCACAAACUUCAGCCAUUUCUUUGAUGCAUCCUUAAAAUGAUGUGGAGAUGUUACGCCGUUAGACUCUUCCCCAUCUAUAGCAACAUUAAGAUUCGUUUUACUCUUUUCAUCUUCUGAUAAACGCACAGCUUCAAUGAUUGCUCUUCUCUGUUGCCCAUGUCCAUAUAUCAAAAAUUCUGGUCUGCGCUCGAGUCUAAAACACAAGGCAACAUAACAGACUCAGCUAUACCACCAUAUGUAUGGUGUUCAAAAUCAAGGGAGGUGAAUCAAUAGCUUACUUCUCAGCAUGUGAUCGGCAAAGUUGCAAUGAAAAUGAAUGAAAUGUACUGAUUGUUAGUAGUUUGCCGUUGCUUUCCCAGUCACAGAUCCAAUUCGAUCUCUCAUCUCGGAAGCUGCUGCUGUAGUGAAAGUCAUUGCUAGAACGUUCGACGUGCUAAUGCCCUAAGAACACCCAAAAAAAAAAAACGAAUAAGAUUUCGAUCAUAAACAAGAAAUGUAGAGAAACAGACAAUUAUGAAAGAAAAAGUUAAGAGGGAAAGUAGCAACACCUCAUUGAGCAGCAUUAGAACGCGCCCAACUAUCGUUGAAGUCUUUCCACUUCCAGGGCCGGCAACAAUCAUCAAAGGUACUGAACUAUCGCUGCAAGCUGCCUCGAGCUGCCUUUCGUUGAGAGAAAGCAAAUACUUCAAAUACUCAUCCGGCAUGUUAGGCAAUCCAUGGUUAACAGAAUCUGUUUGGUUUUCACUACUCAAAGGCGGCGCUGAUGCGGCACUAACGACACUACCACAACUCCCAAUAUCAUCACGCUGAAUGUCCACACUCGUUUUCUGCUCGAUUAAAGCGUCAAUUUCCUGCAAAAUACUCUCAUCGAAAUCAUCAUCGUUAAGAAUUCCAGAUGCAGAGAAAGAAUCAAAUGAAGUCAGAAACUGCGGUUGUCUGAUUGGAGUUGUGAAAGAAUCCGAUUUUGACACGCUUGAUUCGGUCCGGCUAACGCUUAAGCUCCCGGAACACGAAGCACUGCCAUAUUCACCACGCGCUGAAUUGUACCGGCUUGCGGAAAUCGGAGGCGGUGUUCUUUGAACUCUAUUGAGCUGAGUUGGCGUUUGGAUUCCAUUUCCGCCACAGAUUCUGGAAUUUGAAAAACACAAUUGAAUUGAUUUAAAUUGAAGCAAGAAAACGGCCGAGUAGCAAAAAAAUAGUAAGAAGAUGAAACCUUUGAUUCCUGAACGACUUACUUGGUAUGAGGGAGGUGAUGAUCAGGUGAAACGGCGUCGUUGCGGGGGCGUUUGCGAUCAAUGAGGGCCUUGGCGGCUCUGCAAUUCCGAGAGAUGCGGUUUCUUUGUUCCGCCGUGAGCCCUCCGCCGUACGCCUGAACGUUUUCCUUGGACAUUGCUUCGAAGAUUCCAACGGAGGAUUUGGCCUGACGGCCUGACCAGGCUGAUAACAGUGUAAAACCUUAGGAGCUAAGGAAAAACUAAGAGAGAGAUCGUAGAGAGGGGAAAGUUUUUUGUUUUUUGGAAACUUAGAGAGGGAAAGUUUGUUAAACCUGCAUAAUAUUCUUUUCGUUCAACUUGUCUACAAUAAUUACCACUCUUGGUAUUUAUACAUUUGUAACACACCUCACUAACUAACUAAGACCACUACCAAUCAUACAUAAACACUUGUCAUAAUCCUAUGCACUCAUAGUAUCAUCACUCUAACAUCCCCCUCAAGCUCGUGUGGCAGAUUGCCAAGUAUGAAAUUGGAACAAUUACGAGUGAACUGGGGUGAACACAAGCCUUUGGUGAACAUGUCGGCAUAUUGAUCUGCAGAGGUAACAAACUGCAAAAUAAUUGUCCUUCGAUGAACUCUUUCACGAACAAAGUGGCAAUCAAUCUCUAUAUGUUUGGCUUUAGAGUGCAAUACAGGAUUAGUCGCAAGAGCCAUUGCUGAAAUGUUAUCACAAUUCAAAACUGGAACAGAAGGAUAACCAACAUGCAAAUCUCGAAUAAGUUGUUGUAUCCAGAUAACCUUAGCAGUGGUUGUAGCCAUUGCUCUAUAUUCAGCUUCAGUGGAAGACCUACUCACUGUAUGCUGCUUUUUAGAACUCCAAGAGAUAGGAGUAUCUCCCAAAAAAAUGACAAAACCCGUGGUUGAACGACGAUCAUUGGGAUCCCCUGCCCAAUCAGCAUCUGUAUAAGCUUUCAACUAAGAUGAACCUAAUUUAAAACACAAUCCCAAAGACAUAGUGCCUCUGAGAUAUCGCAGAAUACGUUUCACAGCAGCAAAUAAGUGGCUAAGGGUGAAUGCAUAAACUGACAUACUUGAUUGACAUAAAAAGAAAUAUCUAGUCUUGUAAAUGUUACGUAUUGCAGUGCCCCAACAAUACUUUUAUAAGUGGUAGGAUCAGAAACAGGUUCACUACCAUGAUUCAGAAGCUUCUAAUUAGGAUGACAAGGUGUGGGAAAAGGUUUAUAGUCCAGCAUAUGCAUAUUUUGAAGGAGUUCUUUGACAUACUUGGUCUGAUGAACAAAGAGUCCCUGAUCCUGAUACUCAAUCUGUAAACCAAGAAAAUAAUGCAACACACCUAGAUCUUUCAUGUCAAACUCACUAGUUAACUGACUAAUAACAUUAUGAACCUUCACAUCAUCAUUACUAGUGAGAAUGAUAUCAUCAACAUAUAAUAAGAGAACAAUAAUUGAUGAACAAUCACACUUGACAAAUAAUGAAGGAUCUGCAUAUGAGAUUGAGAGUUACAAGGAAAAGAUAUACAAGACUUAUUAAGUGUUGCAAUGACAAUGGAAUGUGCAGGAUCGCCUAAUCAACAAUGCCACAAUGUAGAAGAAAUCUUUUGACCCACAAAUGCAACUGGAUUAAAAACAGGAGAAAUAGACCUCUGUGGUUUGAUAUGGGAAGUGGAUAGACAACAUUAUUACUCAGCCCUUGGAAUAGCACUCUCCCGAUGACCUUGUCCUAUAGACAGAGAGAAACAUCAUCAAUGAUACAACGACACUAAUUAUCUUUGCACAACUAAUUCAUAGAUAAUAAGUGUUGUGAUAGUUUUGGAACAUGUAACAAAGAGUUUAACUUGAAAUUAUGUGACUUAGUGAGAAGAGAAGAGGAACCAAUAUGUUUGAUAGCUAAACCUUCACCACUAGCAGUGGUCACAGUAUCAUUUGAUGGAUAAAUUUGUUGCCAUGUGCAAGUUUGACAAAUCUGAGGUCAUAUGGUUAGUUGCUCCCAAGUCAAGAAACCAGAAAUCUUGUUGAAGAGUUGAGGAUGAUGCACCAGCUCGUGCUUGCACAGCAAGAGGAGGAUUUUGUGAGGAUAUAAUUGAGAGAUACAUAUGUGGUAUGACAGGAUACUGAAACUCGAAGCUAUUAGACUGUGGAAUCAUGCCUUGUGAAAGACCACAUGGAUUCUAGCUAGGUGCUUCACCAUAUGACCCAGUAGGCAUUGGAGUUGGCAUAGACGAGGAUAAACCCUGAGAGAAAUGCUAUGAUGUGUCUGUGAAAUUCUUAUUCCGAUCAAAGCAAGUAGCAGCAACACGGCAGCCUCUGUGACAAAUUUGACAUCCAUGUUGAAAACAAUUCAAUGCAGAAUGACCUUUGCGAUCACAUAUUUGCAUAAUGGCCUCUGUGAUCACAUAUUUGCAGAAUGGCCUUUGCAACCCUAGAAAGAACAAGGCGCGAAGAAGACCAAAUGUGUACGUUUCUCUUUGUUUUUUUUUCCCUCCUAAUCGUGCUGUUCGAAAUCACGGACCUCGGGCUUGGGCCUAAUGGGCCCAAUUAUGAGGCCUAUUAUCUCCGGUCUUCUCGUUCUACUUCUAGUUACCCAAAUUAAGAACGUGCUGGUUCGCUUUUAGCGCGAGAGAGAAAUGGAGGCCCUGAUUGCCUCGUACGGAAACUCGUCGUCGGGCUCAGACUCCGAGACGCCGGCUCCACCUCCACCACCACCUCCGGAGCUCAACAACCCUCAAGAACCGACCCCUGCGCUGCCUCCACCUCCUCUGUCACUUCUCGACAGCCCCAAUUCCUUCGGUAACCUCUGAUUCCCAUCAAUUUUCAUCUUUUAGCUUUCUGUUGUGAUGGCUUUUUCCGAGUUGCCCACCAAGUGUUUGAUAUUUUGCCUCUGAAGGAUUUCUGGACUUCUCGGCAAGCGUCCAGCCGAGCAGAGUUCGGAACUUUCCUCACGUCGAAGGGAACUACGCAGUACAUGUAUACAUCCCAGGUUAUCAAAAUUCUCGAAAUUUUCAGCUCCAUUAGCAAAUGCGAUCGCUUUGCACUUAGUUUUUGCUUGUUUAAUUGUGUGGUUCCAGUUUAUAUACCACCAGCACCAAGGAAAGAGAUGGCCUUGUUUUUGAACAAGCUAGCUUCUCUGGUGCCUUGUCUCCAUGCGGUUGACGUUGACUUCCCGCUUGACAUUCUGCGUAAGGACGAGCACAAGCUUGAACAAGUUGCUUUAGGCAGAGAGUUCCAUAUAAGUCUCGGAAGAACUGUUCCGAUUCGGGUGCACCAGAUUGAUUCCUUGGUGACAAUGCUGCGGCAGAAGCUUCAGAUUCAGAGGCGGUAUGGUUACAUUUACAUUCUCUUGUCUGCAUUGCGUGAAUUUAGUUCUGUUAUUUAACAUAAUUCUGUAAGCCUGCAAUUUUUUCGUCCAUUUUCGGUUUAACACAUUUUGUUAUUGUGCAACAGGUAUUGGAUUGAUUUUAGCAAGUGGGAGGUUUUUGUUAAUGAUGAUCAGACCCGGACCUUUGUGUCUAUCGAAAUCAUUGCUGCUGGGUUAGCUGAGGUAUGAUUGCUAGCUUUCUCUCUUGGUGCAAUUCUAAAUGUUUUCAGUUGUUAUAUGGGCUUAAGAUUUAGUAAGGACUUGCCGAAAGUCAUGGGAUUUUGAAAUAUCGAUAUCUUGCUUGCUUAUUAGCUUAGAUUUGGUCUUCGAUGCACUUGUAACAUGAAAAACACAAACGAAAACUAAUGCAUGAUAUGCUCAUGGUUUUAACAUGUGUUGUCCUGGCGUAAAUCAUGUUCCUAAUCCUGUCAUGUGAGUAUAAGCCUAUGAAACUCAGGGCAUGUUUGGCGGGCCGGACAAGAUUGGAAUUGGUAUUUCAGACUAGUUAGGUUAGGAUUGAACUGGAUAGGAUAGGUUUUUUUGUCUAAAGAUUGGUGUAGACUGUCUUAACCAGACUAGGAACGAUGGGAUUUAAAACGUGAAACAGAUCCGCGACAUCCCAACGAUGACCCGCCCACCCAACAACUCUGCUCGUGACUUGCAACACCUCUCGUACCCUCCACGCCCCUUGAGGCCCGUCAGACCACUCUGAUAUCCUGGAGGGGUGAAACGUGGUUACUAGAAGCAUACCUGUUUUCGUAUUAAUGCACAGUUGAAGCAGCUUUCAUUGUCUACAAGUCUGAAAUAUUUCAACUUCCAUUGAUUUCAGAUAACAAAGCAGAUUCAAGCUGUGAAUGAGGUGUAUAAGCUUCACAAUCUUCCUGAAUUUUACAAGGUUAGCUUUUUCGUGCUUUUCAAACUCGAAAUUACUUACUGAAUAUAUGACAAUAUAUUGGAGCAAAUGAUUGUGCCUGAAUGCUACUCAUUGCUCAAAAAACUAAAUCACUUCAUGGGGUGUUGGUGAUCACAGGAUCCGCGCCCUCACAUCUCGGUAGCUUGGGCAUUGGGUGACAUCGGCAAUUCCCUGAAGAAAGUGGUUGAAGAAGAAAGACGAAGAUCUACCAUCGGAGGAUCGUUACAGAAAUGUAUUUUUACCAGUAAAUUCAAUGGUAUUGAAUGUAGGAUUGGUAAUAAAACACACAAAAUAUGUAAAUUUUCUGAACAAUAAUGUAGCCAUUUAACUAUAUUGUGAAAUUCCGAGAAUAUAUCGCUGAGCAUUGGAUGAGAAGACAUUUCUUCGUUGGUGUCGAACUUCAUGCCGAAGGUAUAGACACCGUGUAAACGCCAUCAUCCAUGCAGUCUCCUGUGCAUUAUUUAGUAUUGUCUCAGUUUCUCCAAACUUGAAUGCUCCUAUAAACCCACUCUUGACCUUUCCGUCAUCUGCGAUUACCGGAAAGCUGGCAAGGAUGUUGCCGUUAACCUACCUAACCGGCUAGGAUGUUGCCGUCAUCUCCAAACUUUAAAUACCGGAAAGCCGGCUCCAAACUUCAAUGUGCUACUAGUUUUUGUAUGCGAGAGCUCCACCUCCAUUGUUGUAACAGCAUCUGAUGCGGACUAGUCCUUCAUUCCCGUUACUCUUUGCUAUCUCCACUUCGAACUUGGCGUAAUGGCUCCCGGCCUCCUCUCCGGUGAAAUUGAGAAACCCCGGAGCUGGCGUUUUCAUUCUGUUGUCCGUAUAUCUUGUAUUACAAGUAUUUGUUGUGCAAAAUGCAAGCUAAGUUCAAUUUAUGUUUAUGUGUGUGUGUGUGUUGCCACUUUGUCACUUUUCCAACGUUUUCUCCAAAAUUGUGAUUUUGGUGAAUCCUAAUAACAAUUCCCUCGUUAAUCAUUGGGACGAGCACCAAGGCAGUUUUGAUUCCGUGCACAACGGCGAUACCUCGAAAGAAAUUGAUUCUAACCCAGAAAGAUGUUUUAAAUCAAAGUUGAACAAGGGAAGAAAACUUUUGAAUCGCAAUCACAUGUCUGGUCAAAUUCUUGAACAGUUGAUGUAUACAGACGUUCCUUGCUUAUGACACGACUUAUGAGAGGAUGUAUGUAUUGCAUUUGCAUCAAAAAAGAGAGAGAAGGUUGUAAGUGGUAAGGGAACGACUACCGAUGCCGCUCCACUUCUAAUCAAAGGGAUCGAUCCGAGGGUCGUGUUCACUUGCCAUCGCCAUUCCAGUGCAAAGGCAUGUCGGGCACAUUACCUGCCACAUUUACAGACGCAAUGUUAGAUAUAGCUGCCAUUUGGAAGUCACUUCUCAAAAUUUUGCUACUAAAUUAAUCUUAGACUUCAUUUCCAGUGCAAUUUUUUGCUACUAAAUUAAGCUUGUGAAUAUAGUACAUCUAAGCGGCAGGCACUAAAAGGAAUUUAGUAUGCAAUAAACAUUCAACGGACUAACCUUUCCCGCUCCUGAGCAAUUUGAACAUCGUUCAGUUUUUGGCAGAGAUAGGGGUUGGUUUCCGCCAUCAGCUGUCGAUACUGGUUCAGUAAGAACAAGGGUUCCAGUGCUGGAGCAACGAGCACAAGCAAGAUAUCCUGCGUAAGUAUCAAAUACACAGGUAAGUUGACAUAUGAAACCAAUCUGUGUAAACUACACUGUAAUAGCAGAAGAAUAUGCAGUACGAGAGAAAGAGAGAGAGAGAGAUUUAGAGAGAGAAGUUAAUACUUCAUAUGUAAUAUUUUCUAUAUCAUCAAUCUUACAAUAUUAAGACUAUAUACUAUAUGAAACUGCUAACUAACUCUAACAACCUCUCUAACAACCUUUCUAAUCUUUUGACAAGUGUCUUCAUAUUCUACCAUUGGAUUACUAUCCUUAACAUCCCCCCUCAAGCUCAGGAGAGGUAGAAUCCAAACUGAGAUUGCGACAAUGAAUCUGAAAGAGAGGAGCAGAUAAUCCCUUGGUCAGUAUGUCUGCAUAUUGCUCACUGGAAGACACAAACUGAACAAGCAACUGCUUCUUUGCAACUCGUUCGCGAACAAAAUGAAUAUCAACCUCAAUGUGCUUUGUGCGUUGAUGUAGAACUGGAUUGGAUUAAGCAAUUACUGACCUUUGUGCAUCUUACUAUUCCUACUUCACCAGUUUUGUAUUGUGAUAAUAUGUCAGCAAUCGCAUUAACAACCUCUCUAACAACCUUUCUAAUCUUUUGACAAGUGUCUUCAUAUUCUACCAUUGGAUUACUAUCCUUAACAAUCUGAACAUCUCCAUCGUAUAUAUUUAAAGCUACAGUACAUAAAACGAAAAGUCAGAAAUAGAGGACAUUAUCACACCAGUUCCAAGACAAUAUUUGCAUCGUUUAUGCUCCUGCUGUUUCACAUUGUUUAUUUCAACUACCAUCAAUGCUGAGAUCACUCCGACUGCUCCUCCAGAGAAUGACGCCACUAUGGGAUCAACUUGACUGCAGUUUGAAAGUAAAGGAGAUCAAUAAACAAAACUGUUAACAACAUAGUAUCAACAUUAUUUAGCUUCGUUUCAAGAAAUAUGACAUCCUAGGUUUUUCUAAUGUGUAAAAAUUGAGGAUCCUUGACUAUAUCGGUUCCCAAAGCAUUUGAUUCCUACGUUACAGACGGAAAACAGUAACAAUCGAAUUUAAAGAUUCAUAACACGAUAGAUGGUAGGUCUCGGGUUCGAGACUUGGGAGCAGCCUCUCCAUAAAUGGGGGUAAGGCUAGCCGACAUUCACCUCUCCCAGACCCUGCGUAAAGCGGGAGCCUUGUGCACUGGGUACGACCUUUUAUAACACGAUAGAUGGUACAAAUUUUCAAAACGAUAAUUACUAGAGAACAGGAGGGUUAAUAGCCUGAGAUAUGAGCAAUACCUCAACUGCAACGGCAGAUGCAUAUUUACUAUAAAGUCUUUAUAUGAUGUGCCUCCUAUUCCCAGCUUCAACUCCAACUGAAAGAUGUAAAGGUAAUUGUAGGCAAAGAGUUACAAACAUAACCGAAUCCAUGUUUUAUAAGCAACAACUACACUUAUUUUGUUAUGUUUCCUCAUUUUUUACUUGCAAAUUCCGAACCAUAUUGUCGGACCAGUAAAAAGAAAAUAAUGUUUAUGAUAACUGUUAAAACUAAUCACAACAAGUUAAUGCAUAAAGAACUUACGGAGGGUGCUAUGAGGCCACCGAAAAGGAUAAACCCCGCAAUAAUUGAAUAACAAACAGCAUAAUAUUGCUUAAGGUUGUCUGAACUCUGCAAGCAAUGAAUUCACCUUGUGAUUAAUACUUUGCACAAACACUAGUUUUCGCAAUUUUUUAUGAAUCGACAAAAGGCUACAACAAAAUAUGGCUAAAACAUGUGAAAAUACAUGUCUUCACAGGGGCACCAGCUUACCAGGGGAGGCAAAAAUGGAAUGAACGAUGGAAAACUAGGAAGUUCGUUUUCUUGAUCUUCAUUUACCGCUCCAAGCUCUGCACGUUUAAUCCGCUGUUGUAUCCUCAGCCCGCGAACCUACGCAUAUCGAAGCUCAUUCUUAAAGAACACAUUUCUAAUGGCAAUUGGAGAGUAAUUUAAAACAUGCUAAACUGAGAAAGUGGUAGCAACAAGCAAUUGCUCUCACUUCCUCCAUAUGCAAGAAAAUUUUGUUGCGACGACUCCGAAUAUUAUCUUGAAUUUCCUGCAGCUCCAUUGUCGCAAAGUCCUGCACUGUUUCAGGCCCCUCUAUGAUACAAAAUCUGCACAAUUAAGCAUGUAAAAACUAAAAAUUACAGGCUAUAAAACAAUUUCCGUAUCAUUUUUGGGAGCUCUCUCUCUCUCUCAAACCAGAAGGCAGAGCUUUCUGUUUCUCUUGAGGUUUCUUUCACUGGUAAAUUCCAGAGAAGCAGAGAAGAAGGCUCUCUGAGAAAUGGCGAUGGUGCAAGUGGAGACAAAACAAAUGUAUAUCUUGAAGCACCGAAAUUGUGCAGAACACUUGUCAACUACCGAACUCUAGGAUUAGGAGAGAGAGAGAGAGAGAGAGUGAGUGACCGGCAAAAAAAAAAAUGAGGGAAGAAUCACCCACAUUUAAAAAUGAUUUUUAGGGGACCUGGUGUCGUUGGAUUCGAGUAGUUGUUCGGUAUGUCACAUUUAAAAUUUUAUUAUCUGAUGAUAAACGUCGAAACAUAAAGAUAGGUCAUCUCUAACCGAAUGAGGACUAAAAAGUCAUGUUUAGUACUAUAAUCCUGCAAUGAAUUAUAUUUUAAUAAAUAAUAUCAGGUUAUAUUUUAUACCAUAUCUAACCGAGUGGGUCAAAUGAUCAUAUGCCAAACAUAGCCUUUUGACAAAAAACUCAUCUCCAACCGAGGGGGCUAAAUGGUCAUAGACCAAACAUAAUUGCUCAAUAAUUUAUUAUUCUAAUUGAAUUAAUAUGAUUAAUUAAAUUAAAUUACCAUAUUAAAAUAAGAUUUCAUGAUAUAUUUUGAGUGCCACUUGCCACAAUACCGAAGAAAGCAUGGUAUUAUUGCACCUGCCACAAAGUCAAGCUUGACAUUCUGCUGCUGGAGGGCUGGCUGGCUAGCUGAAAAUGGCCAGCCUGCUGGCCUGAUUUGGGAGGUUUUGGCCCAAUGGGGCCCCAAGCCCUUUGGCCUAGCCUUCGGUUGGAAACGGUUUUCGUGUUAUUCUGAGUUAUUUUUAACCCUAUGAUCCUUUGGCCGGAUCGAUUGGAGAUGACCUUAGGUGUGUUGAUUGUCUUUGAGACAUCGGAGGUUCUGUGUGAUUGAAUACUUCACCCUCCUCCAAAGGCGCCACUCUUGAGAAGGUUACUUGCCUCAUGCAAACAUUGUGAAUUGCAAGUGAUGAAUUGUUCUGAUGAUGAGGUUUAUUUUUUAACUCAUUAUGUUUCAAGUUUAAACAUUUUUCCCUCUCUUAGUGUAAAAUAUUGUUUGUGAUAAAAAAACUUAAAAUGAGACACUCUCCUUCAUAUAUAAGAUGAUCAAGUGUGAGAUUAAUACUUUUAAUGAGUGACUCAAUUAACCAUUUUCAUUUCUUACGCGUUCAAAAUUAGACAAAUUCUUUGCAUACAUUUAAAAAAAAAAGAUAUUAAGGAGAGUAUAAAAUUAUUACAUUACGAAGAGAGAGUUUCGAACUCGGGACGUAUGAGUAGAACCCUAACGCCUCUCCACUAGGAUAUUAGACCAAUACUGGUCUUGAAUUUUUUUGGUGCCCGGAGCGAAUGCUCAAAACGUGUCUUUUUCCAGUACAACAUAAAUUAAAAAGAAAUAUUUAUAGAGGGCUAGAACCCAAUCGAAGCUGGGGGACUAGGCCCUUACGCCUAUAUUAUAUUACUUACCUAAUACAAACAUUUCUGAUAGAUUUCAGAGGCUCUAAAUGGUCAAACACUUCGUCCUUCCCAAAACCGUUACUGUUGAGAGGGUUCCUUACCUAAUACAAACAUUUUACGUUUACUUAGAACUAGAAAAAUAAGAAUUGCAGGUGAUGAAUUGCUCUAAUGAUGAUGUUUAUUUUUUAACUUAUUGUGUUUUAAGUUUAAAUAAUUCUGUUUCUUUGAUAUAUAUAUUAGUGUAAAAUCAUUCGUAAUAAUAAAAAAAAAGAAUAAAAAUGAUACUCUCAUUUAUAUACAAGUUGAUCAAGUGUGAGAUUAAUAAUUUUAAUGAGUGAAUUAACUAUUUUCAUUUCUUACGAGUUCAAAAUUACACAAAUUCUUUGCAUACAUUUUUUUUUUAAAUAGAAAAUUUCUAUUAUUAAGGAGAGAGUCCUAAACUAUUAGGUUAUGGAAUGUGAGUAGAAACCUAACGCCUAUCCACUAGGAUAUUAGACCACCAGAGCUGAUCCUGAGAUUUUUGGUGCCUGCGUCAAAAUAUGUCCUUUUCCAGUACAACAAUAUAAAUUAAAAAGAAAUAUUUAAAGAGGGCUGGAACCCAGUCGAAGCUGGGAGGCUAGGCCCUCACGCCCAUAUUCUAUUACUUGAAGAAACAAUAUACAACGGGGGGAAUCAUAGUACCGAAACCCCAACAAUAAAAAACAAAGUCACAUGCAACCACUCCAAGCAGUCAACUUGGCCAUUACAUAUUGAAUCCAAAAGGUUGACGGCCUAUUCUCUGCAUACAAUGCACAGAAGAUAACAAGAUUACUAAUAUAAAAAGAACAUCUGAAAAGAUGAACAUAUGCAUCAACAAAUAAGCAGGGGCGGAUCCACAGUGGGGUCGUCGGGGUCAAACGACCCCUUGGAAACCAUGGAAACAACCUUGAAGCUCCCAUAUGCGACCUCUUGGAGCUGGGGUUGUCGGGGUUGUCAGGAAGAGGAAGAAGAAGACUCGGCAGGAAGAGGAAGAAGAAGCAGCUCGCGCGACGUGUAGGUUCUGUGUAGAGUUUCUGACCUUUAAUUCCCACUUCACAAAGACGAGAGAAAGAGAGAGAGGGAAGGAAAGUCCUCGGGGUGGUGGUGAUGUAGACCUUCGUCGGGGUAGUGGUGUGGGUGUGCGUGGGUGUGGAUUCGAUCGGAGAGAGUGAGAGGGUUAAAGAGUGAAAAAGAGAGAGAGAGAGAGAGAGAGAGAGAGAGAGAGAGAGAGAGAGAGAGAGAGAGAGAGAGAGAGAGAGAGAGAGAGAGGAGAGUUCGGGGAGAUGAGAAGGAGGACAAUGGGGACUUGCCCCGUGGCAAGUUGUGAUAGGUAGGAAAUCCCAAAAAGGGAUCCGGAUAGGGUAAGUAAGUGGGGACCAAAUUGUAAACUUCAUUUAACUGUAGGGAAAUUGUGAAAUUACAAGGAAAUCUUUGGGGAGGGGUUUUACAGAAACCCUUCUCAACACUUAAAAGCAAACUGCGUGCUUUUAAUCAGGUUUGGCUCUAUAAUUGAACUUGUAACCAUGCCUUUCCCUAUGACGGAAUUGUGAUAUGCUUUGCCAGAUAUUCACAAGGAAUUCAUUUUUCUUUUUCCAAUUGCAAAAUAUUAGUGAACAAGUUGUUUCUUCUAUGAGAGAUCCAAGCAUAAUGGUUGGGUAGAUGCAGAUGAGAAAAUCAGCAGUUGCUGUAUUUGGCACAGUAAGAUAUUAACUCUUACAUCUAAAUUGAAAAACAUGAAAAUUUCCUAGUUCUCAAGGUCUCACGUGCAUGCUCAGAUACAUUUGUGCUUCAUAUUUGUGUGUUUGAUUCCGAGAAGGCUGACAAGUUGAAGCAAUCUCUUCCUCCAUGUUUGAACAUUCAGGACCUUUGAACAAGGAUUUUGGAGUAGCUGGUUGCGCUAUCCUACCAAGACCCGAUGAAAUGACGAUAUGCAUGCCGUUUCUGUUAAAAAAAAAUAUCCUUAUUGACCCCCCAAACAUUAUUUCCUGGAUCCGCCACUGCAAAUAAGUAAACCAUUCUAAGUGCAAUUUUAGAAGUGAUACGCUCCAAGUGUGAUAUUGGACAGAAGAGCGGCAGCUUCAACCAGUUCUGCUAUAUCCGGCUGGAUGAGAGCUGCUAAAGACAUGAUUGUUCCCUAAUAACAUGAAUAAAUUGAGUAAACACCAAAAGUAGCGCAGCAAGGGAAGGAGAUUUGAAGUAGAUGAAGAGGUGUAAUACCCGUAUAUGCAGCGCAUCAUUUCUGAUAGAUCAAAUCGAGCCAAUUCCUGCCAACUCCAAUGCCGAUAAUCCUACAGUAAAGCAUAAAUCUUAUUCUCUUCUGAUAAAGAUGUGUGUCCCUGACUCCAACGUGUUUGACGCACAUUCCCUACCCAUACAUUGAAACCUUCAUCUGCAAGGACGAAUCCCAGUUAUUCUUCUGGAGAAUUUAAGAACCAUGAAUCACCUGGUCAAGAAAAGCCAGUAACCAAUUACAAUUGAGUUUGAAGCACAUAAGAGCCUAAUUUAAAAUGUAUCCCAUGGAUGUUCAUCAAUUUACACAAUAGUUAGUUUCAAGAAAGGAAAUUUCAACAGAACCUGAAAACUUCAGAUCAGGGGGCACCAAAUAGUGAGCUAUACAUUCAAAAUUUGAAAUAAUCAACUUAGUGGGACCAAUAUGUUGAAAAAAUUGGAAGGAGCUAUGAAAGUAAGGCUUUUCACUAAUCAGACGUCCAGAGAAUCAAUAUUUUACUCACGGAUCAGUUACGGGGAACACUCCCCACCAAAGCAAACUCUUUCGUCUGAAUCUGGAAAACAAGCAGCAGUGGAUUUUAACAGUCUGGGUAUCUCAAAGUUACUUUAAUCACAAAUUUAACAAUUAAACAUAUAAAUGGGCAUUAUUUAGUGAAAUAUUAGUAUAGUACUCACUGUGUGCUCGGAACAAGAGUACCCAGAAAGCUCAAUGAGCUGCGCACAGAGGACUACAGCGGUGAACGACAGCGACCGAUUCUGUAAAAUUCAGUCGAGUUUUGGGUGAUUUCGGAGGUCAAGAGGCUGAUAAGGAAAGCUGCGACCGAAGGGCACUGGUCUGGAAGAAAAGGCUCAGGUCACUGCUGUCCCAAUUCGCGAAGGAAGUGCCCCCAAAACAAUUUCGGCCCUGGACAGGUGCACUGUUUGCACUGGACCAGGGCCGGCCGGCCCAGGCGAUAACGUCCCCCAAACAGUACAUAUACAGAUGCUAGAAAUAUAUUAAUGUAACCUGAAACUACUAGAACCAUUCAAUUCUAGCGUCUACAGCUUUAGCAUUAGUUGGUACAUGGGACAUUCUUCCAAAGAGGGAGAUGAGCUCGUUGAGGCUCUUAUUUAUUCCCCCUCUUGAUGUGCCCUUCUAGGCUGCUAAUUCCAGACGAUCCAAUCUCAUACAUCUUCCCUGCAAAAGCAUGUGUGCCAGACUUCAAGAUCAAAUUUUUCCAACAAAAGAAACUUAAAGAUCAAACUCGCCAGCGGAAUAAAUGAUGCACAAGGGUGUUAAAAUCUUGACAUAUGUAUAUUUUUGGCAGAUUUUAUGUGAGCAUGCUACUAAAACUGGCAUCACUAAAGAUUGGUGGAAAACUUUAACAGUUUGAGUUGUAACUUCUCCAUUGUAUUUGUUAAGGCAAGAUGGAUGACAUCUAUGCAAUUUUCAGUAGAACUUAAAAGGCUGCAUAGCAGCUCUUGUUCGUUGUAUUGAAUACCGUGGUUUUACUGAUGAAUGCAGAGUUUGUUGAUGAUUCAUACGACAAGCAAUUGAAAAUCCCAUCAUUAUGCCCCACAUAUACCAAAAAAAAAAAGUCAUUUACACAAAUUCAGAGCGUUCAUCCACUGUAAUUUGCAGAUAUAGAAACGUUAAGAUAAAAGGAAAUGCAAAGUACCUUUCACCCAAAUUGGAGGAGCACCGGUGGCAUUAGCAAGUUAGCAACGGGAAUUGACAUACCAAUAUCUUCACAGUUUCUGCACAAGCACAAAUCAAAAGAACCCGGCGGUGGAGUUAUGUACCUCUCCUUGGAAAAUGCCACCUCUUGGGAUUUCAAAAUAUGCAGCCAUGGCUAGCCGUCUGACCACGCCAAUUCCACCAAAGCCACCGCAACGCGGCGUAGUGUCCGAUUGAUUGCUUCAAAACAGAGCUUCGUAUCCAUGUGUUUAUCAGCAGAGAGUACCCAAAACCACUGAAAAUUAUUUCUUUAUUCAGAUAAUAAAAUUUCCCAAAUUUGGAAAUUUAAUUCCGAAUCAAAAGUAGGGUUUGAAUUUUGAUUACCUAGAAAUUGGGGGGUUGGGGUGGAGAGGGACCCGUGCCACGACGGAUCUCUGUGUCUGUUUUAACUCAUGCCAAAUUAUAGAGAGUGUCAGGAAGACUUAAAUACUGAAGCCCCGUAAGCCGUUCAAUCCAGGGGGGAAGCUCUUUGAUAGAUGUUUUAUCCAAGAUAAGAUAUCUUAAUCCUUCCAUAUUUUCUUCAAUGCUUGGAAACACCUCAAAUUUUGUACAACCGGAAACAGAGAGACGGACAAGGGACUUGAGCUGACAAAUGCUGCUUGGAAGGCUCUUUAGUUCCUCGCAGUCGUUUAGCUUCAAAUAAGUCAAUCCCGUGAGAUUAUUAAUCGACCAUGGUAGUUCUUUAAUUUUUGAUCCGGAUAAAUUAAGAAAUUCUAACCCUUCAAUCACUUCUGUAAUCUCUGGAAACAUCUCAAGGCUCGAGCAACCAUAAAGAUCAAAGCUUUUGAGUGAUUUCAUACGAAUGCUGCUGGGAAGACUCUUAAGUUUCUUGCAGUAUAGUAGAUUCAAAUGACUCAACCCCGUAAGAUUAUUAAUUGAUGGGGGCAGUUCUUUAAUUUUUGAGCAGCGUAAAUCAAGCUUUUCUAACCCCUCAAUACCUUUUGACAUCGAUGGAAACAUCUCAAGACUGGAGCAGCCAUGAAGGUUCAAGGUUUUGAGACAUUUCAUACGAAUGCAGCCUGGAAGACUCUUAAGUUCCUUGCAAUCUUUUAGGUUGAAAUGACACAACCCCGUGAGAUUAUUAAUUGACAUGGGCAGUUCUUUAAUUUUUGACUCGGAUAAAUUAAGCUCUUCUAACUCCUCCAUACAUUUUGAAAUCUCUGGAAACAUCACAAGAUUGGAGCAGCCAUAAAGAUUAAAGGUUUUGAGAGAUCUCAUACGAAUUUUGCUGGGUAGACUCUCAAGUUCCUUGGAAAAUUCUAAGUUUAAAUGACUCAAUCCCGUGAGAUUAUUAAUUGACUCGGGCAGUACUUUAAUUUUUGACGCGGUUAAAUUAAGCUCUUCUAACUCCUCCAUACCUUCUGAAAUCUCUGGAAACAUCUCAAGAUUGGUGCAACCUCUUAGAUUAAAGGUUUUGAGAGAUUGCAUGCCAAUGUUGUUGGGUAGAAUCUUAAGUUCAUUGCACCAAUUCAGAUCUAAUAAAACAAGCUUUGUAAGAGUCAAAAUCGACCCGUGAACCUCAACUAAGCGUGUACAACUUUGAACAAUUAGCCUCUCAAGAUUUGGCACAUUUGUGAAGUCAGGGGUUAUCUCAAGGUUUUGACAAUGACUUAAAUUGAUGAAUUUCAACUUUUCCUGCGUCUGUUAAAACAUUCAGGAAAACAUGCAUUACUUAAUAAGACAUCUUACUCAAAGCCCAAACAUUUAAAAGAAACAAAUACAAGUAAAUGAUUGUACAUACCUGGGUUCCUUCCCAAAGUCGGUUAAUGAGACUACAUCGCAUGUCAAGUUCAACAAGAUUUUUGAAUUGAAAGUUGGAUGGCAAAGACUUGAGAGGGAAUUGAAACCAGGAGAGAUACCUCAAGUUAGGUAACUUAAAACGGAGCCCACUCAGGUGGUGUUUCCAGUAAUCACGUUUAAAAACGGAGCCCUCACUACUGAUCUUGAGAAGUCUUAGUUGAGUCAUACUAGCAAAAGCUUUAGCAUUUAAGCAUACCCGGUCUGAGUACGAGAAAUCCACGAUUAUGCUUUCAACUGUUUUCGUAGCCUGUGCAAAUCAAAGUAUUAGAAAAUACAAAGAACCUUAGUUUAGAUUAUGAAAUUAAUGCUUGUUUCUUAGGGAGCUGUUUGAUAAUCAUUUCGUUUUUAGUUUAAUUUUUUUUUCAAUUUUCAAUUAUUCAAACAAUGAAAACUAAAAAUUAAAAAUUGAAAACAAAAAUGGUUAUCAAAUGGCCUAAGAAAUUGAUUUUGGUCAAAAGUUGAAGCUUUCUACUAACAAUUGCAUAAGAAAAAGACUUCUCACCGUAUUUUGAGUUAGCAUUUGAUUAACAUCUUCAUAACUCCACAACCUACUUCGUUUCCCAGGCUCUUUGAUAGAUUCUUGACGGACGAUUUCCCGACCCAUUUCCUCUAAUGAAUCAUGCUUCUCCAGUUCCCCCUCCCCUGAGACAGUUAUGAGAGCAUGAUCGAUUAGAACUCUUAUUCCUAUAUGAGGAUGGAAACCACAAUCGUCCAUAAUUCGGGUUGCACAGUCUUUCUUCAUCCCUUUAAAGAAACAUGCAAUAUCUAGAAAGAUGUCUUUCACUGUGUCAUCUAGUCCAUCGAAGCUUGAUUUAAGCACAUCAUGAAUUCCCCUUUGCGGGAUUUUCCUUAUUUUUUCUAACUCAUCUUCCCACUCACGGAUAGUUUUUUUAAGAAGAAAAGCUCCCAAAACUUUGAGUGCUAAGGGCAGACCUUGAGCAUAUUUUACGACACGCUUAGAGAGAUCAUCAUAAUCUCUGGUGGGUUGGUUUUUUCGGAAGGCGUGCUGCCUAAAGAGUUUCAGAGCUCCAGAAUCACUCAAAGUCUUGGGAUUAUAUAUCACAUCAACUAUGCUUAGUAACUGUGAAUCUCUACUUGUUAUAAUAAUCCUACUUCCACCACCAAAGGAAUGUGGCUCUCCAAGUAAAGCAUCAAUUUGUUCUGAUUUGUCCACAUCAUCAACAACAAUAAGAACUUCUCUGACCAAGGCUUUUUAACAUCACCUGAAAACCUUUGUUCGAUAUGUCAGAGCUCCCCACCUUGUUGUCCGAGAUACUAGAUAGAAGUUGUGUCUGCAUAUGUAGUUCGCCGUGCUUCAUGAAACCCUCCUUGACAUUUUUAAGAAAGCAACAAGUUUCAAAUCGACUAGCGAUUUCAUCAUAAACAGCUCUAGCGAUGGUUGUUUUGCCUAAACCACCCAUACCCCAUAUUCCAACAACGCGAACAUUAUUCGUUUCAACUCCAGGAGGAUGUAAUAAUAAAUGCAUUUCAUGCAUAUGAGAAUCCAUGUCAACCAAGCCAUUCUCUUUCCUUGAUGAUGAUGAGAUGUCAAUCAAUUUCCGAUAAACAUAUUCUACAAUUUCCUCUACGAGCACCGCAUCACUCCUGUCAAAUUAAAAAAAAAAAAUAUAAUAACAACAAAAAAUAAUAAUUAAUAGGUCUUUUUCAUCUGUUAGUUUUAAAAAAACUAGAAAUUAAAACCAAAAUCUUGUUGUGGUCUAUUUUAUCUGACAGAGGGACUAGGGCCGGCGGCAGAGAGAGAGAGGAGAGAGAGGUGUGUUUGUAGAAUUGUAGGGGAAUGUGUGUGUUGUUAUCCCUCCUACAUUGUGCCUUUAUUUAUAGUAGUAAAGGGAGAGAAGAUAUUCCUUCUUCUCCAAGUAAUACAAGUUGUAAUAGGAAAGGAUAACUAGAAUCAAAUCUUAUCUAGGAUUUACACAAUCAUACUUAAACUAGGAAUGUUUACAACACUCCCCCUUGAGUGGGUAAAUACUCAAGGUAGAUUCAGCAUCAUGCAGAAGUUGAGGAAGUCGACUCGUCGGCAUUGAUUCCAAGGAACAACGCUUAUUCUCAAUAAGGUAGGAACUUGCAUAAGUAGUAAGUCUCACUAAAAAACCCUAAGGCUAUGGCAAAAACCCAAGUAGGGACAAAAUCCAUAGUCUAAGGAAAAAUGCGUGAGGAAUGCAAAGUCAAAAGAAACGUCUACAGGACAUCAUCAGGGAUAUGACCAGCCCAAGGUGGGUGCCUCGUUAAAACCUAGUUAGGUAGCAAAAACCCAGUGGGAAAAAUGCUCCUAAUCGUAGGGAAAAAGAGUACAUUAAGAUCAAGCAAGUAUCCAGAAGAAACUCCCCCUGAGUUUGACAUAAUUCCAAAGAGAAAUAGCAAAGUUACAACUCAGAAAGUUUUUACGCAUACCAAUUCCAUGAACAAGCUUCUAAAAACGUCGCCUUCGGUAGUGAUUUGGUGAAGAGGUCGGCCAGAUUGUCUUGUGAUCGGAUUUGCGUGACUUCAAUCUUCUGAUGCUCUUGUUGUUGAUGUGUAAAGAAGAACUUCGGCGCAAUAUGCUUGGUGUUGUCUCCUUUGAUGUAACCCUUCUUGAGCUGUUCGAUGCAAGCUGCGUUGUCUUCAAAAAUCGUCGUCGGGGCAUUAACGGCGGGAUGAAGAUCACAGGAGCUUCGAAUAUGGCCCACUACUGCUCUCAACCAAAAGCAUUCCCGAGUUGCUUCAUGUAAGGCGAGAAUUUCAGCAUGGUUAGACGAAGUGGCAACUAAGGUCUGUUUAGUUGACCUCCAAGAUAUUGCGGUGCCUCCAACGGUAAAGACAUAACCCGUUUGAAGAACGCGCCUUGUGCGGAUCAGAUAAGUAUCCAGUGUCGGCAUAACCAACAAGGCGAGAAUCAACCCGAUGAGCAUAGGGUGCGGCAUCACUCGAGGAUUCGUAGGGAUAAGAUAAAGCCCAAAUCCGUAGUACCCUUAAGGUAACGGAAGAUGUCUUUCACGCCAGUCCAAUGUCUGCGUGUUGGUGCAUUGCUGUAUCUUGCCAAAAGAUUAACAGCGAAGGAGAUGUCGGGUCUAGUGCAUUGAGCUAAGUACAAUAAAGCGCCUAUCGCACUUAGAUAAGGAACUUCAGGCUCCAAAAUCUCUUCAUCAUCCUCCUUCGGACGGAAGGGAUCUCGCUUUGCAUCUAGCGUACGAACGACCAUAGGAGUACUCGAAGGCUUCGCUUUAUCCUCAUUAAAACGGCGCAACACCUUCUGGGUGUAGUUCGAUUGAAGUACUAGGAUUCCAUCCGAACAAUGCUCUAUCUCGAGGCCGAGACAGUAUCGAGUCUUACCUAGAUCUUUCAUCUCAAAUUCCGACUUCAGGUGCGAAGCAGUUCUCGCGAGCUCUUCAGGAGUUCCGAUGAGAUUCAUGUCAUCGACAUAUACUGCAACAAUCGCAAAUCCGGAAUGUGACUUCUUAAUGAACACACAAGGGCAUAGUUCGUUAUUCACAUAUCCCUGACUAGUCAAAUACUCACUUAAACGGUUAUACCACAUUCUUCCGGAUUGUUUCAAACCGUAUAGUGAACGCCUCAGCCGAAUUGAGAGCGUGUUCCGAGGUUUGGAAAUAUUUGAACCAGUCAAUGUAAGUCCUUCGGGAACUUUCAUAUAAAUUUCCGUAUCAAGAUCCCCAUAGAGAUACGCGGUUACUACGUCCAUCAGCUGCAUAUCCAGUUUUUCGGAAACUACCAAACUGAUAAGGUAUCGAAAAGUAAUCACAUCCAUAACGGGUGAGUAAGUUUCGUCAUAGUCAAUCCCGGGGCGUUGUGAGAAACCUUGUGCUACAAGACGAGCUUUGUAACGCACAAUUUCGUUCUUCUCAUUACGCUUCCGAACGAAAACCCACUUGUAGCCAACGGGCUUCACAUGUGGAGGAGUAGGAACUACAGGUCCAAACACCUUACGUUUCGCAAGUGAAUCAAGUUCGACUUGGAUUGCUUGUUUCCAGUUUGACCAAUCAGCUCUACGUCGACAUUCAUCAACGGAACGCGGUUCAAUGUCAUCGCUCAACAUGAUCUCAGUAGCUACUGCAAAUGCUAAUGCAUCGUCGACAAUCAUCUCAUUUCUACGCCACACAUCAUCUAAGCUAGCAUAAUAGACCGAAAUCUCACGAUUCUCGGGAGGAGGAUUCGUCUCUUCAAGGACGCUUCCAUAAUCUAGAAUUUCCUCAUGAGUUGGGUAAAAUGAGUAAGCGAUAGUCGGAUUCACGGUAGGCUCUUCAGGACCUUGUGCCGUGGUUUUCCUCUUCCGGGGGUGUGAAUCCUUUGAACCAAGGGGUCUGCCACGCUUUUGUGUAGGGGCAGAUGAUUGGCUAGCCGCUAAUGUACGUGGAUCACCAGAAUUGGCGUCCCGGGCUUCCAGGAGGGUAGUCCGUCGUACAUUUGGUACAUCCAUCUUUGCAGGCGUUUUCGCAGCUGGAAUAUGUGAUCUUGUCACGCGCGCUAGAUCGGUGAAAGCAUCUGGCAUGCUCUGAGCUAUGCUCUGGAGAUCUAAUAUGCGCUGCACUUCAGCUUCAGACUGAGCGGUGCGGGGAUCUAAAUGAGACAAAGUGGGAGUCAUCCACGAUAAUUCGCGUCGUUCAUUAGGAACGUUGACGUUCUUAUCUCCCCCUAACGACGGGAAGACUGUCUCAUAGAAGUGACAAUCCGCGAAACGAGCGGUAAACAGAUCGCCUGUCAAAGGUUCUAAGUAACGAAUAAUCGAAGGAGAAUCAUAUCCGACAUAGAUUCCCAUCCUUCGCUGAGGCCCCAUUUUUGUACAUAAGGGCGGCGAGAUCGGCACAUAGACCGCACAACCAAAAACGCGCAGAUGAGAUAUGUCGGGUUCGCAUCCGGUGACCAACUGAAGGGCACUAAAUGGUUGUGUCGCAACAGGCCUCAGGCGGACCAACUUUGCUGCGUGCAAUAUUGCAUGGCCCCAAGCAGCGAUCGGGAGCUUGGUACGUAUGACCAACGAUCGAGCAAUCAUUUGUAAACGCUUAAUGAAAGCCUCUGCCAGGCCGUUCUGGGUGUGAACAUGGGGUACAGGAUGUUCAACUUCAACCCCAACCGACAUGCAAUAGUCAUCAAAAGUUUUAGAUGUGAAUUCUCCAGCAUUAUCCAAUCGAAUAGAUUUGAUCGGAUAAUCAGGGUGGUGAGCCCUGAGCUUGAUAACCUGAGCCAACAGUUUGGAGAAUGCAGCGUUCCUUGUGGACAACAAGCACACGUGUGACCAACGUGUAGAAGCGUCAACCAAAACCAUAAAAUAUCUAAAUGGUCCGCAGGGAGGUUGAAUCGGUCUACAAAUGUCCCCCUGAAUCCGUUGUAGAAAAAUGGGAGGAUUCGAACGAAUCUUGUCAUAAGAAGGCUUAGUAAUAAGCUUUCCCAUAGAACAUGUUUGACAUGCAAUUUCAUGGAUCGAACCUAAGCUUCGGGUUAGUGGAUGCCCGUGUGAAGUUUUGAGGAUACGGCGCAUCGCUAUUCGUCCAGGAUGUCCCAAACGAUCAUGCCAAAGUGUAAUUUCGUGCGCGGUCCCUGUGGUAGGGCCGGCCACAUAGUGGCAUUCUAUGGGGCGUAUGGUCGUAGUAUAUAGACCACUCGGGUUACGCGCCAUCUUCUCUAGAAUACGCUUCUGGCCAUAUUCGUAGGAAGUUACGCACAGAAAUUUAACUCCGUUUUCUACGUGGGUUUCAGCGUGGUAAUUGUUAUCUCUAAUGUCCUUGAAACUUAGUAACGUUCUUCCGGAACGUGGAGAAUAGAGUGCCUCAGCAAUGGUCAAGAUUGUACCAUUGGACAACAUUAUACGUGCCUUACCGUAUCCUUCGAUCAGGUUGGAUGGGCCUGAGGGGGUUGUCAGAGGUGCAUUCUUAGGUACGAAGUUAGUGAAAUAGAUGCGUUCACGCAAAACAGUAUGCGUGGUUGCACUAUCUGCCAGACAACUAACUUUCCCACUAUUCAUACCUAGAAUUAAUUUGAAUUGGUCACAUGCAUAAAAGUUUAUAAAACAAGUAUCAAUUCAAAAUAAUUUCAUUUAUUCAAGGAAAAAACUUAAUAUCCAAAAUAAAUCGCCAACUAAUAAUCCAAAACAUAAAGGAAAAUUGUUCAAAAUCAACCAAAAACAAGGUGGGGUUCGGCCACUAGGUGGAAUUCGGCCCCAAUUGUCUUAUUUUAACUGAAAAAUAAGUCUAUGUCUAAGAUUCUAAUCUUCCAUAGGAGUGGUAUCCUCCUGAAAAUCAGAAACCUCCAUCUUUGUAAUCUCCGGUUCGUCCACUUGCAGGAAGUUUGAUUCAAACUUCGUACAACGAGAAUGAUAUGCAUCCACAACCUUCUUGGGAGUACGGCAAAUACGGGACCAAUGGUCCUUGGAACCACAACGAUAGCACAUAUCGUCAUUCAUUGUGGCAGGUGCUUUGCCCUUAUUCUUGAAGUUCGGGGCCUUGGGAGUGAGGUUUGGGCGCUUCUGGGCUUUGUUUCCUCCCUUGGAUGGGCCUUGGCUCUGUUGACCUUGGUGGGAUGGCUUCUGGCCGCCCUUACCACGCCUCUUUUGGCGUUUUGGGUGCUGAUUAGUGCUAUAAUGUGCUUCAGGCACAGCAGUAGCCCCAGUAGGUCGAGCUUGAUGAUUUUUCAUCAACAGCUGGUUCUGCUUUUCAGCAAGAAGUAAAACAGAGAUCAAAUCAGAGAACUUAGUGAACUUCUGAGCUCUAUAUUGUUGCUGCAGGACAAUAUUAGAAGCAGAGAAGGUCGAGUAGGUCUUCUCCAGGAGAUCCUCUUCAGUCAAAGUUUCAUUGCAAAACUUGAGAAGUGAUCGGAUUCGACAAACUUCAGAAUUAUAUUCAUUCACAGACUUAAAGUCUUGGAAGCGCAAGUGCUGCCAGUCGUGUCUUGCUUCAGGCAAGAAUAUGUCCUUUUGGUGAUUGAAACGAUCAGCCAAAGCGACCCAUAAUGCACGUGGAUCCUCCUCAGCAAGGUACUCAGUUUGUAGAGCGUCAUGGAUAUGUCUUCGGAUGAAGAUCAUAGCAGUGGCUUUUUCAGCCUCGCCAACAGGUUUAUCUGUUACUUCUUCAAUAGCAGGACGCAAGUUCUUUGCAGUGAGGUGGAGCUUCACAUCUUGAACCCACUUGAGGUAGUUCCUUCCAGAAACCUCCAAAGCGGUGAAGUCGAGUUUGUUCAAAUUCGACAUGUUCCUAUCACAAAAUGGAUGAACAAGAUGUGGUUAGUGUAAUGGAGAAAAAUCAAUCCAUUCACAUAGGAGUAGAACAUACAGGUUCUAAUAGACAUGUAUUGGUUUAAUUUUGCAUGAAAAACUUCGGGUUUUCAUGGGUGAUAUAUUUAAGUGAAAACUUCGGGUUUUCAAACAAGGCAUGUGUAUAAGAAACUUUGGGUUUCAAAGUAAUUAUGAACUUCAGGUUCAUAUAUUCCUGCAGGCAAACACAAAUAUAUAUGCAAACAAAUAUGCAAAGAAUAUAUGUAGAAAUAUUGUAUAAUGAUAAGUGAAUUAAUUUAUUUUUGGUCUUCGGGGCCAAAUUAAAGUGUGGGUGAAAAUAUAAAAACCCAUAUUAUUUAAAAAAAAUUAAAUAAUAAAAUCUCGGGGCCUAAAAAUAUAGGCCAAGAACCCUCGGGUGGGAUUACAGGCCCACGGGGUGAGAAAAGGGGAAUGGGCUGCUGUGUGCAGCCCUAAAAUUUUUUUUUUCUCGGGCCGUUCCAGGCGAGCCCAUAAUUUUUUUUUUCUUUUCGGGCCGUUCCAGGCGAGCCCAGAAACUUUUUUUUUUUUUUUUUAAUUUAGAUGCAUAUAUAAUUCAAUGAAUCACAUAUUUACUUUGAUGCAUAUGCAAAUAAUAGUUUCAAUGCAUGUACAUAUGUAAGAUUCAAUUCAUGGCAAAUAUCAAAUUCACAUAAUUGUAGCAAUUUUGAUUAUGAAGCAUACACAAUUUAUGUAGAAUCUAAAAUACGUAAAACGUAAAGUUGGGUCAUGCAUCAUGGUGAAUGUUCAUGCUAUCAGGGCUUGCAAAAUAUCGAGUUAAAAGCCGUUGUUUGGAAAGAACCUGAUUGCGUGAUGAUAUGGAUGAACUGGUUUGAUGCAGAAAAAAUCUCCAACGUCAGAUUCCUAAGCGCAACGGUAGGAGCGUGCUGAUAACGUGUUGUGGUCUAUUUUAUCUGACAGAGGGACUAGGGCCGGCGGCAGAGAGAGAGAGGAGAGAGAGGUGUGUUUGUAGAAUUGUAGGGGAAUGUGUGUGUUGUUAUCCCUCCUACAUUGUGCCUUUAUUUAUAGUAGUAAAGGGAGAGAAGAUAUUCCUUCUUCUCCAAGUAAUACAAGUUGUAAUAGGAAAGGAUAACUAGAAUCAAAUCUUAUCUAGGAUUUACACAAUCAUACUUAAACUAGGAAUGUUUACAACAAAUCUAAAUAUUUGUCAAAUUAUCUAAAUAUAUAAAGAGAGAGCCCCAGUUUGGUGAAGCAUUCCAAAAUGCCAAGAAUAUCCCUAUGUUUCCUUCACAAUCAAAAUCCAAAAAAUCCAAAAAAAAGGAGGACAAACUGGUAAAAAACUUAUAACCGAACAUAAAAUUGUAUUGAAAGAAAAAACUAAAUUUUUACUAAAAAUUGAGAGCAAGAAAUACAAAAAAAAAAAACAAAAAAAAGGGAAAUUAAACCGAAUACUGGUAGAACAAGUCCACGUAAUUGAUAAUUGACGAAUGCAAUGUUGGUAACUGGUCUUGAUUUAAAAUAAAAAGUUGAAAACACAAAGAGACAGAUGCAGUAAAAAACACCAAUAAAAAACAAAAUAAAAAAAAAAAUAUUGGAAACUGAGGAAAGAAACGUGGGAGAGAGACUGCUGUUUUCAAACUGCAUUAAGUUUAAAGGCUCUCAUGUUAUUGCUAAUGGAAUAAAACAAAAAAGAAAAUAAAAAGAGACCUAAUACGUUUAGAAUAGAACUGCUAUUCGACAGUUGCAGGCUUGAAGUGUGUGAAGGAAACAGUUUUGAAGAACGAUAAACUCGAACGUUCAUGAAAAUAAAAGCGAACGUGGGAGAGGAACCAGUUUUGCGGGACAUGUAAAUAAAACACAAAAUAAAAUAACCUCAAGAGAAUAAAUUGAAAUUGUUGUGCCAGAGCCUGAAGGAGAAGAUCAAAUUGGCGAAAACCAACAAGAACUGGUAGUUCUGUAGUUCUCAAUUAUUAAAUUUGUGUGUUUUGUUCUCUAUCAAAAUGCUUCUUAUUCCUUAAUCUUCUCAUGCAUUUUCACAUGAUUAUUGAAAAUUCUGCACGUUAAUUGUAAUGGUUUGAUUGUGGUUUUUGUUCUCUGCAGGUUUUUCUUCCCUUAUCUUAUCAAAUAAAUCAAUUGAUAGGUUAGGCUUUCAUUUUUUUUUCUUCACAGGACUUUUAAGGACAUCCUCAAGUCAAAGUGAUGGAAUCAAAGUCUUCAGGUUUGGAUGCUUUUUUCCUUCUCUUUUUAGAGUAAUUUUCGAGUUUCUUCUCGCAUUUUUCGGGUUCCUUUCCCCAGUCCCCCAAAAUAACAAUAACAAAUUAGGCUUCUUCAUUUUUAGACUCUCUUGGGGUUGGCAGAUAAGGGGUUGCUUGCAUUUAAACCUCACCGUCCGGCUUCUUCUUUCUUAUGAAUUUUUAUCCCUUUCCUACGGCCAGUUCGUGAAGGCCGUUUUCAAAUUGAGGUUUUGUAUAUUCUGUCUCUUAAGAUUUGAUUCUUUCUAUUUUGGAUUAUUUUUUGUCUGAUUUCUCAAACAAUUUGGCUAAUGAAGAGUUUAUGGAUAUACAAUGGGACAAUAUUAUUUUCUCUCUGUUUUAUGUGUUUAUUUAGUUUUACUGUAGUUUUCAUCUAUGCCUUGAGUUUUGGCUUCUCUAUCUUUUUAUCUUUUGUAGCGUUCCAGGUAAAUGGUGAGAAUUAUUCAAGUAUGCGACAUCAUUUUAGUUUCAUGUGAAAAAUCUUCUCUUAUAAUUUUGUUUGAGUGAUUGAAUGUGCAUAUGUGAGCUCUAAGGUUUGGUUCCAUAUUUAUUGUUGAAGAAAAACAGGAAGUGAGGAACACAAUAACCCUACCACGAUUAUGUAUGAAAUAAAUUGGAUCUAUUAAAAACUCAUAUUUUGGGUGUGUUGUUAGGAAGAAAUGCCUAAACUCCGAAUUUGUAUGGAACAUACUCAUUAUAGAAUAGAUUAAUUGUAUGUGUUAUUGCUUUUAGUACUAAAAUUGACUUAUUUGCCCUCCUACAAGUCAUAGCUUUGCUAAUAAAUUGAGAACAAUGUCUGAUUUAGUUUUUUUUUUUUGUCGAAAUGUCUUAUUAGUUUAACUCUUUUCAUUUGAUAAUUCUCUUGCCCUUGGUUUGAGAUAUAAAGUAUUUCAUUUCAGUCAUCAAGUGUCACAGCCUGUCCCGAAAUAUUUUAUUGAUGUUGUGAAAUGACGAAACUGCCUUUGAGCGUUUUUUGACAUUUAAACUUUAGGGUUUGUUUUGGUAACCAUGGUUGUGUUUAGGGUUAGGUGGAAGUGUGAGGACACACACAUCACCCUUUCCCUUUCUUUCUCUUCUCUCCCGUGCACUCUCUCUCUCUCGGAAACACUCUCCCUCUCGGAAACACUCUCCCUCUCUUCCUUCUUUGUACGGACAACAUCAAAACCCUCUCAAACCUUGUAGAUCGAGGGUGUAAAGAACACCAUUGGGUUCGUGAGGAUCAUACAAGUCAAAAGGUACCAGUUUCAGGUAAGGAAACCUUCGAUUUCCCGUGAAAACCCUAACCCUCCGAUUUUGUCACUGUUUAUGCUCAUGUAAAACCUUGUGUUUUAGGGGAUUUUAAGCUCAUAGGGAGCUUUAGGAGGUCCUAAGGAAGAUCAGAGUGGUUUGUUGGAAGAAUUUGGACGUCGAAAUAGUGAGAUCGACGAGUUGCAGGGUUUGGCCUGAUUAUCGAGGUUUUUUUCCAGCGAGUUGGAGGUCGAGGCAUGUAUGGUUUUGUUCGUCUUUGUGAGAUCUUCAAAUUGGUUCAAAUUUCAUUGAAAAUGGUGCAAAAAUGAAGAAGUUAUAGGCAUUAGAAAUUUUUCCAUAAACCGGUGACUCACCGGAGAAGAAAGGAGUUGACGGAAUAUACUAACGGCGUCAUGUAUCUUUAACAGAUUCAGUUAGUUUUAACGGAAUAUUCCUGACGGCGUUAACUGACGCCGUCAGUGUGCCAAGCACAUGGGCGCACGUGGGGGCGCAUCUGGCCGUGCCUUGGCCACGUGGGUGAUCAGAAAAUUAUUCUAAAAAUAUGGGGAUGUUUCUGAGGUUGUGUAGAUCAUUUUGGUAUAUUCAAACACCCCGAUUGAGCAUUGUAUGAGAAGUUGUUACCAAGUUUUGUGUUUGUGCUUUAAAAGUAACGUUUAUAUAGUUGUUUCGCAUAUAGGUGAGACCUAUCCCGAGGACGAGCGAAGUCAGGGGCAACUCGGGGGUUACGACCCUUCCACAUACCAGUGAGUAUAUAUAUAUAUUGAAUAUUUUCCUAGAAAAGCGAUUUAAAUGUGUGAAAUCCCGUUUCUGGAUUUCAUUGUUAUCACCUACAUAUUUGUAUUAUUGAGAUUUUAUAUUAUUUCUCGAGAAUUUAUUUUAAUUUGUUUGAAUUUAAAUUUAAAUUAAAUUAGUUAUUAACGUUUGAAGUUUGAGGCAUUUUAGAAAUAAAUAGAAAAAUCUGAAAUUUUCUUAUGAAAUCUGGUGUGCCACAUGGGUGGCCCAGAUUCAAUGGAAAGGAAAAUGGAUGGUGGAGAUGCAAAGGAAAGGAUUUAAAAGAGAGUGGGCGCUGCCCAGUUAGGAGGGGGGAGAGAAAGAGGUGACCAAUUGGGCGAAGAGGAAAGGAGAGUAAGGAGAGAAGAAGAGGAAGAGGGAACCGGCCGGGGUUUACUAUGGCCCAUGACCCGACCCGGUUAUAUCUCCCAACUCCGGCCACCAUGGACGGCUAGGAUGGUGUCAAAAUGAUCCUUAGCUCGAGGCCAAUCGAUCUCUCUUCCAUUUCUACACUUAAAACGACGAGGGGGAGUCCAAUUUUGAGGAAAUACCACGGUGGGUGCGUCGGGCUUAUGUGGAAAUCCAUUAAAUCUUGAAACGUUUUCUUCCAAUUACAACCACCCAUAGCAUCCUCAUGAGGCCUAGAACAAAGCCCAGACAAGUUUGGGGGCGGCAGAGUUGUUUUCGAGUCGGAUCGAACACACCUAAAAACAAGGGUUCCGUACGGUUCGAGUGAAAUUGGGGAUUUUCCCGGCCAAAUUGGACUUGGCCACAGGUAUAAAAAUUGCUAUACUCAUUGAAAUCUUCAUUUCUGUAAAUUUUGAUAAUUUUUAAAAAUAGUUGAAUUUUUCCGGCAAGUCGGGGCGGCCGACGGCCACCCGUGGCGGCGAGUGCGGCGGUUUCCUGGCCAGUGGGCCGAAAAUAUCAUUUUAAGUUCAAUUAGAUGUCUUGAUUUCAUAAUUGAUAUCCUUAUGAUAUGGUUUGAUUGUUUGAACCUAAUUUCAUUACGAUACGUGGUUAGGUCAAAAUAUGAUUCGACGAUCCUACCGUUGGAUCGUCACCAAACCUUAAUGCGUGAUAGAACAUAAUAUUUUUGGAUCAUAGAAACUUACGGAUCGAGAAUCUGACGUACGGAUCUUCCCUAAUUGGAUUUCUAAGUUUGUAAAAUUAAAUGUCGACCGCCACUUGAAUUUUGAAAUUGGCGGAGAUCCAACUGUCGGAUCAUGUUGAGAUUUCAGUAUGUUGUUAUUUGAGCAUAAUGUGGACUUUGGAAAGUUUCGGAUCGGAAAUCCGAGGUGCGGAUCUUCCGAAUCAAAUUACAUAAGUUUGUGGACCCUACUGUUGAUCGAGAGUUGACUUUUGCUCAACAUGUCAUGAAACGUCCUAAUUACUAAAAUUAGUACUACAGGGGAACUAGGUGAAGUCUAGUGGGCAUGCAUUGAUUAGAGAGUGACUUGAAUAUAUGUGAUAUGAUUAUUACCUUAAUUUCCUAUUAGUAUCCUUUGUGAAGAUGAAUUGGUUUUAUAAAUGUGAUUUCUAUUGAAAUGUGAUUUUUAUAUAUUUAGCCAUAGGCCUAUGAUUAUUAAACAUGAUUUGGCUUGGUACUGAUGAUGGUUGUGACAUAUGUGAGUUAAAUUAUCUUUUUAGUAAUGUGAAUGAUGUGUAUGAUUAUUUUCAUGACAAUGUGAUCCUAGAAUCCUAUUAAAAGUAUGUUGUAGCACUUAUAUGCUUGGGUGCCAUAUUAGUGGUGACCUUGAGAAGUUGAUGGUGUAGGUGACUACGUUGUAACUCAUAGGGUUGAGAUGUGAUGUGGAUAAGUUGAGGUGUUGAAAUUACUACACCAUGUAGUAGUUGUACAUUGAUGGUCCUGCUUGGUAUAUCCGCAUUGGGGGACCAUACGCAUUCUAGGAGUGAUCAUGCUUGGUAUAUCUGCAUUGGGUGAUCACUACCUACCUGAUUAUCUUGACCCUGCUUGGUUAAUCCGCAUUGGGGGGUCACAAGUGGUCCUGCUUGGUUAACCCGCAUUGGGGGACCAUACUUUAUAUGGAUCGCGCUUGGUUAAACCGCGUUGGGCGAUCCUUAUGGCCAUGUAUGCUUAGGAGUGAUCAUGCUUGGUAUAUCCGUAUUGGGUGAUCACUGCCUAGGAUAUUAAACUAUGCAUACGGUUUUGCUUGGUAUAUCCGCGUUGGGGGACCAUAUGCAUUCUAAAAGUAAGGAGGAUUAGUUGUGUUGAUGCACAAAAUCAGCGAAGACUUUGGUACAACAGAAAGUGUCAGGUUUUGUGACCUUCGCUUGGUUGCUUCGGUCACUAGUGAGGAUAAAUACGUAAAUAAAUAGAGACAGAGAAGCAAACACAGGAUGUACGUGGUUCACCCAGAUUGGCUACGUCCACGGAGUAGAGGAGUUCUUAUUAGUAGUGAAGGGCUUACACAAGUACAAAGGAUCAAGCUCUCAAUUUAGUGAGUUCUUGUGAAUGAUUUACACAAAAUGGCAUUAGGCAAUAUUGUGGGGGAAUGACCCCUAUUUAUAGAAAAACUUGUAGCUUUGUCACAUUGACAUGUGUCAUGUUAUGAUUGGUUCUUGAUGUUGACACGUGCUGCGCUCUGAUUGGCUUCUAAUCCUGACACGUGUCGAGUAGUGAUUGGCCUCCUGGUCGGAGGGGAACUCUUCUGGGUCCUUGACAGUAUAGCGUUGGCUGGUACUCGGUAGUUUCGGGAUUGGUCAAGUAUGGUACAAACAGUGCUCCCCUAAGUUCCCGAGUGAGGGAAACUCCUCGGUUGGGGACUUGCAAGAUCCAAUCCCUUGAGUAAUCACGAAACUUCUAAGUACCGAAGUGUGGUCUGAUCUUCAUCUGCCCUUCUCUGGAAGUACCUUUCCUCCAUCCGGGAAUGGUGUAUUUAGCUGAUGUUGACGCACAAGCUAAUGUAUCAAUUUCACUUGAAGCUUAGUUGUAGUUUCGGGCUUAGUCAAGUGUGAUACAAACCCUAUAGUAGGAGUCCCCCAAGUCGCCGAGCUAGGAGAUCUGCCGAAAGAGGUGACAGACAAGGUAAGCAGUCAAACUUCCAAGUAAGCAACCCAGGAUCAGAGGUUUGACUUCGGCUUCCGGUUGAUUGUUCUCAUUCUCCUUGUCUCUCAUUCAACUGCCAGGAUAAGGAGAAGCAAAUGGAUAAGAGAUGAUAUGAGAUACUUUUGCUUUUGAAGAAGUAACUUUCCACAGGCUUAUUCUUGAACUGUGCUGGAGGGUUUUCUGGUGCCCUUCAGAGUAUAAGGCCAACUCAAAAAUUUGAGGGUCAAAACAAGUCCAUCAAAUCUAGAGUACGUUCGACCUUGAUGAUAUGGGAUACUUUUGCUGUUGACGGAAUAAUGAAUGUGGUAUGGAAAGGUGUCGUGCUGUAGUGAUCUGUUUCAGCUCACCGUUUGAACCUUCUGCUUCAAUCUUUUGCAUGGCAGAAGUGGUGUGCAACCUUUGCAUUUAAAUGGUCCUUCAGAACAUUCCUUCAUAGUGACUCAUCCACGCUUGGCAGCUUCAGUGUAAAGAGCCAAUAUCUGAUCAACUGUCAUGAGGUAUUUGCCGGUGGAAUUCGUGACCUUGACAGCAGUUGAGGAUGAGUACUCGAGAGCAAUGCUAAGUAAGCAACCAGGCAAAGGCUCCAGGCAGUCAGUUCCAAAUUGGAGGUUUGAUUUCAGGUUCCGACUGACUGCUCUCUUUCUCCUUGUCCUGCAGGUGUGGACAAGGACAAAGACAAAGACAGGGAGAAAGCAUGAUAUGGGAUACUCUUGCUUUCGAUCCUGAUGAUAUGAGAUACUCUUGUUCUUGGUGUGGCUUAUUUGCUGAGGUAUUAUCGGGGGGAAAUAAAGCUGAGUAUUUCGAGAGGUUAUGUUGAGGGUGCCUUUUCGAAUGCGAGAAAGGGUUGAGCAUUUUUGCAGGUUUGCCUGUCCGUUGAGGAGGGAGGUCAAUGUAUAUAGGGAUUUCCCAAUAACAAGUAGUAAUGCUAUUCCUUUACCCUUCUUGGUCACAGCAAUGUAGUGGGAGCUGCCAGCUUCACGUGUUUUAAUUUUGUCAGAGCACUUUGAAAAAAGUGGUAUGUGGUAUCUGGAAAGCUGAUGUUACGUGUGAAGAUUACAGACAAGCUUUAUCUAAGGAAAUCUGGCUCUCGAAGUUCUGAGAGUUGUGCCUCUUCGGUUUUCGAACAAGCAAUCCCGUCGAGGAUCUGACUCUCGAGAUUCGGAAAGCGGUGCUACUCCGGUUUUUUAGAAAGUAAUUAUGUUGGGAGUCUUUUCUUGAAUGUGAGUAAAGGUUGGACGUUCUUGCCAACCUGUCUUGCCGCAAAACACGGAGGUCGACACACAUAGGGACUUUCCAGUUGUCAAGCAGUGGUGCUGUUCCUUUACCCUUAUGGGUAAUAGUAGGGUAGCUGGAACUUCGAAAUUCUCGUGCCUAAACUUUGUCAGAGAUCUUUGACAAAGUUAUAUGUGGUACCCGAUGAGUUGAUGGUGCAUAUGGAGAGCGGUGAUUGAACAGUAAGAUUCACGUGCUUUCUACUUCACCAGAAAUCUUCGACAGAUUGCCCGUAAUUUCUGCAAAGCUGAGUGUGCAUGUGACAGGUGCUGACGAGGCUGAAAAAGCAGGUGCUUCUUUGAUUUCUGAGAUCGGCCCUCGUGGUCUCUGAGCAGCCCAGCUUUUGAGAAAGCAAACGCCUCUUCGAUUUCUGAAGCUCCGUCGAGUGCAGAUUUUUAUAGAGGCUGGCAUUAAGUUCCACAGCACACUUGAAUCUCUACCAGUAGAAGCUCAUUUCUUGCACUUCUAAGAUCUUGAUUUGUCUGACCUCUUCCCUCUUCAACACAUUUGAAAAUGUCUGGACCCUCCGACCGUCGUUUUGACUUGAACCUUGGAGAAGAGACAGCCACGCCUUCUCCAGACAACAUAUGGCGCCCAUCAUUCAUAUCCCCUACCGGUCCUCUUACCGUUGGGGAUUCUGUGAUGAAGAAUGAUAUGACCGCUGCAGUGGUGGCCAGGAACCUUCUCACUCCCAAAGAUAACAUACUACUUUCCAAACGGUCUGAUGAGUUGGCUGUUAAGGACUCUUUGGCCCUUAGUGUUCAGUGUGCAGGUUCUGUGUCUAAUAUGGCCCAACGCCUAUUUGCUAGAACCCGCCAAGUUGAAUCAUAUUGGCUGCUGAAGUGAUGAGUCUCAAACAGGAGAUUAGAGGGCUCAAGCAUGAGAAUAAGCAGUUGCACCGGCUCGCCCAUGACUAUGCUACAAACAUGAAGAGGAAGCUUGACCAGAUGAAGGAAUCUGAUGGUAAGGUUUUACUUGAUCAUCAGCGGUUUGUGGGUUUGUUCCAAAGGCAUUUAUUGCCUUCGUUCCUCUGGGGCUGUACCUGGUAAUGAAGCUUCAAAUGAUGAACCUCCAAUGCCUCCUCCUUCUGGGGUUUUGUCAAGUACUGAGGCUCCGGAUAACCACCCUCCGGUGCUUUCUCUUUCUGGGGCUCUACCGACUGCUGAGACUUCCCCUAAGCAACCUUUGUGAAGGCUCCCUUUUGUUUGUUUAUUUUGACUCAUGUAUAUGUACAUAUUUGUGGCUUAUCGAAAAUAUUAAUAAAAUAAGCUUUGCUUCAUUUCAACAUAUUGUGUUAAAUACACCAAAGCCUUCUUCAUAAAGUUCUUUGAAUUUUUGCUUUUGUUGAAACCUGUAUUGUUGAAGCUUUGUGAGUGAAGCAUGUAGUUUGAGGUAGUGUUCCCUUAAUUUCUCGAGUGAGGAAAACUUCUCGGUUGGAGACUUGAAAAAUCCAAGUCACUGAGUGGUUGUGAGACUGCCGAGUAUCAAGGUGCAGUAGCAUAUGGUGGGAGUCCCCCAAGUCUUCAGGCGAAGAGAGUUGCCGAAUGAGGUGUCUCGCGUGUUACUAAUUUGUCAAAGUAACGAAUUCUUGUUUCGAUGUCACACAUUCGUAUAUGCUUUAUCUAAAAAAUAUUUCCAACUUUUGUGUGUGUUUGAUGCUGCAUGCUAUUGACUAGACAAGAUCAAGUGCAAUUAGUAGCUUUCUCUCUUUUUCAUCUUUUCUUUGGUGGAAUUGCUUUUCGUUUCCACUAAUCAGCCUGAGUGGAUGCAAGAUAACACCUUUCUCUAUAGCUCAGAUUGCAAAGUCGUCUUCAUGAAAGUUUUUCCUUAUCUUGUGAACUACAAUAUAUCCAAAUUUGAGAUCCAUCGGAGUAGUACAACUUCAGAAAUUCAAGUAUGAUGAGUAACUGUUCAUCAAUGUUCUGUUAAUCCGUCAGACUUGUUGUGAGCUUCGAAACUCCAUUUUCUCUUGUUCAGAUCAACAUACUUUCUUUCUUCAUCGAAGUUGUUCCUCAGCUUGUGAACUACAACAUAUCCAAAUUUGAGAUCCCUCGGAGCAGUAUAACUCCAGAAAUCCAGGUAUGAUGAAUGACUGGUUAUUAUUUUUCUGUCAACCCGUCAGAUUUGUUGUGAGCUUCGAAACUCCAUUUUCUCUUGUUCAGAUCGGUAUGCUUUUCUUCAUUGAAGUUGUUCCUCAGCUCGUGAACUACAACAUAUCCAAAUUUGAGAUCCCUCGGAGCAGUAUAACUCCAGAAAUCCAGGUAUGAUGAAUGACUGGUUAUUAUUUUUCUGUCAACCCGUCAGAUUUGUUGUGAGCUUCGAAACUCCAUUUUCUAUUGUUCAGAUCGGCAUGCUUUCUUCAUUGAAGUUGUUCCUCAUCGUCUCUUUCAUAACAUAUCAAAAAUUCAGAAUGAACUAAUGGUUAAAUAUUUCCAGAUCUUUGAAACAUCACAGCAGCUUCGAAAUCUGCAAGAAUCCGACUGUCAUGUUUGGAACUUCAACACUUUAAUUUCCGUCGCUCAAACAGAAAUGGUUCCUUCUUGAAAGUUGUUCAUAUGCUCAAGAACUAUAGGGUGUCCAAAAUUCAGCUCCAUUGGAGAAGAGCAGAGGUUGCAGAAAUUUGAUAGAUGAAAGGAGGCGGAAGAGGGAGAGAGAGAAAAAGUCUCUUGGGUUGGAUUUCUAUUUUGGGGCAGAUUCCAAUUUUUGUAGCACCUUCAUUAUUGAUGAAUUGCUUGUACUUUUGUCCAUUAUGAAACUUGGGACUUUGGCUUGUUGUUGGAUCUAUUAUAAUAUGUUUGGGAACAUAUAUAAGUGAAUAAAUAAGAAGGAAAAUUUUGGGCCCUUGUGGGUGUAAAACAAAAAAUGUUUAUGUUUACCCAAGUGGUUUUGUGAACAAAAUUUGUUUAUUUGGAGCAAGGUUUUGUGUUGAAGCUUUGUAGGUGAAGCUUUGUAGAUGAAGCUUUCGAGGUGAAGCUUUGAUGGUGAAGCUUUGUAGAUGAAGCUUUCUGGGUGAAGCUUUGAUGGUGAAGCUUUGUAGAUGAAGCUUUCGAGGUGAAGCUUUGAUGGUGAAGCUUUGUAGAUGAAGCUUUCUGGGUGAAGCUUUGAUGGUGAAGCUUUGUAGAUGAAAGUAUGUAGAGGGAGCUUUCUAGGUGAAGAUUUUUUAGGUGAAGCUUUGUAGGUGAAGCUUUUUUAAGUGAAGCUUUUCGGGUGAAGUUUUUGUUGGGUGAAGCUUUGUGGGUGAAGCUUUUUAGGUGAAGCUUUGUGGGUGAAGCUUUGGAGGUGAAGCUUUUCGGGUGAAGCUUUUUGGAUGAAGCUUUUUUUUUUUUUUUUUUUUUUUUUUUUUUUUUUUUUGGCGCUUGACACGGUCUUCAUUUGCUUGUUUUGUAGUGACUGUGGAAGACGGAUUGCUUUCUGAAUUGAGAAGGGUUCCGGCAUCGCUUGCUAUGAAUGUAAAAGAGUGAGGGCUGAGUUGGCUAAAUUACCUCUUUAUUGAAUUCAUUGCCAAAUGGCCUUCAUUACAUAGGAUGCCGAACGGCUAUAGCUCAACACUUGUACAUCGUGAGUCUAUUUGUAGUAGUACUUCAAGUGAUCAGCGUUCCAUGGAUGGCCAAGGGUCUUGCCAUCGGAGCUUCUAAGUGUGUAAGAGCCAGGGCGACUGAUGCCAAUGACUUCAUACGGUCCAUCCCAGUUUGGACUAAGUGUGCCUUCACUCGGGACUCUGUCGCAGAGUAAUCUUUUCUUUUAAGACCCAGUCUCCUAUUUUGAAAGAACGAGGCUUGACCCUAGAGUCAUAAUAGUUGGAGAUGCGCUGCUUGUAGGCGACAUUCCUCAAGUGAGCUUGGUUUCUGUGUUCCUCGACUAAAUCCAAGUUGAGGGUGAGUUGUUUGUCAUUUUCACUUUGAAUGUAGUUCUGGACUCGGAAUGUUGCUUGCUCGAGCUCAACAGGGACAACCGCCUCUGUGCCAAAGGCAAGUGAGAAUGGAGUUUCUCCUGUUGAAGUCCGAUAUGAAGUGCGAUAUGACCAAAGAACUUGGGGUACAAAUUCUGGCCAACAGCCUUUAGCUUUGUCCAAGCUGGUUUUCAAAGUGCGCUUGAUUAUUUUGUUGAUGGCCUCAACUUGUCCAUUAGACUGGGGAUGAGCUGGAGAGGCAAAGCAUAAGUUGAUGUUGAACUUAGAGCAGAACAACCUGAACUUCUUGUUGUCAAACUGUCGCCCAUUGUCAGUGACUAUCGCAUUGGGAAUGCCGAAUCUACAAAGGAUGUUCUUCCACACGAAGUCUUCUAUCUUUGCCUCAGUAAUGGUUGCCAAGGGUUCUACUUCGGCCCACUUUGUGAAGUAGUCCACUGCAACGACUGCGUAACAGACUUUGCCCUUCCCUGCCGGCAUUGGGCCGAUCAAAUCAAGUCCCCACUGGGCGAAGGGCCAAGGGCUGAUCAUAGGAGUAAGAGGCUCUGGAGGGGAAUGAGGAAUAGUUGCAUAUCGUUGACAUUUGUCACAUGAGCGGGAUACUUUGAUGGCAUCCUGGUGGAGUGUUGGCCAGUAAUAUCCUUGGCGAAAAGUCUUGUGUGCUAGGGACCGAGAUCCAGCAUGAUCUCCACAGACUCCCUCAUGUAUUUCCCGAAGGACGAUUUCCGCCUCGGCAGGCGUAAGACACCUUAAGUAUGGCAGGCUAAAACCUCGCUUAUAGAGUUGAUCAUUGAUGAUCAGGUAGCGGGUAGACUUGUAUCGAAUUUGCUUAGCCUGGACUUUAUCAUUUGGGAGGGUGCCAUGAGCAAGGAAAUUAUAGAUCGGGGUGAUCCAACUAUCCCCCUGUUGUAAGUUGCAUACUUCUGCGGCCAUGGUGCUUGGUGUUGCCAACAGUUCGACAUGAAUUUUUCUUCCAAUCUUGUCUUCCACAGCUGAGGCGAGGCGAGCCAGGGCGUCUGCAUGACUGUUUGCCGCUCGAGGAACUUGGGUGAUCUGGUAGUGGAAGUGCUUGAGUAAAAGUUGUGUUUGCGCAAGAUAUGCUGCCAUGGAGCUGUCCUUAGCAUCAAAGUUGUUGGUAACCUGGUUGACCACUAAUUGGGAGUCACUGAAAAUAUCAAUUUGUUUAACCCCGAGGUGUUUGGCCAAACGUAAUCCUGCUAGAAGGGCUUCAUACUCGGCCUCAUUAUUUGAUGCCUUGAAUUUGAAACGAAGAGCAUACUCCAUUGCUACUUUGUCGGGUGUAGUCAAGACUAGUCCCGCUCCACAGCCCUGUUGGUUGGAUGAGCCAUCAACAUACAGACUCCAUGCUGGGGUUGUUGGUUCUAUCUUCUGAGCUUCCGGGGGUAAUGAAGCCACUGUUUCAGGUGUAGAAGCAAUGUCAACCGGAUAUGUGAAGUCGGCAAUGAAGUCUGCCACUGCUUGGCCCUUCUCAGCUGGCUUUGGUUGGUAGGAGAUGUCAAACUCACCCAACGCUAUUGCCCAUUUGAUCAUUCGCCCUGAAGUGUCAGGACUUUGGAGUAUCUGUCGAAGAGGAUAAUUGGUAAGCACGAUGAUGGAGUGCGCUUGGAAGUAAGGGCGGAGUUUUCGAGCAGACAUGACCAAUGCCAGAGCCAAUUUCUCAAUGUUAGAGUACCGUGUCUCCGCAUCUUGUAAGGCUUUGCUAGCGUAGUAGACAGGUCGCUCAAUAUUCCCAUCCUUUCGAAUGAGAACGGAACUUACGGCUGAAGCUGAUACCGAUAGGUAGAUAAUGAGAAUGUCUCCUACCUCGGGCUUGGUGAGUAGAGGGGCUUUACUCAUGUACUCCUUGAGGUUUUUGAAUGCCUCGGCACAUUCAUCAGUCCAUGUAAUGUACUUCCUACUUCCCUUAAGUGCUUUAAAAAAGGGAGCACAUUUGUCUGUGGCCUUAGAAAUGAACCUGGUUAAGGCUGCCACCUUGCCAGUAAGGCUCUGGAUGUCCUUUGAAGUUACCGGUUCCUUCAUGUCGAGGAUUGCUUUGAUCUUCUCGGGAUUAGCUUCAAUGCCUCGUUGGCUAAUCAUGAAACCUAAGAAUUUGCCAGAGCCUACGCCGAAGGCACAUUUGUUGGGGUUUAACCUCAUUCGAUACCUCUUCAAAAUAGUGAAAGUUUCAGAUAGGUUGGUGAUGUGUUGGUCAGCAUGUUUGCUCUUGACUAACAUAUCAUCAACGUAAACUUCCAUGCUCUUCCCAAUCUGCUCGGCGAACAUUGAGUUGACUAGUCUCUGAUAAGUCGCUCCUGCAUUCUUUAGGCCGAAAGGCAUGACUUUAUAGCAGUAUAGUCCUCUGUCGGUAGUGAAGGCUGUGUGUUCUUGAUCCGAAGGGUUCAUGAGGAUUUGGUUGUAUCCUGAGUAAGCAUCCAUGAAGCUCAGGAGUUCACACCCGGCCGUAGAGUCUAUAAGUCUGUCAAUAAGAGGAAGAGGGAAGCUAUCUUUCGGACACCCUUUGUUUAGGUCGGUGUAGUCAACACACAUUCUCCACAAGACCUUUUGAAGCGAAAGACUUUCUUUGGUCGGAUUUUUCCUAACAAGGACCACAUUUGCUACCCAUGUCGGGUAAUUGACUUCGCGGACAAAGCCUAUGCCUUUGAGUUUUUCAACUUCUGCUUUCAUUGCCUCGUAUCGUUCAGCGUCAUAAGAUCUUCGCUUCUGUCUCACCGGCUUGAUCUUGGGGUCAAUACUCAAACGAUGACAGAUGACAUCGGGAGAGAUGCCUGGCAUGUCCUCGUAUGACCAGGCGAAGACUUCAGUGUUCUCUUUCAAAAAAGAUAUCAAUGCUAACCGAAGGGGUGGUGACAAUGUGGUGCCAAUCUUCACCAUGUGAUCUGGAUAAUCUCUUGAGAUAGGUACCUUCUCCAACUCUUCAGCAGGUUGGGCUUGCUGGGUGAAAGAGUCAUCUCGAGGAUCAUCGGGUUGAUUGUUGCUAUCAGGAAGAUCCAAGUUCGCUUCAUCUAGGCUGGUCUUUGUGACUUGGUCAUGUACAGACAGGGUUUCCUUGGGUCCGGGCAAGUGUUGUUGCUUAACUGAAGUGUUGUAACAUGAUCGUGCACUAAGCUGAUCUCCUCUGAUGUAGCCGUUGCCAUGGGGGGUUGGAAAUUUCAUCAACAGCAUAUGCGUGGAUACCAUAGCCUUGAGAUCAUUGAUGCCUGUGCGCCCAAAGAUGACAUUGUAUGCCGUUGGGCAGUCAACCACUAGGAAGUUAGUGGUAAUGGUAGCCGUGUAAGGGCCUGUACCAAUAGUAAAGGGUAAAUGUAUGCUCCCUAAGGGUUGCACGAUAUCACCGGAGAAGCUUAUCAGAGGAGAAAUCGAGCGAUCGAGCAAGUGUUCAGCUACACUGAGUGCCCUGAAAGCUUCGGCAAACAUGAUAUUGACCGAAGCCCCUGUGUCUACGAGGAUUCGUCGAACAUCAAAGUUGGCUAUGUGAGCCUCCACGAUCAAUGGGUCGUUAUGAGGGUAGAUGAUGCCUCUUUCUUCCUCAGGGUAGAAACAUAUCGGAUCCCAGUUAGGCUUUUGAUACUUCCCUCCCCUGAUGUCUUCCACGUGAAACACUUGGUGACCAGGCCUCAGAAUUCGUUCACUGUUUUUCAUGGCCCUAUUGGAAGAUUCAGAUAUGGGUGUGCCGCCGCUUAUGGAAUAUAUGACAUUCACCUGGCGUUGGUUACGGUUAUCCCUUUGAGGGUGAAGGAGGAAUUGAUCAAUUUUUCCUUCUCGUGCCAAAGCUUCAAUACGAUCACGGAGGAUGAUACAUUUCUCGCUAUCAUGGCCGUUAUGCUCAUGGUAGCAACAAAACAUGCCCGCGUUAUUCGGGGGCGUGUAAUCUGGGUGCCUCGGCUUUGGCUUUGGUAUCAGGUGAGCUAUGCUGGGGUAAAUGGCCGCGCAUGUGGCAUUCAAGGGCGUGUAUGUCUCAUACCUUGGGGUAGGGGGUAUCUUGACGCGGGUUUGACCCACUGCAUUGACUGCCUGGGGGCGAGCGUUAUUGUGGCGAUACCCUUGGUUAUCGGGAUAGUGUCCCUUACUCUUUUUUACUGAAAUGAGAGUGGUGAGGAUGGAAAUCCUUCCUCUUGCCUUGAAAUUGAUAUGUCUGUUGAUUCGGCGAAGCAUUAUGCAAGGCAUGGGGAGGUGCCACUGCUGUUUGGAAAGUCGAGGUCUUCUCAUUUAGGUGAGUCUGGCUUCCACCUCCCACUUGUUGAUAAAGGAUGGUUGUAGGGGGUUUCUCCUGAUAUGUCUUUGCCUCGGCGGAGGCAUGGUUAUAAGCCUGCGCCAUCACCUCAGAGUAAGUCUUCCAAGUAUUGGCAUUGAUCAUGUAUUUAAAGAAACAAUCACGUAGGCCUGCCGUGAAGGCUUUGAGGGCAGUCUUGUCGUCUGCCUCGGCACACCGGGAGUAUUCAUGGCUGAAGCGGCCAGCAUACAUACGUAAUGACUCGUCUGGCUUCUGGCGGAUAGUGUACAGGUCAUCUGCAGAGUGCAAGCGAUCGGUUUGGAAAAUGUGUUGGGAAACAAAUAGUUUCCUCAAUUCCUCAAAUGAGUCUACCGUCUCAGGUGUAAGACGACAAUACCAAUUUAGAGCUCCGCCAGAGAGGGUGGAGGGGAAGAGAAGACAUCGCUCUUCGUCGGUGUGCAUCCGGUAUGCCAUGGUGGACUCAAAGAGGUUAAGGUGCUCAAUCGGGUCCUCUUUUCCAGUAUAAAGUUGCAAGCCAAGCUUUUUGCUUUGUCUUUGCUUGAAGGGGGGUGUUGAGGAUCCUCCUUGUAAGAGGGCCAGGCCUGGGUUGGUUCCAGUCAGGUAUUUCAGCCUGACGUUCAGCCUUCAACUUGUUUACUUCCUCAAGAAGUUGUAGGACAAGGGGGUCCUGAGCGGAGUUAUGUGCCACUGGAGCUUUCUUUCGUAAAUCUCCAUCUUCUCUUGGAAUUAGGAAGGUUUGAUCAAGGGCAUGUGAUUUUUCCCUGGACUCGCUGUACUGGCUUCCAGGGUAUGUCUGUCGGAACACCUCUGAGUCCCCUGUACCCUCAUGUCUCUCUAGGACUUGUUGCCCCUUCCCCAAAUUGGUGGCCGGCUUGGGCCGUGGCAGGGGACCGAGUCUCUCAGAAAUCCUUGGGUCAUUAAUCUUUGAGCUUAUAUGGAUGGAAUUCUCUCGACGUUGCUUCAGGAAAUCCCGACAAUAGCGAAAGACAGCUUUCGAUCCUUCUGCCCCUUCAGCAAAGAGGUGUCUCCCUCCACUUCUCAUGGUUCGGGUUGAAGCAACUGGGUUAAGAGAAGCCUCAUGUUGAUUAUCAAGUCGAGGGGUAAUCUGUUCCCUAUCAGGGAUAUCUAUGUCGAAUGCAUGUGACCCUCCAUGUUGGAGGGCACCCAGUUGAUGGUUGACUUCCACGGGGGCAACAAGCUCGCGUGUCUGAGCUUGCCUAGCUUCGUGGAGUGUCUCGAAGAGCUUCUCAUAUUGCUCCUGGAGGACCUCAUUCCUCAUUGCUAUCUUGUUGUUCUGAGCUUCCAACUCAUCGACUUUAGCUUGAAGAAGAACUCGUUUUCCUUCCUUCUUUCGUUGUUUCGCACUAUGUGCAAGGGGGGUGUCAUUCUGUGUGCUGUGGCUUCCUUCGCUUCCCAUGUUGGAGAGGGAUGCCUGGUCAAAAGAAAGUGUACGAAUGAUAGAAACCAGCUUGACACAGCUGAAGAGAGUAGGAAUAAGUGUCGUUUCCCACAGACGGCGCCAAAUGUUGAUUAUCAAAAUCAGCGAAGACUUUGGUACAACAGAAAGUGUCAGGUUUUGUGACCUUCGCUUGGUUGCUUCGGUCACUAGUGAGGAUAAAUACGUAAAUAAAUAGAGACAGAGAAGCAAACACAGGAUGUACGUGGUUCACCCAGAUUGGCUACGUCCACGGAGUAGAGGAGUUCUUAUUAGUAGUGAAGGGCUUACACAAGUACAAAGGAUCAAGCUCUCAAUUUAGUGAGUUCUUGUGAAUGAUUUAACACAAAAUGGCAUUAGGCAAUAUUGUGGGGGAAUGACCCCUAUUUAUAGAAAAACUUGUAGCUUUGUCACAUUGACAUGUGUCAUGUUAUGAUUGGUUCUUGAUGUUGACACGUGAUGCGCUCUGAUUGGCUUCUAAUCCUGACACGUGUCGAGUAGUGAUUGGCCUCCUGGUCGGAGGGGAACUCUUCUGGGUCCUUGACAGUAUAGCGUUGGCCGGUGCUCGGUAGUUUCGGGAUUGGUCAAGUAUGGUACAAACAAGUUGUACUUAGUACAUUUGAUGGGCAAUCAUAUUUUAGUUGGUUCCGUUGAGUGGUCCGGAAUCCUUUUUGGUGUCUUGGUUCCGUUGAGAGGUCCGGAACCCGAUGCUGAUGGAUUUCGUUGAGGGGUCCGAAAUUGCAUCAUUUGAUUCAUUUAAGACAGCUUCAGCAAUGUAGACUUAUGUCGAAUUGUGUCGCUCUAACCCGGCAUUCCGAUGAAUUGUAUGUGUUAUUGAUGAUAUGGUGAUUGGCAUUAUUGAUUGAUGUGAUAAUUGGAUGGUAAUGGAAUGCAUAUGUGAGGAUGAAUGACGUUAUGAGUAGAGAUUAUUAUUGUGCUUUGUUAAAUGUUCCUUAAGGUGCUACAUAAUUGAAUUGUGGUAUUAUGUUGAGACCUAGUGGUCUAUGUGACGAAUGUUCGAUAGUAGUGAAAUGUGAACUACGAAUGACUUGAUCCCUGUUGAGGGUACGUAGGUAGUCUAACGAGGAGGUUAGAUGCAGUCAUAAAAUACACAAAAAUUACAACGAAAUUCGAAUAUUGAAUUAUGCUUUGUAAAUAUUUCGGGCGGGAUAUGUGAGAUAUACGGGUUUUUAAUGACGUCACGUGCUGAUCUUGGACGUAUGUCGGGAUCAGGGCGUGACAAAAUGAGUUUUAUGAAAUGAAAUGGCAUGCCAAUUAUAUUUAUAUUAAGAAUGUGCAUAUGUGAUUAUAUAUGUUGUGAUUCGAUGCUAUGGGCGCUCAGGUAAGUUUCAAGUAAGUUUAUGUGUUGAGUUUAAGGUGUGGAAAAAUGAUGAUUGUUGAGAUGUGUUGAGAGCUCAUUAACCUGCACCCGGGUGUUAGUGCUCCUGCCCAUGGUUAGGGGCACAGUCUUUCACGUGAUGUUUACCUCCCGUAGCACACGCUCAUCUUGGAUCCAAGUUAGGUGCACAAUCCUGUUGUAUAGACCACUUUCAGUGGGUUCGACUCGUUGGUGACCUGCAAUCAUUCGCACAGUCUUCACGUGAUUGUAGCAUUAGAGCAUAUUUGUUUUACACCCAGUCAUGUCGUAUAGACCACUAUAGGUGGGUUCGACUCGUGUGCAGACAUGAUUUAUGAGAUAGAAUUCAGUUGAUUUGAUAUUCUCACAUGUUAUCACUCCUUGGGGUACUUACCUUGUUAUUUGAGAUGAUUGGCAUGGUAUAUUCACGUUUUGACUUUGGAUUUUGAUAUUGCUGGAUAUGUUGAGAUUACGAGUAUAUGUAUAUGCUAUUUGCUGGGAAAUUAUACAGGUUUUACAGAGAGGGGUUAUACUUUUGAGAAAUGAAAUGAUUUUGAAAAGUUUUGUUUUUUGCCCACUCACGCGUUUUGUUUUGCGCCCCUCUAGGUUUUAGGUAGCGUUGUUGGUGGCUUACGAGUUUUCAGCGGAGGUUCUGACAGACCAUCACUUAUGUAGAAUCACCUUUGGGUGUUGUUAUUUAGUACUUUUAUGCUUGACUGCACUUAGGCUAGUUAAGCUCUGAUUGUGUAUUCACACUUAAUUUCCACUCUUGCAUCUUAGUCUUGUCUAGUACUAUCAGGAUUUGGUUUCUAUUCAAUUGUAUUUCUCUAUAUUAAUCUUGCUUCCGCACUGUGCAUAUGGCUACGUCACCCUCACGUGACGGUUAGCAUGUCUCGAUCUUGGUCGGGGUGUGUCAUCAAGUCACCUUUUAACUUCUAUUAUGUUGAUUUUUGUCUGUAGGUACACAAAAAUAUGCAGAUUUGGCUUUCAAAUUGAGAGGCCUAAGGACAAUCUCUGUUCAUAGAAAAAAAAGUUGGACAUAGAAGGCAUGGGUAUGGGAACAUGAUUGGUUGUUAUAUUGCUUUGGGACGUUUUGAUAUUUUAGAGAUUAAUGAGUUUGUGGAGAUUUUGUUUUUCACAUCUUGCUUUGUAUUUGAACUUAAGCACUAUAACUGAACUUACUUUAAAAUUAUAGGACUUCAAAACGCGACCGCGGUUAGGAUUAGAAAGGGCCAAGUAUAUAUGUUGAGAAACUAGGCAUUGCAAGCAUAUAAAUUCCAAUUUUAUUAUUGCUAAACCAUAUAUCAAAUGUAGUUAGGAAUUAAAUUAAGUACAAACUACAUGGGGAUGGAGAAAGUUAUGUAUAGGUGAGAGCCUAAAAAUACUUGAGAAUCAAAUACUGCACAAAUUUGUGAUAAGUUAGAUGAGUAAAGAUCGCCUUUUGUCAAGCAGUUUUUGACUUUUCUGCAUUCUUUUAUAUAGUUUUUUCUUUUUUUCUUCCUAUUUUGUCAGAUUAGAUAGAUAGGGGCGCUAAUAAAAAAAAAGAAAGAAAGUAUUUUUGCAUUUUGCUGCACGUGAUGAUGUUGAUGAUAUACAAUAUUCAAUGACUAAACCCUAUUCCCUAUACUAUAGCAAAAAAUGAAGCAUAAUUAUACAAUAGCUACACACAAAACAUUGAAAGUAUACAUGCGUGCAGUAAGAAUGAAUGGUAAAAAUGCCAUGUUCCUUUUAACAUUGCGAAUUACCGAGCUUUAUGGAGGGAGUAUAAAUACGAAUGCUCUUGGUGGUCUUCAUCUAAUUUCUUAUUAGUAUCAUCUCGAUGUUUUGGAACUUUUGACAGCCCUCUCACCGAACAUAUAAUUUUUAGGGGCGCGCAGCGCUCGUAAUUAAAAAAACGCGCAUGCGGAGAGGCUGGUAUAUACUAAAGUCCUACGCCCAAAAAUGCUGUUCAUAAGAGCAGUGUAAAGACGCAAAUACCCCUCCUCAACUGAUCUUUUCCUUCCUAUAUUUCAUGAGGCUACAGUAAAAAGACGAAAAACCAUGUUGCACACGUGGCGUGCUAGCGAGAUUUCUCUCUUCCACCGCUUCCUUCCUCUGCAGUCUACACCUCUUGCGUUUUUGCCUUUCCUCUCCAGCUGUCGGCCAUCACAGAGUCUUAUGGCAUCUUCCCGUUCUUUUCGCUGUUUUUCCUUCGGUUGCUUUUCACUUCUUUUCCUCUAAUUUGACUUCGUUUGUUUUGUGUUAUGUGGUUUUUAUUGAUUUUCAAUGUGUAUUGAUUGAUACUAACAAUUACAAGAUGAAACUUAUAUAUAGGGAAAGAAAGAUGACAUAAGCCUAACUUGCCUAACUUGCCUAACUUACACAAAGAAAGUUGACUAGCCUAACUUCACUAGUCAUCCAAUACAAUUGUUCCAACAUGUUUAUUUCAUGCAUUUUAACACUCCCCCUCAAGUUGGAGUGUGGAUGUCAAUGAUACCCAACUUGCUAAGUAAGACCUCAAAUUGCGCCGAGCUUAGUGGUUUGGUGAACAAAUCUGCAGGUUGAUUCGAGGUUCGUAUGUAAGCUGUUUGCACCAUUCCCAUCUGAAUCUUCUCACGUACUAAGUGACAGUCGAUCUCUAUAUGCUUCGUUCGUUCAUGAAACACUGGGUUCGAAGCAAUGUGCAUGGCAUCUUGAUUAUCACAAAACAAUGUGACUGGUUGUGCAUGAUUCACUCGUAAGUCCUUCAAAAGGUUUCUUAGCCAUAUAACUUCACAACAGGUGAUAGCCAUAGAACGAUAUUCUGCCUCUGCACUAGAACGAGAUACUGUGCUUUGCUUCUUUGUUUUCCAAGAUAUCGGUGCUUGCCCAAGGAAGAUACAAUAACCGGUUAUUGACCUUCUAGUGUCUUUACACCGAGCCCAAUCAGCAUCACAAAAAGCUUGUAAUUGUAGUGAACCUGUAGAAGGCAAAAGAAUUCCCUGGCCAGGAGAUUGUUUGAUGUAUCUGAGAACCUUAUACACUGCAUCAAGGUGUGGUUGUCGCGGCUUGUCCAUGAAUUGGCUUAACAUAUUAACCACGUAAGUCAGGUCAGGCCUCAUGAUGGUUAAGUAAAUUAGCCUCCCUACGAGUCUCCUAUAUGAAGAAGGAUCAUGUAGGAGCGUCCCUUCAGUUUAUGUAAGGGACAAGUUUGGUUCCAUGGGCAAUCGUGAGGGCUUCGCACCAAGGAACCCAACAUCUUCUAGUAUCUCCAACGCAUAUUUGCGUUGGCACAAGGCAAUCCCUUGUUUAGAUCUUGCAACUUCUAUCCCCAAAAAAUAUUUGAUUUUUCCCAAAUCCUUUAGCUUAAAAUGUUGGGAAAUGAAGAGUUUAGUCUCUUCAAUUUCUCUCAAAUUGUUACCUGCAAGUAUUACGUCAUCAACAUACACAAGUAAUGCCAUGAAACUGCCUUGAUUGAUGAAAACCAGCAGUCUUGAGAGCACUAGACAGCUUAAUAAACCACUGUCUUGAGGCCUGUUUUAAACCAUAAAUGGAUUUGUGUAAUUUGCAUAGUUGUGUCUCCCCCUUUCGUCCGAACCCAGGAGGUAUAUAAACCUCAUCGUAUAAGUCACCAUGCAAAAAUGCGUUGUUUACAUCAAGUUGGUGAAGAUGCCAACCACAGAUGAAGGCAAUACUGAGGAGGACAUGGACGGUGGUGAGCUUGGCAACUGGAGCAAAUGUUUCCCGAUAAUCAAGCCCUUCAAUUUGACUAUAGCCUUUAGCAACGAGACGGGCUUUGUAGCGUUCAACACUGCCGUCAAGUUUAAGCUUCACCUUAUAGAUCCAUUUGCAGCCUAUGGGAUGUUUGUGAGGUGGUAAGGGCACAAGAGUCCAAGUGCGAUUGUCAUGGAGGGCAUCAAUCUCUUUUUGCAUGGCGUCACGCCAUUUUGGAUCCUGAACAGCCUGCGAAAAACUGGUGGGUUCUUUGAUAAUGGUGAGGGUGGUGAGAAAGGUUUUGUGAGGGGGGAUACAUGGUCAUAGGAUAAAUAACGAGAUAGGGAGUGAGAUGUACCUGAGGACUGAACCAUGCUUGUGGAAGAUGUGGGUGCAACACGGGAUGGGAGGGCCACCUCAACAUGAAAGUCUUGCAAAAAUAUGGAAGUUUUGGUUGGUCGAGUGCUAGGACGGAGUGCAGGGGUUGGAUCUGGUGAUGGAGUGGUUGGAGGUGGGGAAGAGUGUAGGGUAGGUGAAGGUGUUGAUAAGGUAUCUGGUGGUGGAGUUGUAGAGGGUAAAGGAGAUGAGGGUGGUGUGAUGUCGGCAAGUGUGGGAGAUGUGGUGUUUAUGUCUGCUGGUGCAAGGCUUGAAUGCGACUCAAUGGGAGAGGUCGAGUCAAACGGGAUAGGUGUAGUGUUUGAUGGAGACGGGGCAACGGAAGUGUUACAAUGUUGGAAUGGAAAAUGAUCUUCAAAAAAUACGACAUCCCUAGAAACAAAAGUCUUAUUGUGUUUUAUAUCAAACAAUUUAUAACCCUUUUGACCAUAAGGAUACCCAAGAAAAAUGCAUUGGAUUGCACGAGGGUCAAAUUUAGAGGGCCUUUGGGCAUGUGUAGAAGCAAAACACAAGCUACCGAAAACCUUCAAAUGAGAAUAGUUAGGUGCUUUGUGAAACAGUUUUUCGUAUGGUGUUUUACCUUGGAGAAGUGGAGUGGGUGUUCUAUUGAUGAGGUAGGCUGAGGUUAGGAUUGCAUCUCCCCAAAAACAUUUUGGCAGACAAGCUUGAAAGAGCAAAGCCCGAGCAACAUUGAGCAAGUGCCGGUGUUUACGUUCGGCAACACCAUUUUGUUGUGGUGUGUUGACUCAACUAGAUUGAUGUAUGAUGCCUUUGAGAGCAUAAAAUUGCUCAAGUUUAAACUCAGGGCCAUUGUCACUUCGUAUGAUUUGAACUCUGGUAUUGAAUUGAGUCUCAAUCAUUUGAAUGAAUUUGACUAAAAUGUCUUUUGUGUCAGAUUUAUGUUUCAUCAAAUGAACCCAAGUGCUUCUAGUGUAGUCAUCUACGAUGGUAAGGAAAUACUUGGCACCUGAAAUAGAAGCAACUUGAUAACCACCCUAAAUAUCAAUAUGCAAUAAUUCAAAACAUGAUUUGGUAGAAAUAGAGCUCAAAGGAAAGGGUGAUCGUGUUUGUUUGGCCAAUGGGCAAAUUGAACAUUUUUCCAAAUCACAAGCUUUAUUGUUAAAGAAAGGUAAUAACGAAGUGGCUUUAUGAGAUGGGUGUCCUAGGCGUUGGUGCCAAAGCUUUGGUGCGAUGGUUUGAAUAUUGUUGCAUGUUCUUUUCCUUGAUGAGUCGAGGUAGUAGAGUCCAUCCCUUUCAGUUCCCAUCCCAAUCAUCUUCCCCGAGCGAAGGUUCUGAAUGACACAAAAUUGGGUGAAGAAAAUUGUGACAUAUAAGGAAUCAUAGGCUAGUUUACUGAUGGAUAUUAAAUUUAAUUUAAAGAAUGGCACACAUAGGACAUUGUCAAGGAUAAGAUUAUGAGAGAAAACAACUUGUCCAAUGUGAGUGACUUUGGCAACGGAACCAUUUGGCAGUUCAACUGUAUGAUUUUCAACAGCUCGUGAGUGUGUAAAGAGACUAGGGUUGAAAGUUCUUCAUGACUAGAAGGAUUACCGACUUGAUUGGCAAAUGAUGAUUUGUUCUUGUUCAACAUUUGAAGGAUUUGCUUGCAAUCCUCCUGAGAGAACGGGAAAUUGGGCAACAUCUCUUGCUUGUUACUUUGUGAAACUUGAUUCCCUUUUGAAGAAAAAGGACGACUGCUUUCCGUUUCUGUGGCUGCUUUUCGUUUUCGACAGAAAUCGAAGGUGUGACCUUUCCAUCCACAAAAAGUGCACUUGAGAUGUGCACGACAGUUUUUGGUGAUGUGAUUUGUUCUAUUGCACUUUCCACAUCGCAUCUCUUUGUCUUCCGGUGUAGGUUCUUGCGACAAAUUCUUCACUCCAAAGACAACAGCCUCUGGUUGUGUACUCUUCCCAUUGGAAACCUCUGCCUGGCGUUCAUGUCGAAGGACCAACGCAUAUGCCUUGUUCACCGUAGGCUGUGGUUCAAGAAGAAGGGUAUUGCUUCGAACCGUAGCAUACGAUUCGUUCAAUCCCAUAAGGAACUUCAUGGUUUUCUGAGUUUCAACAUAUGAGUUCAUCUCAUUCUUUGUUCCACAACUGCAUGCUGGAAUGGAACACAAAGUAUCACGUUCAUCCCAUAAACUUUUAAGUUUAGUGCAGUAAGAACUUACACUCAUAUUGCUUUAGACGCAAUCAUGGAUCUCGUUCUUAACAUGGAACAGCUGAACUAUAUUCACAUGUGAGAACCUCUCCUGCAGAUCGGUCCACAUUUGUCGAGCAUCCUUGUAGUUGAUGACACUCCUUGAAAUCUCCUUUGACAUGGAGCCUAGUAGCCAUGUCUUGACCAAGUUGUUGCAGCGAUUCCAUUGUUGCAACUCCUCAGAAUUGUCCUCACUUGGUUUGUUGAUUGUCCCAUCAACAAAACCAAGUUUGUUCUUGACCGUUAAGGCCAUACUCAUGGAUUGAACCCAUGUGCUGUAGUUGUCUUCCACCAAUGGUUGUGGUACGAGGAUUGCACCAGGUUGGUCCGAGUGGUGGAGAUAGAGUGGGUGGUUGGGAUUUUCCCAUUUUGAAUGAGAAGCCAUGCCUGGAAUGGUUGACCUCAUGACUGCCUUAGAGCUUGUGUUUUGUGGUUUUCCCAGAUCACAGCUCUGAUACCAUAUUGAUUUUCAAUGUGUAUUGAUUGAUACUAACAAUUACAAGAUGAAACUUAUAUAUAGGGAAAGAAAGAGGACAUAAGCCUAACUUGCCUAACUUGCCUAACUUACACAAAGAAAGUUGACUAGCCUAACUUCACUAGUCAUCCAAUACAAUUGUUCCAAUACAAUUGUUCCAACAUGUUUAUUUCAUGCAUUUUAACAGUUUUGGUUUCGUUUGCUCUCUUUCCCUUCUUCUCUGUUGGUUUCUGUUGCUUCUCCAUCAGUUCACCCAAACCACCGCUUGCUUCUCCACCAGUUCACCCAAAUCCGACGAAGGGCGCCACAACAAACGUGCCAAUCUUCCUGCACCACCGGUCUCCGCAACGUUUUCCAAAACCCGCUUGACCGAAGGUAAGCGAAUUUGGUGUUCUGGAUUAUAUCGGAAUUGAAAUAGGUUUGGUUUCAUUAACUUUUUGGGUUAAUAAAUUUGUAUGCUCUGAUUCUUUUGAAUUUGAGUUUGGAUUGGAAUUUAAUUUUGAUUUACAAAUCUCUGAUAAAACCUCAACAAGAAACUUAAACCCUCAGCAAGAAACUUAAACCCAAUGCAUCAUCCUAUUAAUUCCAACAUCUCCUCAAUAAGUAUUCUAAGAUAUAAAUAUUACAAUUCUGGUGAUCAUAGAAAAAUGCAUAUUUGAGUGAUCAUGGAACACUGUUAGUAGCUACACAUAUCAUAAUAAUUUAGGAUAUGGACGUUAAAUUAUCUUAAACUGCAGAAUGUGGCUUUUACAUUGUUAUAUGGAAUUUCCCCUAGGAAGAAAUAGCAUUGAACUUAUAGGAUGGAUACAUAAAUAGCCUAUGUACGCAUUACAAAAUGAUUUAGUUGUUUGGGAUUAAACAAAGUUUGGUUUUUCAUGGUGAGUUCUCAACUGGGUUUUACUUAUUUUUUUGCCUCCGAUAUAAGUUUUAGAUGCUUUUCUUUGUUUUUCGCUAAUUUUUAAAUUUAUUUUUUUUACUAUUUAGUGUGAGAAAAUGGCUUCAAAAUUGGAUUUCCAAUGUCUGGGCAGAGGAAAACAGGAAGAGAACACCAAUGGUGGUUACGAAGGAGAAUCCCUUCUUUGCGGUGGAAAUUGACGGUCCAUGUGCAACAUUCAACCCAGUUUAUAAGAGCAGGGGUCAAUAUGAAGAACCAAUGACAUGGGGUUUUGUUUAAUUUUAUUAAGUUUUGUACUGAGGUAAAAUUCUCCCCAUUUAACAUAGUUUUAAAUGUUGAUUAGUAUAUGUGUAAAUAGGAUUGUGAGUAUGGUUGUAUAUGUAGUAGUAGAAUUGAAAACAUUGUUGUAAUUAUGUGUAAGUAGAGUUGUAAACCCGACGCAUCGCGCGGGCCUUUUUGCUUGUUACCCCUAAACGUUACAAAAAUCCCAAAAAUUAAAAGGAAACUAAAAAAAAUUAGAAUUUACCCAUAGUUUCGCGAAUCCCAGCCGGAUGAACUGGUGGCAGUUGUAAGAGCGGAUCUCCAGCUCCGAACCUCUUCUAUUUCAGCGUUAGAAUCAUGGUCGUGCUGAUCAAAAGCUUUCGCGAAACUUCCCUUUAGUUUACGACAUCAGACGGAUCAACUUCAUAGAAAAUGGGGAGUACAAUCUGUUUAUUGGUAUCCUCGCAUUCCAGGAUUUGCACGAGUUCUUUCAAGCACCAAGUGGAAGAAGCAUAGUUUUGAGAGAAAACUACAAUCGAAAUCCUUGACUCUCGAAUGGCUGACAGGAGCUUGGAAAGGCGGUCGCCUUUUCUGAGGUCUUCGGCAUCAAUGAAGGCGUUGAUUGGUUUCUGACGCAGGGCUUUGUAGAGAUGGCUGACGAAGCCCCUGCGAGUGUCUUCCCCUCUGAAAUUGAUGAACACAUCGUAUUUCCAACCAAGGCCAGAAGAAGAAGAAGAAGCAGCCAUUAAUCGAUCGAGCAGCUAAGUCCUAGAGUAAUGUAAGAACAGAAAUACUCGAUUGAUCAAUAAAUUGAAUCACAGAAAAAACUGGUCUGAUCGAUACGAAGUCAACGAGGACAGAAAAUUAUGCUUUAUGUGUUUUCACAUCUUCUUCCGGGAAAUUUAACGAAAAUAAUUUUCUUGCCGGCAAAAUUGACUUCAAAAUAUAAAAAUAUUCUUCCAGGUAUGGACAUAUGAAGUUUCAGUGUGAAACGAAUCUGCAUACUUUGGUUUGGUUUUGACCCAAGAAAAUGCUAAGAAAGGAUGGUUUAGCAGCUUUGCAUGAGGGGACUGGGUCAAAGUACUCUGUUGAAUCUGCCCUUGCCUACCCAACAACUUCUUUGUAAGUCGGAAAUAAAUCCCGAUCUUCCUAUUCACACGAAAAAUGAGUGGGGUGACAGGAAAUAUUUCUUGUUAAAUGUAAGCAUCUCACACAUGUGGUAUAUUCAAAGGUAUUGAGGCGACAAACGAGCGAUUAAUAGUUUGGCUUUUAAUUUGAUGUCACGGUAGUAACGGUACUUACUAUGAAAUCUUUGAUAUAUUUGCUUUUAGCUACAAAACAACUAAAACUCCACAAAUUGCUUAUGAAAAUAAAAAAUAUUGACAAGAUUUGAACUUGUAUUAUCUACAUCUUCACUACACAUUGUUGCUCCGCUCGUGUUCUGAAGUUGACAAUAGCUAGAAGGUCACAGCAAGAAGCAGAGGAGGCUAACUGUUACAGAAAAUUUGUUUAUUCAAAGCAUUAAUAAAAACACAUUGAAAUUAAUUCACGCAAAAAAUAAAUAAUACAGUGAAGGAUUUACAGUGGUGGCAGCCACACUUCAAAAAUAGGGCGUCUCACCCUGUGGAGAAAGCAUUUUUUGCUAUGAAUAAAAAUUCCACUGCGUAACAAAACAGGAGAUUAAUGAUUGAGUGAUAGCUGAGUUGUUUGCAAUGAGAGAGAUGUUUUUACUUUUAUUGAUAAGGAGUCUACAUAUGCGAUGUUCUCAUAGUAUAAAACUUCGCCGACAACAAUUAUAACUUGUUUGUGUUGAUAAAUUUUGAAUGACAUUAAUAUUGUCUAAUAUCUAAAAGAAUUUGGAUGGCUACAUUUUUUUUUUUUGGAAAACCUUUUAACCUUAUAAAUUGCGGGCUUCUUCCGACAAUUCCUAACUUCGUCACUGCUUCAGUCAACUCGAAGUCCUAGUGGUUCUUGUCCAUGAUAUCAAUAUCCCUACAAUAAACGGUGACUUCAAUAUGAGCUACACUCAGUCUAACAAAAAGUUUGUAUAGAGAAGAUAUGCAUGAAAAAAUGGCAAUGGUUGUGUUUGUGUUGCUGAACGAAUGAUACUGAAAUACCUAAACCCAAGUCAAGCUCCUUUAGUCCACGAAAACAAAAGUUUAGAAUACAAUAAUGUUUGCAUAUAGACUAGAGAAACGACAUACCGCAGGCCAGGAAGGUGCAGUGAAAGAGAGAGGAAGAGAGGAAAAGAGGAAAGAAACAAACAUGAAAUGACAAAGACUAUCAAAUAGAUUAUAACAAUGACUUCUUAGCGAUGGUUACAACUAUUUAACUAUCGAUAAUGCAUUAUUUUAGUUUGAAACGUGGAAGCAUUUGAGAAGUAGCAUGUCAACAACCAUUACACAAUAAUAUUGUCUAAUAUCUAAAAGAAUUUGGAAGUCUACAUUUUUUGGAACCUUUUACCCUUAUAAAUUUUGCGCCUCUCCUGACAAUUUCUAGUUUCGUCGUUGCUUCAGUCAACUCCAAGUUCUAGUGGUUCUUGUCUAUGAUAUCAAUAGCCCCACCGUAAAUGGUGACUUCAGUAUAAGCUACACUUAGUAUAAGUGUAUGGGGGACAUAUAUGUAUGAAAAAAUGGCAGUGGUUGUAUCUGUGUUGACUAACGGAUGGUACUGGAAUACCUAAACCCAAGUCAAGCUCCUUCAGUCCACAAAAAUCAAAAGUUUAUAAUAUAAUAAUGUUUGCAUAUAGACUUGAGAAAAGACAUACCGCCAGCCGGGAAGGUGCAAUGAACAAGAGAGGAAAAGAGGAAAUAAACGAACAAGAAAGGACAAAGACUAUCCAAUAGAUUAUAACAAUGACUUCUUAGUAGUGAAGUGAUUAAGCUAUUCCACUAUUAAUAAUGCAUUAUUCUUAGAUUGAAAUGGUUCAGAAAUUUAAAAGCCAGAAUUGACUUAUAUAAAAUCAAUUUUUAAUUGGGUAGAUGUAAUUUGUAAAACAAAAAUGUUUAUAAAAAAAAAUUUCUCUUGAAAAUGUAUUCUGGUGCCAGGAUUUAAACCUGGAUGAAAACUCUUAACCGUAAGACUUUUUGUAGUGAGCAACACUGGACUAGUUGAUAGACUAUGAUGAAAUAAACCAUUUAAAUGUACUCCUUACGUUAUGCAGUGCGCAUACUGGAUAAACAAUUAGUGCACAUAAUGUGGUUAUCUGAUUUGUGGGGAAUGGUGAUGCUCACCGCUGACUUUUGGUUUACUGACAGGCUCUCAAAGUUAAAUAUAUCAGAUUUUGUUUGACAUUCGUAACAUAUUUUAAUAUUUUCACCACAACAACAACAACAACAACAAAGUCUUUUCCCACUAAGUGGGGUCGGCUAUAUGAAUCCUAGAACGCCAUUGCGCUCGGUUUUGUGUCAUGUCCUCUGUUAGAUCCAAGUACUCUAAGUCUUUUCUUAGAGUCUCUUCUAAAGUUUUCCUAGGUCUUCCUCUACUCCUUCGGCCUUGAACCUCUGUCUCGUAGUCACAUCUUCGAACCGGAGCGUCAAUAGGCCUUCUUUGCACAUGUCCAAAUCACCGGAACCGAUUUUCUCUCAUCUUUCCUUCAAUUUCGGCUACUCCUACUUUACCUCGGAUAUCCUCAUUCCCAAUCUUAUCCUUUCUCGUGUGCCCACACAUCCCACGAAGCAUCCUCAUCUCCACUACACCCAUUUUGUGUACGUGUUGAUGUUUCACCGCCCAACAUUCUGUGCCAUACAACAUCGCUGGCCUUAUUGUCGUCCUAUAAAAUUUUCCCUUGAGCUUCAGUGGCUUACGACGGUCACACAACACGCCGGAUGCACUCUUACACUUCAUCCAUCCAGCUUGUAUUCUAUGGUUGAGAUCUCCAUCUAAUUCUCCGUUCUCUUGCAAGAUAGAUCCUAGGUAGCGAAAACGGUCGCUUUUUGUGAUCUUCGCUAGAUUACUCCGGUCAUUAGCGUGGAUAAGUAUAUAAAUGGAUAGAGAUAGGAAAGCAAACACAAGAUGUACGUGGUUCACCCAGAUUGGCUACAUCCACGGAAUAGAGGAGUUCUCAUUAAUUGUGAAGGGUUUACACAAGUACAUAGGUUCAAGCUCUCCUUUAGUGAGUACAAGUGAAUGAUUUAGUACAAAUGACAUUAUGAAAUAUUGUGGGAGAAUGAUCUCGUAAUCAUGAAACUUCUAAGUAUCGGAGUGUGGUAUCGUCUUGACUUGCCUUAUCUGUCUCAUAGGUAGAUGUGGCAUCUUCUCUGGAAGUACUCUUCCUCCAUCCAUGGGUGGUAUCUUUAACUGGUGGAGAUGCAUAAGGUAAUGUAUCAAUUUCACUUGAAGCUUACUUGUAGUUUCAGGCUUGGUCAAGCGCGAUACAAACCAUGUAGUAGGAGUCCCCCAAGUCGCCGAGCUAGGGGAUUUGCUGAAAGAGGUGACAGACAAGGUAAGCAAUCAGAGCUCCGGCUGAUUGUUCACAUUCUCCCUAUCUUGCAGGCAGCAUGAAGGAUAAAGAGAAGAAAAAAUGAGAAGAGAUGAUAUGGGAUACUUUUGCUUUUGAAGAAGUAACUUUCCACAGGCUUAUUCUUGAACUGAAGCUGGAGGGUUUUCUGGUUUCCUCCAGAGUAUAAGGCCGACUGAAGAAUUUGAGGGUCAAAACAAGUCCAUCAAAUCUAGAGUACGUUCGACCCUGCUGAUAUGGGAUACUUUUGCUUUUGACAGAGUAAUGGAUGUAUCGGCACGUGUGCUGUUACGCUUGUCUCUCCACAUGCUUCCUUGUAUCCUUCUCACUUGCCCUAUCUGUUCCUCAAGGCAAGAUGCGGUAUCUUCCCUGGAAGCAUAAGAUGUUGAAGAUGAGUACUCGAGAGCAAUGCCAGGUAAGUAAUCAGGUAAGGGGUUCCAGGCAGUCAGUUCCUAGCUGGAAGCUUGAUUCCAAGUGCUGACUGAUUGCUCUCUUUCUCCUUGUCUUGCAGGUAAAGAACAAGGCCAAAGGAAAAGACAGGGAAAAAGCAUGAUAUGGGAUAUACUCUUGCUUUUUAACCCUGAUGAUAUGAGAUAUUCUUGCUCUAGUAUAGCUUGUUUGUAGAGGUAUUAUCGGGGGGAAAGAAAGCUGAAUAUUUCGAAAGGCUUCGUUGGGAGUGCCCUCUCAGAUAUGAGAAAGGGUUGAGCAUUUUUGCAGGUCUGCCUGUCCGUUGGGGAUGGAGGUCGACAUAUAUAGGAGUCUCCCUAAUAACAAGUAGUAAUGUUAUUCCUUUACCCUGCUUGGUCAUAGCACGAUAGUUGGAGCUGCCAGCUUCACAUGUUUUAACUCUGUCAGAGCACUUUGAAAAAGUGGUCUGUGGUAUCUGGAAAGCUGAUGUUGCGUGUGAAGAUUACAGACAAGCUUUACCCAAGGAGAUUUGGUUCUUGAAGUUGGGAAAAUGGUGCCUUUUCGGUUUUCGAACAAGCAAUCCUAUCGGGGAUCUGGCUCUCGAGAUUUGGAGAACGAUGCCUCUUCGAUUUUUGAGAAAGCAAUCAUGCUGGGGGUCUAGCUCUCGAGAUUCGGAGAGCGGUGUCUCUUCGAUUUUUGAGAAAGUAAUCAUGUUGGGAGUCUGGCUCUCGAGAUUCGGAGGACGGUGCCUCUUCGAUUUUGGAGCAAGCAAUCUUGUUGAGAAUGUUUUCUCGAAUGUGAGUAAAGGUUGGGCAUGUUUGCUAGUCUACCUUGCCACGAAGCACAGAGGUUGACACACAGGGACUUUCCAAUUAUCCAGCAAUGGUACUGUUCCUUUACCCUCUUUUCGAUUUUUGAGAAAGUAGGCAUGUUGGGAGUCUGGCUCUCGAGAUUCGGAGGACGGUGCCUCUUCGAUUUUGGAGCAAGCAAUCUUGUAAUCUUGUUGGGAGUGUUUUCUCGAAUGUGAGUAAAGGUUGGGCAUGUUUGCUAGUCUACCUUGCCACGAAGCACAGAGGUUGACACACAGGGACUUUCCAAUUAUCCAGCAGUGGUACUGUUCCUUUACCCUCGUGGGUAAUAAUAUGGUAGCUAGACCUUCAAAAUUUAUGUGUCUAAACUUUGUUAGUGUUGUUUCUUUGCUAUUCUUUUACCCUUCUUGGUCAGAGCGAUGUAGUGGGAGCUGCAAGCUUCACGUGCUCAACUUUGGCAGAGAACUUUGGUAAAGUUAUCUGUGGUACCCAUGAGCUACUGUUGCGUGUGGGAAGUGGGUGAUUGAACAGUAAGAUUCAUGUGCCUUCUACUUCACCAGAAGUCUUCGACAUAAUGCCCAUAAUUUCCGCAAAGCUGAGUGUGCGUGUGACAGGUGCUGACAAGGCUGGAAAAGUAGGUGCCUCUUUGAUUUCUGAGAUCGACCCUCAUGGUCUCUGAGCAGCCCAGCUUUUGAGAAAGCAAGCGCCUCUUCGAUUUCUGAGAUCGGCCUUCGUGGUCUUUGAGCAACCCAGCUUUUGAGAAAGCAAACGCCUCUUCGGUUUCUGAGAUCAACCCUCGUGGUCUCUGAGAGUAAAGGUUGGGCAUGUUUGCUAGUCUACCUUGCCAUGAAGCACAUAGGUUGACACAUUCGGAGAGCGGUGUCUCUUCGAUUUUUGAGAAAGUAGUCAUGUUGGGAGUCUGGCUCUCGAGAUUCGGAGGACGGUGCCUCUUCGAUUUUGGAGCAAGCAAUCUUAUUGGGAGUGUUUUCUCAAAUGUGAGUAAAGGUUGGGCAUGUUUGCUAGUCUACCUUGCCACGAAGCACAGAGGUUGACACACAGGGACUUUCCAAUUAUCCAGCAGUGGUACUGUUCCUUUACCCUUAUGGGUAAUAAUAUGGUAGCUAGACCUUCAAAAUUUAUGUGUCUAAACUUUGUUAGUACUAUUUCUUUGCUAUUCUUUUACCCUUCUUGGUCAGAGCGAUGUAGUGGGAGCUGCAAGCUUCACGUGCUCAACUUUGGCAGAGAACUUUGGCAAAGUUAUCUGUGGUACCCAUGAGCUACUGUUGCGUGUGGGAAAUGGGUGAUUGAACAGUAAGAUUCAUGUGCUUUCUACUUCACCAGAAGUCUUCGACAGAAUGCCCAUAAUUUUCGCAAAGCUGAGUGUGCAUGUGACAGGUGCUGACAAGGUUGGAAAGGUAGGUGCCUCUUCGAUUUCUGAGAUCGGCCCUCGUGGUCUCUGAGCAGCCCAGCUUUUGAGAAAGCAAGCGCCUCUUCGAUUUCUGAGAUCAGCCUUCGUGGUCUUUGAGCAGCCCAGCUUUUGAAAAAGCAAACGCCUCUUCGAUUUCUGAGAUCAACCCUCGUGGUCUCUGAGCAGCCCAGCUUUUGAGAAAGCAAACGCCUCUUCGAUUUUUGAAGCUCCGUCGAGUGUAUAUUUUUAUAGGGGCUGGCAUUAAGUUCCAAAGCACACUUGAAUCUCCACCAGUAGAAGCUCCAUUCUUGUACUUCUAAGAUCUUGAUUUGUCCGACUUCUUCUCUCUUCAACACCUUUGAAAAUGUCUGGCCCCUCCGACCGUCGUUUUGACUUGAACCUUGUUGAAGAUGCAGCCCCGCCUUCUCAAGACAACAUAUGGCGCCCAUCCUUCGUCUCCCCUACUGGUCCUCUUACCGUUGGGGAUUCCGUGAUGAAGAAUGAUAUGACCGUUGCGGUGGUGGCCAGGAACCUUCUCACUCCCAAAGAUAACAGACUACUUUCCAAACGGUCUGAUGAGUUAGCUGUUAAGGAUUCUCUGGCUCUCAGUGUUCAGUAUGCAAGUUCUGUGUCUAAUAUGGCCCAACACCUAUUUGCUCGAACCCGUCAAGUUGAAUCAUUGGCGGCUGAAGUGAUGAGUCUCAAACAGGAGAUUAGAGGGCUCAAGCAUGAGAAUAAACAGUUGCACCGGCUCGCACAUGACUAUGCUACAAACAUGAAGAUGAAGCUUGACCAGAUGAAGGAAUCUGAUGGUCAGGUUUUACUUGAUCAUCAGAGAUUUGUGGGUUUGUUCCAAAGGCAUUUAUUGCCUUCGUCUUCUGGGGCUGUAUCGCGUAAUGAAGCUCUAAAUGAUCAACCUCUGAUGCCUCCUCCUUCUAGGGUUCUGUCCAGUACUGAGGCUCCGAAUGAUCCCCCUCCGGUGCCUUCUCUUUCUGGGGCUCUACCGACUGCUGAGACUUCUCCUAAGCAACCUUUGUGAAGGCUCCCUCUUGUUUGUUUAUUUUGACUCAUGUAUAUGUAUGUGUAGCUUAUCGGGGAUAUCAAUAAAUAAGCUUUCCUUCAUUUCAACAUAUUGUGUUAAAUACACCAAAGCCUUCUUCGCUAAGUUCUUUGAAUUUUCUUUUGUUGAAGCUUGUAUGUUGAAACUUUGUGAGUGGAUCAUGUAGGUUAAGGUAGUGUUCCCUUAUUUUCAUCAAUAUUGAUAUUUUAAACAAUGACAAUUCUUAGAAUACUGGAAUUCAUGUCAUUUUCAUAAACAAAUAAAUGGUUAAGAAAUGUAUAUAUUAGAAAAUUAAGAGCCAGAUUUAACUAAUAUUAAAUCGAUUUUAAAUCGGGUAGUAAAACAAAAUUAGGAAUCUGUGUCCUUUUCAUAAAUAAAUAAAUGGUUACAAAAUUUAUAUAUCAUAAAUUUAAAAGCCAGAAUUGACUUAUAUAAAAUCGAUUUUUAAUUGGGUAGAUGUAAUUUGUAAAACAAAAAUGUUUAAAAAACAAUUCUCUUAAAAAUGGUAUUCUGGUGCCAGGAUUCGAACCUGGAUGAAAACUCUUAACCGUAAGACUUUUUGUAGUGAGCAACAUCAGAUGAGUUGAUAGAUUAUGUAACGCCCCGCGCCCGAAAUAUUUAUUUUCAUAAAAUAAUUCCAAUGAUAAGCCUAAAUUAAAUUUUUUAUUUACAUUACAACCAAUAAUCACGAUUCCUUAUUUAAUUUUCUUAAUCCCUCACAAAAACUAUAACCCAUAAUUAACUUACCAAAACAUACGAUUAAAUUUUCAUAAUUUGUCACCAACUUCUACUCUUAAAACAACUUCCCAACUAAAGAUUAAAUCUCAAUUAUUAAGGCUACAUCUAACUCUUGUUAGACUGCCUACAUACCCUUUAGCGGGAUCAAGGCUUUCGUAGUUCAUAAAUCCGUUUAAAUCCAUUCUUAUAGCCGUUUCUGAAAAUAUUCUAGAAUUGGAAAUAUUCAACAUUAGCUUUCACAAUCGAAUCACAUCAAAUGAUUACCAAUUAUGGAUUUAAAUUGUCUAAAUUAGUAUUAAAAGGCAGCGUCGGCCCACUGGCCACGCGCCACCACGGGUGGCGAUCUCCAGUGAUCGGAAACCCCAAUUUCCGACAAACUCUACAAAUUACCAAAUUUUAUAGGGUUGUAGAGUUCAAUUAUAGGAACAACUUUCAUACUUGGGACGAAGUCCAAUUCGGCCAAGAAAAGCCCCAAUUUCACUCAAUUCCGUCUGAACCCUAGAAUUUGGGUGUCCUCAAUUAGUCAUCUCCCGUGCCCCGCCGCCCCAAACAAGGCUUGGUAGAUGUUCCUGGGUUCACAAGGAGUCUAACCAUGGUGGUAGUCAAUGGUGGUGGCUUCACAAACGGGAGAUCGCAGAAACGGACCCAUCGCACCCACCAAUGUAGGUUUCACUAAAUUAAAGCAUAUUUCCAUCGAAAUUGGGAUGGAAUUGGUGAAGGUAUCAAUUGGUAUCGAAGGGAGGGUUAUUUUUGGCACCGUUCCCAUCAUCAACGAUGGUCGGAAUAAAAAACAAUGGUCAGGUCGGGUCGGCGGGUUGAAGGAAGGUCUGGUUCCCUUCUCUCCUUUCCCUCCCUACCUCCCCCUCUGGUUGGUCCGUGUCUCUCGCCUUCUCUCCUUCCCUUUCCAUCACAGCCACACACGUGGCUUCUCAGAUCCUUGCUCCAGCAAAUCUGGAGCCUUUUAGAUAUUGGUCAAAUGACCAUUUUACUCCUAACUUCAAUUGUUAAUAACUUCUUCGUUAUAACUCCGUUUCAUGAACGGUUUUCGUCUACAUGUUCGUAGGGCCAUCCUUUAUCCAAAUAUAUCAAGAAAUCCGAUAAAAUAUAUGAGGAUAAAAUACAUCCUUGUAUAAUUACGUCAAACUAGUUAGGGCAUUUUCUUCUUUUCUACUUAACGAUAAAUUUUACUACGUAAAUUAUAAAAUUUCCGGAAACAAAACUUUAAAAGUUCACAAUUUUUUUUUCUUUCAUAACCAUAAAUUGAUUUAUUGUCGAUUUUUCUUCACAUAUUCAUAUAUUUAAAUUUUCAGGGUAUUACAGAUUAUGACAAAAUAAACCAUUUAAAUGUUCUCCUUACGUUAUGCAUUGCGCAUAUUGGAUAAACAAUUAGUGCACAUAAUGUGGUUAUCUGAUUUGUGGGGAAAGGUGAUGCUCACCGCUGACUUUUGGUUUAGAGACAGGCUCUCAAACUUAAAUAUAUCAGAUUUUGUUUGACAUUCGUAACAUAUUUUAAUAUUUUCACCGUUAUUGAUAUUUUAAACAAUGACAAUUCUUAGAAUACUGGAAUUCAUGUCCUUUUCAAUUUUCAUAAACAAAUAAAUGGUUAAGAAAUGUAUAUAUUAGAAAAUUAAGAGCUAGAAUUGACUAAUAUUAAAUCGAUUUUAAAUCGGGUAGUAAAACAAAAUUAGGAAUCCAUGUCCUUUUCAUAAAUAAAUAAAUGGUUAAGAAAUUUAUAUAUCAGAAAUUUAAAAACCAAAAUUGACUUAUAUAAAAUCGAUUUUUAAAUGGGUAGAUGUAAUUUGUAAAACAAUUUUUUUUUUAAAUAAUUCUCUUAUAAAUGGUAUUCCGGUGCCACGAUUCAAACCUGGAUGAAAACUCUUAACCGUAAAACUUUUUGUAUUGAGCAACACCGAACGAGUUGAUAGAUUAUGACGAAAUAAAAACAUAAUAAUUUCUUUCAAACUUAGUGAAUAACCUUCAGAAAAUAAAAACACCGAACGAGUUCAUAGAUUAUGACAAAUUAGUGGAUAAACACCUUCAGAAAAUAAAAACACCGAACGAGUUCAGCGGUGAGCAUCACCAUUCCCCACAAAUCAGAUAACCACAUUAUGCGCACAAAGAAUCAAUCAAAACAUAAUAAUUGAAUGAACGAGGAUUUCUUUCAUUUUUUCCAAAUUUUCUGAAGGUUUUUUCUAUAAGAACUUUUCUCUGACCAAUGCUUUCUAACAUUUCAUCAUUUUUUUUUAAAUUACACAAAUUCUUUGCAUACAUUGUUGUUAAAAAGAAAAUUUCUAUUAUUAAGGAGAGAGUUCGAAACUAUUGAAUUAUGGAAGAUGGACUUUUGAACUCGAGACACGGGUAGAAACCUAACACCUAUCCACUAGGACAUUAGAUCACCAGAGGUGGUCCUGGUUUUUUGGUGCCGACUGCCCAUGAACACUCAAAAUGUGCUUUUUUCCAGUACAACAUAAAUUAAACUGAAAGAUUUAAAAAGGGCUGGAGCCAGUCGAAGCUGUUGGGACAUUCUUCCAAAGAGGGAGAUGAAAUCGUUGAGGCUCUUACAGAUCCCACGUCACUGUCUUCAUUCAGCAGUUUUCCUCCAUCUACAUCAACAACUGCACGUUGCUCAAGAAGGUACUUCUAAAAAUUGAAAGUCAAACGAUAAAUUAUUAAGAAACAUUGAAUAUAAGCAUGAAACAAAGAAAAUGUUACGGAAUGGUGAUCCUCAUCCUCAAAGAUGAUUAAAAGCAAUUUGAUUCAAAAAUGACAUAUCAACUCUGGAGAAAUGGAAGACAAACAUGUGGUACCAUAUUCGCAACAGAGGUUAUGAAAGCUGAAAUCGAUUGUUCCUGUGUGCAUUGAUAAGUAAGACUACCGUAGAGAUUCACAACUAAGUAAAGACAGGUAUUCCACAGAACAACCCUGACCUCUUUGGAAACACAGAUCUAACAAAAACUAAAACAUUUUGGAUUAAUAUUGACUAAUCAAGAAUAAUGCAAGGGAGCAAAAGAGAUACUCUUCCUUCUAAUAACAAGAAGGCAUAAAAAGUAUACAGAGUUCCAACAAUUAGAGAACUUAAAUCAAACUAAAAAAAUCACCAAAGUAGACAGAAUUUCACUUCGCCAAAAAUUUGAAAAUAUAUCCUUUUUAUCCACUGAGAAUCAUAAACUACUACUACUACAUCAUGCCAAUAAGCAAUGCGUAAGAGGUGCUACAAUUUACCAAUAUAUUUACCCUGAGAACAAGUUUUGAAAUCAUCUCUAGUGUUAACAGCACCUUGCGUCCUUGGGUAAGCUGAGUCCUAGUAUCAAGUAAAGAGACCAAUCAGUACAUAUCCAAAAGAUCUUAAAUGCUUGUAAUACCAAAUAAGAAAGAAACAUGAGUAUAUCUUGAGUUAACCAUGCAAAAAUGUAAUGUUAAGGCAUCUUGUCAUACAGACCUCUUCAAGGUACCAGAAAUUUUUGCACUAAAGAUGUCACAAGCGGCUGAUAUGAAGCUGCAUUUUCUGUGAGUUGAGAUUUUGUCAAUAUAAUCGAUCACCUGAAGAGAGAGAGAGAGAGAGAGAGAGAGAGAGAGAGAAAGACAGUGAUAUCCAGAGAUGUGAGCCUAAAGGCUGAGUGUGUAAAAAAUAAGAUUAAAUGGAUAGCAAGAAUAUACAACUUUAAUGCCGAAAAGAACAUUAUAUGAUGCUCAUUCAUCAUUGCCAUUGAACGUGUACCUUCUUCUUUUCCUCUUUCUCAAAAGGAAGUAGACCCUUGAAGACUUGCCUAUAUGAUCCAUCAUCACAACCAGGCAAAGUCAUUUUAAUCAUAGCAACAAUGGCUCUAACUACCUGCCAUAAGAAACAUGCUACAUCAACAAGAUCACAGAGUGUACCAGAAACCGUAAUGUAGCAAAAUCUUAGAUAGAAUAGCUGGCCAAAAGGGAAUGGAAAAGCAAGCACAAAAAACAAUGAAAAGGACCAGUGAUGCCAAAAUUCAGGUGUUUAUAACUUUAAGUUCUACGUAGCAAAAACCACCUUAUGCACAACAAUAUUGGAAAAAUUAGAUACAUACAACUGAGAAGAUAGGUUUUCAUAAUCUGGACAAGUGCUAACUACCUUCUUCCUAUAAACUGCCACUCCAUGAACAUUAAAUGGUAUUUUCGUUUCACGCAAGGCUGUCUGGAAGACUUUUCCUGAUACCUGUAGUAUAAAAUACAAAAGAAAAUGUGACCAAAAUGUCUUAUAUGAUUCACCUCAUUCACAUUAGCACUAGGGCAAGCAAGCUUGACCUGCCUCCGGUAAAGGAUUGCUAUAUUUCCAUAGGAGCACCCUGCUUCUGACAGUUAGAUGCAGUCUCCAGGAUCUUGUCGACAACAAAGGCGCAUUAUGCAUCCUCAUUGUGACUUUCCUUGAUAAUUACCUACAUUUUGCCAGUAAAACCAGUGUCACUAACUAAAAAGACUGAAAAAUGACAUCAAAUUGUACUUGUUGGAGCAAGGAAAGAUUAGGUACAUUAGACCCAGAAGAAUUGUCGGUGUCAACAUUCUUUAGUUGGCAUCACUUCUUAUUGUUUUUUAUAACAGAAGAUGCAGCUUCCACAAUAUAGCGUGUGGACCGAUAGUUUUUAUUAAGCCUAAUCUGAACCAUAAAGUUAUGUCAAAUCCCACAGAACCCCAUAAAAUAAAACUUACUUUCCUGUAAUUAUACAAUAUAUUUGUUCUAUACUAUAUAUAAUGAAAAAAGACACUGAAUGACAUAAGAUAAACAUAGCAGUUAAGUGCGAAGGAACCUCUUUGUAAUUUGAAAAAUCUUUACAAAAAGAAUCAAAUCCAGAACUGUCCGCCCCGUUGAAACUGAAAAUGGACUGCAGCAGGAUAUAUGUUAUUUGAUUUAGAACAGAUAAGGGCUGGAUUAGAAUGAGCUGAGAGAGAGAGAGAGGGAGAGAGGGAGCAAUAAGAUUGGAUUUCCAUAAUAAAUCAACAACAUGCCUGAUCAUCAUCACCAACAAUGGUUAUGUGGUUAUGAGAGGCGAGAAUCCGCAAAAGACUAUACUGCAUAGCACUUGUGUCUUGAAACUCGUCUAUUACAAUAGCUUUCCAUGACUCCUGGCACUCCUCCGACACUAAUUAAGAGAACACCAUGUAUCAACAUUUAGCAUUACUUGUAAAACUAGAUAAAUCAAUUUAAUAUACUUAGAUGAUAGAGACCUUCAGGAAAAUCACUUAGCAGCUAAUUAAGUCAUGGUAGUCCAAAGCGUUGCACGAUUCCUAAGAAUUUCACCCUGAUUCAGAUUGAGAUCUAAAACUCAUAAGCAAUAGUUUCAGAGAACUGAAAUGAUAACUGAAAUUCUAGAACUGAAAUGAUAACUGAACAACAACAAAAACAACAACAAAGCCUUUUCCCACUAAGUGGGGUCGGCUAUAUGAAUCCUAGAACGCCAUUGCGCUCGGUUUUGUGUCAUGUCCUCCGUUAGAUCCAAGUACUCUAAGUCUUUUCUUAGAGUCUCUUCCAAAGUUUUCCUAGGUCUUCCUCUACCCCUUCGGCCUUGAACCUCUGUCCCGUAGUCACAUCUUCGAACCGGAGCGUCAGUAGGCCUUCUUUGCACAUGUCCAAAUCACCGGAACCGAUUUUCUCUCAUCUUUCCUUCAAUUUCGGCUACUACUACUUUACCUCGGAUAUCCUCAUUCCCAAUCUUAUCCUUUCUCGUGUGCCCACACAUCCCACGAAGCAUCCUCAUCUCCGCUACACCCAUUUUGUGUACGUGUUGAUGCUUCACCGCCCAACAUUCUGUGCCAUACAACAUCGCUGGCCUUAUUGCCGUCCUAUAAAAUUUUCCCUUGAGCUUCAGUGGCCUACGACGGUCACACAACACGCCGGAUGCACUCUUACACUUCAUCCAUCCAGCUUGUACUCUAUGGUUGAGAUCUCCAUUUAAUUCUCCGUUCUCUUGCAAGAUAGAUCCUAGGUAGCGGAAACGGUCGCUUUUUGUGAUCUUCGCUAGAUUGCUCCGGUCAUUAGUGUGGAAUGGAUAGUGAUAGGAAAGCAAACACAAGAUGUACGUGGUUCACCCAGAUUGGCUACGUCCACGGAAUAGAGUUCUCAUUAAUUGUGGAGGGUUUACACAAGUACAUAGGUUCAAGCUCUCCUUUAGUGAGUACAAGUGAAUAAUUUAGUACAAAUGACAUUAGGAAAUAUUGUGGGAGAAUGAUCUCGUAAUCACGAAACUUCUAAGUAUCGGAGUGUGGUAUCGUCUUGACUCGCCUUAUCUGUCUCAUAGGUAGAUGUGGCAUCUUCUCUGGAAGUACUCUUCCUCCAUCCAGAGGUGGUAUCUUUAACUGGUGGAGAUGCAGAAGGUAAUGUAUCAAUUUCACUUGAAGCUUACUUGUAGUUUCAGGCUUGGUCAAGCGCGAUACAAACCAUGUAGUAGGAGUCCCCCAAGUCGCCGAGCUAGGGGAUCUGCUGAAAGAGGUGACAGACAAGGUAAGCAAUCAGAGCUCCGGCUGAUUGUUCACAUUCUCCCUAUCUUGCAGGCAGCAUGAAGGAUAAAGAGAAGAAAAAUGAGAAAAGAUGAUAUGGGAUACUUUUGCUUUUGAAGAAGUAACUUUCCACAGGCUUAUUCUUGAACUGAGCUGGAGGGUUUUCUGGUUUCCUCCAGAGUAUAAGGCCGACUGAAGAAUUUGAGGGUCAAAACAAGUCCAUCAAAUCUAGAGUACGUUCGACCCUGCUGAUAUAGGAUACUUUUGCUUUUGACAGAGUAAUGGAUGUAUCGGCACGUGUGCUGUUACGCUUGUCUCCACAUGCUUCCUUGUAUCCUUCUCACUUGCCCUAUCUGUUCCUCAGGCAGAUGCGAUAUCUUCCCUGGAAGCAUAAGAUGUUGAAGAUGAGUACUCGAGAGCAAUGCCAGGUAAGUAAUCAGGUAAGGGGUUCCAGGCAAUCAGUUCCUAGCUGGAAGCUUGAUUCCAAGUGCUGAUUGAUUGCUCUCUUUCUCCUUGUCUUGCAGGUAAGAACAAGGUCAAAGGAAAAGACAGGGAAAAAGCAUGAUAUGGGAUACUCUUGCUUUUUAACCCUGAUGAUAUGAGAUAUUCUUGCUCUAGUAUAGCUUGUUUGCAGAGGUAUUAUCGGGGGGAAAGAAAGCUGAAUAUUUCGAAAGGCUUCGUUGGGAAUGCCCUCUCAGAUAUGAGGAAGGGUUGAGCAUUUUUGCAGGUCUGCCUGUCCGUUGGGGAUGGAGGUCGACAUAUAUAGGAGUCUCCCUAACAACAAGUAGUAAUGCUAUUCCUUUAACCUGCUUGGUCAUAGCACGGUAGUUGGAGCUGCCAGCUUCACAUGUUUUAACUUUGUCAGAGCACUUUGAAAAAGUUGUCUGUGGUAUCUGGAAAGCUGAUGUUGCAUGUGAAGAUUACAGACAAGCUUUAUCCAAGGAGAUCCGGCUCUUGAAGUUGGGAAAAUUGUGCCUCUUCGGUUUUCGAACAAGCAAUCCUAUCGGGGAUCUGGCUCUCGAGAUUCGGAGAACGAUGUCACUUCGAUUUUUGAGAAAGCAAUCAUGCUGGGGGUCUGGCUCUCGAGAUUCGAAGAGCGGUCUCUUCGAUUUUUGAGAAAGUAAUCAUGUUGGGAGUCUGGCUCUCGAGAUUCGGAGGACGGUGCCUCUUCGAUUUUGGAGCAAGCAAUCUUGUUGGGAGUGUUUUCUCGAAUGUGAGUAAAGGUUGGGCAUGUUUGUUAGUCUACCUUGCCACGAAGCAUAGAGGUUGACACACAGGGACUUUCCAAUUAUCCAGCAAUGGUACUGUUCCUUUACCCUCUCUUCGAUUUUUGAGAAAGUAGUCAUGUUGGGAGUCUGGCUCUCGAGAUUCGGAAGACGGUGCCUGUUCGAUUUUGGAGCAAGCAAUCUUGUAAUCUUGUUGGGAGUGUUUUCUCGAAUGUGAGUAAAGGUUGGGCAUGUUUGCUAGUCUACCUUGCCACGAAGCACAGAGGUUGACACACAGGGACUUUCCAAUUAUCCAGCAGUGGUACUAUUCCUUUACCCUUGUGGGUAAUAAUAUGGUAGCUAGACCUUCAAAAUUUAUGCGUCUAAACUUUUAGUUGUGUUUUCUUUGCUAUUCUUUUACCCUUCUUGGUCAAAGCGAUGUAGUGGGAGCUGCAAGCUUCACGUGCUCAACUUUGGCAGAGAACUUUGGCAAAGUUAUCUGUGGUACCCAUGAGCUACUGUUGCGUGUGGGAAGUGGGUGAUUGAACAGUAAGAUUCAUGUGCUUUCUACUUCACCAGAAUGCCCAUAAUUUCCGCAAAGCUGAGUGUGCGUGUGACAGGUGCUGACAAGGCUGGAAAAGUAGGUGCCUCUUCGAUUUCUGAGAUCGGCCCUCAUGGUCUCUGAGCAGCCCAGCUUUUGAGAAAGCAAGUGCCUCUUCGAUUUCUGAGAUCGGCCUUCGUGGUCUUUGAGCAUCCCAACUUUUGAGAAAGAAAACGCCUCUUCGAUUUCUGAGAUCAACCCUCGUGGUCUCUGAGAGUAAAGGUUGGACAAGUUUGCUAGUCUACCUUGCCAUGAAGCACAGAGGUUGACACACAGGGAAUUUCCAAUUAUCCAGCAAUGGUACUGUUCCUUUACCCUUAUGGGUAAUAAUAUGGUAGCUAGACCUUCAAAAUUUAUGUGUCUAAACUUUGUUAGUGCUGUUUCUUUGCUAUUCUUUUACCCUUCUUGGUCAGAACGAUGUAGUGGGAGCUGCAAGCUUCACGUGCUCAACUUUGGCAGAGAACUUUGGCAAAGUUAUCUGUGGUACCCAUGCGCUACUGUUGCGUGUGGGAAGUGGGUGAUUGAACAGUAAGAUUCAUGUGCUUUCUACUUCACCAGAAGUCUUCGACAAAAUGCCCAUAAUUUCCACAAAGCUGAGUGUGCGUGUAAUAGGUGCUGACAAGGCUGGAAAAGUAGGUGCCUCUUCGAUUUCUGAGAUCGGCCCUCGUGGUCUCUGAGCAGCCCAUCUUUUGAGAAAGCAAGCGUCUCUUUGAUUUCUGAGAUCGGCCUUCGUGGUCUUUGAACAGCCCAGCUUUUGAGAAAGCAAACUUCUCUUCGAUUUCUGAGAUCAACCCUCGUGGUCUCUGAGCAGCUCAGCUUUUGAGAAAGCAAACGCCUCUUCGAUUUUUGAGCAGACGCCUCUUCGAUUUCUGAAGCUCCGUCGAGUGCAGAUUUUUAUAGGGGCUGACAUUAAGUUCCAAAGCACACUUGAAUCUCCACCAGUAGAAGCUCCAUUCUUGCACUUCUAAGAUCUUGAUUUGUCCGACCUCUUCUCUCUUCAACACCUUUGAAAAUGUCUAGCCCCUCCGACCGUCGUUUUGACUUGAACCUUGUUGAAGAGGCAGCCCCGCCUUCUCCAGACAACAUAUGGCGCCCAUCCUUCGUCUCCCCUACUGGUCCUCUUACCGUUGGGGAUUCCGUGAUAAAGAAUAAUAUGACCGCUGCGGUGGUGGCCAGGAACCUUCUCACUCCCAAAGAUAACAGACUACUUUCCAAACGAUCUGAUGAGUUAGCUGUUAAGGAUUCUCUGGCUCUCAGUGUUCAGUGUGCAGGUUCUGUGUCUAAUAUGGCCCAACGCCUAUUUGCUCGAACCCGUUAAGUUGAAUCAUUGGCGGCUGAAGUGAUGAGUCUCAAACAGGAGAUUAGAGGGCUCAAGCAUGAGAAUAAACAGUUGCACCGGCUCGCACAUGACUAUGCUACAAACAUGAAGAGGAAGCUUGACCAGAUGAAGGAAUCUGAUGGUCAGGUUUUACUUGAUCAUCAAAGAUUUGUGGGUUUGUUCCAAAGGCAUUUAUUGCCUUCGUCUUCUGGGGCGGUACCGCGUAAUGAAGCUCCAAAUGAUCAACCUCUGAUGCCUCCUCCUUCUAGGGUUCUAUCCAGUACUGAGGCUCCGAAUGAUCCCCCUCCGGUGCCUUCUCUUUCUGGGGCUCUACCGACUGCGAGACUUGUCCUAAGCAACCUUUGUGAAGGCUCCCUCUAGUUUGUUUAUUUUGACUCAUGUAUAUGUACAUAUUUGUAGCCUAUCAGGGAUAUCAAUAAAUAAGUUUUCCUUCAUUUCAACAUAUUGUGUUAAAUACACCAAAGCCUUCUUCGCUAAGUUCUUUGAAUUUUCUUUUGUUGAAGCUUGUAUGUUGAAGCUUUGUGAGUGGAGCAUGUAGGUUGAGGUAGUGUUCCUUUAAUUUCCCGAGUGAGGAAAACUUCUCGGUUGGAGACUUGAAAAAUCCAAGUCACUGAGUGGGAUCGGCUAUAUGAAUCUUAGAACGCCAUUGUGCUCGGUCCCGUGUCAUGUCCUUCGUUAGAUCCAAGUACUCUUAAGUCUUUUCUUAGAGUCUCUUCCAAAGUUUUCCUAGGUCUUCCUCUACCACUUCGGCCCUGAACCUCUGUCCCAUAGUCGCAUCUUCUAAUCGGAGCGUCAGUAGGCCUUCUUUGCACAUGUCCAAACCACCAUAACCGAUUUUCUCUCAUCUUUCCUUCAAUUUCGGCUACUCCUACUUUACCCCGGAUAUCCUCAUUCCUAAUCUUAUCCUUUCUCGUGUGCUCACACAUCCAACGAAGCAUCCUCAUCUCCGCUACACCCAUUUUGUGUACGUGUUGAUGUUUCACCGCCCAACAUUCUGUGCCAUACAGCAUCGCCGGCCUUAUUGCAGUCCUAUAAAAUUUUCCCUUGAGCUUCAGUGGCAUACGGCGGUCACAUAACACGCCGAAUGCACUCUUCCACUUCAUCCAUCCAGCUUGUAUUCUAUGGUUGAUAUCUCCAUCUAAUUCUCCGUUCUUUUGCAAGAUAGAUCCUAGGUAACGAAAACGAUCGCUCUUUGGUAUUUCUUGAUCUCCGAUCCUCACCCCUAACUCGUUUUGGCCUCCAUUUGCACUGAACUUGCACUCCAUAUAUUCUGUCUUUGAUCGGCUUAGGCGAAGACCUUUAGAUUCCAACGCUUCUCUCCAAAGGUUAAGCUUUGCAUUUACCCCUUCCUGAGUUUCAUCUAUCAACACUAUAUCGUCUGCGAAAAGCAUACACCAAAGAAUAUCAUCUUGAAUAUGUCCUGUUAACUCAUCCAUUACCAACGCAAAAAGGUAAGGACUUAAGGAUGAGCCUUGAUGUAAUCCUACAGUUAUGGGAAAGCUUUCGGUUUGUCUUUCAUGAGUUCUUACAGCAGUCUUUGCUCCUUCAUACAUAUCUUUUAUAGCUUGGAUAUAUGCUACUCGUACUCCUUUCUUCUCUAAAAUCCUCCAAAGAAUGUCUCUUGGGACCCUAUCAUACGCUUUUUCCAAAUCUAUAAAGACCAUGUGUAAAUCCUUUUUCCCAUCUCUAUAUCUUUCCAUCAAUCUUCGUAAGAGAUAGAUUGCCUCCAUGGUUGAGCGCCCUGGCAUGAACCCGAAUUGGUUGUCCGAAACCCGUGUCUCUUGCCUCAAUCUAUGCUCAAUGACUCUCUCUCAGAGCUUCAUUGUAUGACUCAUUAACUUAAUACCCCUAUAGUUCAUGUAAUUUUGUACGUCGCCCUUAUUCUUGUAGAUAGGCACCAAAAUGCUCGUUCGCCACUCAUUUGGCAUCUUCUUCGUUUUCAAAAUCCUAUUGAAAAGGUCAGUGAGCCAUGUUAUACCUGUCUCUUCCAAAACUUUCCACACUUCGAUUGGUAUAUCGUUUGGGCCUAUUGCUUUUCUAUGUUUCAUCUUCUUCAAAGCUACAACUACUUGGAAAAAGCGUAUCAUACGCUCCCAAACAACUUUGAGUGGAAUCGUUCGAAAAGAAGUUUCUAUGGCCCCCUUGCUCAUUUAACACUGCAUCCGGAUGCUGAUGGAGAUACAGCGACCCUUGCUCACUUAUCACUGUGCUCGGGCCACACAGCGCGCCACUUACGGGUGACGCCCUAGAUUUAGCGCGAUUUCGUUCUGGAUUCAUUUUCAUAAGGAUUCGACGUGAUCAUGGAGUGCCGGCUGUCGACUACCUGACGCCCUCCCCCUCCUCCUUUAUCCGGGCUUGGGACCGGCAAUGUAAGAACAUAGGCGGAGUUAACUGAAAUGAUAACUGAAACAUAAAUAAAUUUAGAAUUCAAGACUAACCUGUGUAGCUAAUAUAUUCUAGCUUGAUUGUAGCUAAUAUUUUUUAAAUCGAAUGAAUGUUGUUCUUAAUCCACUAUAAUCUGAACAUUAAAUUUGGUAUUCAUGACUAACCUGUGUCACGAACUUUAGCCAUUUCUUUGAUGGAUCCUUAAAAUGAUGUGGAGAUGUUACGCCAUUACUCUUCCCCAUCUAUAGCAACAUUAAGAUUCGUUUUACUCUUUUCAUCUUCUGAUAACCGCACAGCUUCAAUGACUGCUCUUCUCUGUUGCCCAUGUCCAUAUAUAAAAAAUUCUGGUGUGCGCUCAAGUCUAAAACACAAGCCAACAUAACAGACUCAGCUAUACCACCAUAGGUAUGGUGUUCAAAAUCAAGGGAGGUGAAUCAAUAGCUUACUUCUCAGCAUGUGAUCGGCAAAGUUGCAAUGAAAAUGAAUGAAAUGUACUGAUUGUUAGUAGUUUUGCCGUUCCUUUCCCAGUCACAGAUCCAAUUCGAUCUCUCAUCUCGGAAGCUGCUGCUGUAGUGAAAGUCAUUGCUAGAAUGUUAGACGCGCUCAUGCCCUAAGAACACAAAAAAAAAAGGAAUAAGAUUUCGAUCAUAAACAAGAAAUGUAGAGAAACAGACAAUUAAGAAAGAAAAAGUUAGAGGGAAAGUGGCAACACCUCAUUGAGCAGCAUUAGAACCCGCCCAACCAUCGUUGAAGUCUUUCCACUUCCAGGGCCGGCAACAAUCAUCAAAGGUACUGAAAUAUCGCUGCAAGCUGCCUCCCGCUGCCUUUCGUUGAGAGAAAGCAAAUACUUCGAAUACUCAUCCGGCAUGUUAGGCAAUCCAUGGUUAACAGAAUCUGUUUGGUUUUCACUACUCAGAGGUGGCGCUGAUGCGGCAUUAACAUCGCUACCACAACUCCCAAUAUCAUCACGCUGAAUGUCCCCACUCGGUUUCUGCUCAAUUAAAGCGUCAAUUUCCUGCAAAAUACUCUCAUCGAAAUCAUCAUCCUCGAGAAUUCCAGACGCAGAGAAAGAAUCGAAUGAAGUCGGAAACUGCGGUUGUUUGAUUGGAAUUGUGAAAGAAUCCGAUUUUGACACGCUUGAUUCAGUCCGGCUAGCGCUUAAGCUCCCGGAACACGACGCACUGCCAUAUUCAGUCCGGCUUGUAGAAAUCGGAGGCGGUGUGUUCAUCGGUAGCUCGGCAAGAGGAGUUCUGUGAACUCUAUUGAGCUGAGCUGGCGUUUGGAUUCCAUUUCCGCCACAAAUUCUGGAAUUUGAAAAACACAAUUGAAUUGAUUUAAAUUGAAUCAAGAAAACAGCCGAGUACCAAAAAAGUAGUAAGAAGAUGAAAUCUUUGAUUCCUGAACGACUUACUUGGUAUGAGGGAGGUGAUGAUCAGUCAAAACGGCGUCGUUGCGGGGGCGUUUGCGAUCAAUGAGGGCCUUGGCGGCUCUGAAAUUCCCAGAGAUGCGGUUUCUUUUGAUAGGAUCACAGAUCUCAGGACCCUAUUCAACCUACAAGCAGCAAUAGAAAUGACAAAUGGAGAAGACGAAGUAGAAGGGAGCAGGGCUCCAAUAUAUUUUUUUGGUUUUGUAUUUCUGUUUGUAAAAUCUGAUCUGCUACAUUUGAGGGAGCUGGACUCCUUUUAUACAAACUCUACUUCUUAAAAUGCCAGCUGGCAUAUUUAACAAUUCUUAACAAAUCAAUUAAAGCAUAAAACCUCAGUAAUAAUUUGGGUCAUAACAAUACUUCCCCCUUGAAGAACAACCUUGUCCUCAAGGUUGAAAGUUGAAAAACUUAUUUGAACGAGUAGAAACUAGGAGUCUUGCAACAGAAGGGAAGCUGCAGGGACUGCAAAUACAAUCUGCAUGUAGCUCUCAACUUUUGGAGAUGAGCCUGACAGCACCCCUGUACUUGUUAUGGCAGCUCCCCACAACUUGGUAAGUGAGCACUUGUUACCCGUAGCCUCUUCAUAAAUUUCAACCCACGAUAUCAUUUCAACUUCCAUGCUAGUUGCCAAAAAGCAUGCAGCAUCAAAUGGAGAAAAUGGGCCAACUCCCAGGGAACCUGCCAGAGGAUCAUUCUCAACGAAUGCAGCUACUAAAGCAAUUGGACCCUUGCCAAGAAUUAUAACCUUAGAGAUGGUUAUGAGCCUGAUAUCCUCAAAAGCAAGACGAGCGGUCUGAUUGAUAAGAGACUGCCUAAGAUUAACUAUCCUCUUCUUAGGUCCAACACACCAUUCCUUGCUCCGAAUGUAGCCAUCCUUCAUCACACCAAACCGAGGGAAGCCACCCAUGGGAGUGAUGUCUUUCUCAGUCAUCUUCCCCUCAUGGAGGCACAUUUCAUAGUUUUUUUCAGUGAAACUAGGACCACCUAAUGUCGGAUUGUCAAAAAACUCCUGAAAUAAGCUGAUGGAUGGGAGCAGUCUAUAUUGGAUAUUGAAACUUGCAAUUCUUUCUGAAUCAUUGAAAUCACUGUACUUUAAACUGUCAUUAGCAACACCGAUAUUAUGCAUGGAAGAUUUAAAGGACCUGAGCAAACCCAAAGCUUCAACCAUGUCCUUCAUCACCUCUGUUAAGGUGUACAAUUGGCAUUUGAAUUCAUAUGAUGGCUCAAUAGUAUCAAGUUCCAAAAAUUUAAACAACUCAUUUUGCCAACUUACACUCACGGUAAGACAAACAUGCAAAAACCAUGCAAAGACAAAUAUGUUGGACAUCCUUUCUGAAGAACAGGCAAAGAAAUAACACCAACAGCAACCAAAUGAAAUAACACCAGCAGCAACCAAUACAUUGAUGUGUACCAUAUUGUCUAACAAAAUUACUUUAAGCUGAUGACUGACUUUGCAGAUACGUCCAUAAUCGUACAACCAUGCAUAAACACUAGCACCAUCAAAUCUUAGAUUUGGCCUGAAUACUAUUACCUCUUCACUACCAAAAGUGAGCAUCUGAAUACGUCUGCCGGUUUUCUUAUGAUGCAACUCCAGCUCUACCAACAUCCAUCUUUUACCAAUCACAUAAGAGAAAACAUAAUGACUUACACAAUGUUGCUCAGGUACAGUCAUAUAUGGUGUUGUCCGAGAUUUCCAUUGCUCCUUGAAAUGCAUUCCAUAAACCAAGAAAAAUAAGAUUGAAGUAGUAGUUGUUCCAUCCUCCUUGAAAGAGAUGAGAAUGCAGGGCCUCUCCAUCAACCAUAUUGUAUAAUUCCUCUGAUUGAAGACAACCCUUUGAGAAGAUAUAUUGUCACAAGGAUUAGUGAGAGUGUGACACCAACCCGGUUGCUGGAAAAUCUGGUCAUUCGCUACGCAAUUAGGAAAGAAAACAGUAUCGAGGUGUACAUCAACACUAUUACAUAAUUCCGGAUUCAAUUUCGAUAACAAGCUGGUGAGAAUAGAAUAGUCAAGCUGGGAAAUGGCCAUGACUGUUAAUGCACAUCUGUGUAACAGUGAUAAGCAGAGGAACUGCUUGAUAGCAUUGAUAUAACCCAAAGUCCCAUUCUCCUCAGUCAAACUAGCUGCAAGAUCUUUAGGCAAAGAACGACAAACAAGUACAACAAUAUCCAAAGCUUCCAGGUUGCUACUCAAUGACAUAUUCUCCAUAUUAUGCCUCUUAGACAUUUCAUCAAAUAGAUGCAAUGCAUAGAAAUUCUUCUUCACAAAUUUACCCACAAGGUACCAAUUAACCCAGCCAUACUUAGCAUUCAAAAAAACAUGAUAUACAAUCGCAUUAUGACCAGUAUAGCAUGCAAUUACACCAUACAAAAGCAAUACCUCAUGUCCACGUACCAUUCCUAACUCCCAUAGCCCACUAGGUAGCUGAUACCAAACAUGAAGUUUCUUCUUGAUGAAAUAUCCAAUGUUGUCAUCGUAAACCGACUGUGUAAUCUUCUCUCCCAGUCUCAUUCGACAAUCUUCCAGUGGCCUAAUUUUGGAGCCUCCACCCUUAUCCCGAAUGCCAUUGCAGUAGCACAUGUCACGAUUGAGAACAACAUAGCCACUUGAGUCUGGAAUUUCAUCAAACAGGUUCCAUGCACAAAAAUCCUCAGGUCCAUUUUUCGUAGUAUCAGAGAACGAGUGCUUAUGGAGUAGCCGCGGAGCAGAGGUCAUCGUCUUCGAUCCCGGAAGCAAAAUUGUAGCUGCAUCAGAGUUGUUCGAGUGUGGCUUCACGGGCGGAGUUGCCAGUGCUUGCAACAACGGUGAAGAUGAGAGUAACGGCGGAACGGAAUGGACUUCAAUUGGCGAUGGAAUUCUCGGUGGAUUGUCGUCUCCUUGAAGUCCGGGAUGAUCGAGAUUGAUUGAUUGAAUCGUUGGGGUAGGAUCGGAAACUUCCCCGACACCAAGAGUCAAGUGAUGGCGGAACAGAGCAAGGUCACGGCGGACUGCGGCGGCUAUUGAAUCUAUAGCCUUGUGGAAAGCCUCCUCCGUACGCCUGAAUGUUUUCCUUGGACAUUGCUUCGAAGAUUCCGACGGAAGAUUUGGCCUGACAGCCUGACCAGGCAACCCUAGAAAGAAGAAGGAGCGAAGAAGACCAAAUGUGUCCGUUUUUCCUUUGGUUUUUUUCCCUCCUAAUCGAGUUGUUCGAAAUAAUUGGGCCUGGGCCUAGUGGGCCCAAUUGUCAGGCCCAUUAUCUCCUGUCUUCUAGUUCUACUUCCAAUUUCCCAAGUUAACAACGUACUGGUUCGCUUUUAGCGCGAGAGAGAAAUGGAGGCCCUGAUUGCCUCGUACGGAGACUCGUCGUCGGACUCAGACUCCGAGUCGCCGGCUCCACCUCCACCGCCACCUCCGGAGCUCAAAAACUCUCAAGAAUCGACCACUGCGCUGCCUCCACCUCCUCUGUCACUUCUCGACAGCCCAAUUCCUUCGGUAACCUCUGAUUCCCAUAAAUAUUCUAUCUUUUAACUUUCUGUUGUGAUGGCUUUUUCCGAGUUGCCCACCAAGUGUUUGAUGUUUUGCCUCUAAAGGAUUUCUGGACUUCUCCCCAAGCGCCCAGCCGAGCAGAGUUCGGAACUUUCCUCACGUCGAAGGGAACUACGCAGUACAUGUAUACAUCCCAGGUAAUCAAAAUUCUCGAAAUUUUCAGCUCCAUUAGCAAAUGCGAUCCCUUUGCACUUAGAUUUUGCUUGUUUAAUUGUGUGGUUCCAGUUUAUAUACCACCAGCACCAAGGAAAGAGAUGGCCUUGUUUUUGAACAAGCUUGCUUCUCUGGUGCCUGGUCUCCACGCCGUUGACGUUGACGUCCCGCUUGACAUUCUGCGUAAGGACGAGCAUAAGCUUGAACAAGUUGCUUUAGGCAGAGAGUUCCAUAUAAGUCUCGGAAGAACUGUUCCGAUUCGGGUGCACCAGAUUAAUUCCUUGGUGACAAUGCUGCGGCAGAAGCUUCAGAUUCAGAGGCGGUAUGGUUGCAUUUACCUUCUCUUGUGUGCAUUGCGUGAAUUUAGUUCUGUUAUUUAACAUAAUUGUUUAAGCCUGCAGAUAUUUUGUCCAUUUUUGGUUUUUAACACAUUUGGUUAUUGUGGAACAGGUAUUGGAUUGAUUUUUGCAAGUAGGAGGUUUUUGUUAACGAUGAUCAGACCCGGACCUUUGUGUCGAUCGAAGUCAUUGCUGCUGGGUUAGCUGAGGUAUGAUUGCUAGCUUUCUCUCUUGGUGCAAUUCAAAAUGUUUUGAGUUGUUUAUGGACUUAAGAUUUAGCAAGUACUUGCCGAAGGUCAUGGGAUUUUGAAAUAUCGAUAUCUUGCUUAUAGAUUGUUUGGUCUUCGAUGCACUUGUUACCUGAAAAGUAAAAAUGUAAAAGAUCAUGAAAAGUCCAAACGAAACAUAAUGGAUGUAUGAUAUGCUCAUGCUUCUAACAUGUGUUGUCCUGGCAUAAAUUAUGUUCCAAAUACCGUCAUUUGCGUGUAAGCCUAUGAACUUAGAGCACGUUUGGUAUGCCGGGUAAGAUUGGAUUUGGUAUUUCAGACUGCUUAGGUUAGGAUUGGAUUGGGUAGGUUAGGUUUUUUGUCUAAUGUUUGGUGUAGACUGUCGCAACAACGCUCGUGAGCCUCCACAUCCAUUGCAAUCUUGCACCACUCUGAUGUCCUGGAGGAGCGAAACAUGGUUACUUGAAGCAUACCUGUUUUCGUAUUAAUACAUGGUUGAAUCAGCUUUCAUUGUCAAUCAGUCUGUAAUAUUUCAACUUCCAUUGAUUUCAGAUAACAAAGCAGAUUCAAGCUGUCAAUGAGGUGUAUAUGCUUCACAAUCUUCCUGAAUUUUACAAGGUUAGCAUUUCGUGUUUUUCAAACUUGAAUCACUUCCUGAACAUAUGACAAUAUAUUGGAGCAAAUGGUUGUGCAUGAAUACUACUCAUUGCUCAGAGGGUGUUGCUGAUCACAGGAUCCGCGUCCUCAUAUUUCGGUAGCUUAGGCAUUGGGUGACAUCAGCAAUUCCCUGAAGAAAGUGGUUGAAGAAGAAAGACGAAGAUCUACCAUCGGAGGAUCGUUACAGAAAUGUAUUUUUACCAGUAAAUUCAAUGGUAUCGAAUGUAGGAUUGGUAAUAAAACACACAAAAUAUGUAAAUUUUCUGAAGAAUAAUGUAGCCAUUUAACUAUAUUGUGAAAUUCCGAGAAUAUAUCGCUGAGCAUUGGAUGAGAAGACAUUUCUUCGUUGGUGUCGAACUUCAUGUUGAAGGUAUUGACACCAGUGUAAACGCCAUCAUCCAUGUUGAUGGUAAUUACUUCCCAGCUACUAAGGGUGUCGGAACAACCUUGCACGCAGCCUCCUGUGCAUUACUUAGUAUUGUCUCAGUUUCUCCAAACUUGAAUGCUCCUGUAAACCCACUUUUGACCUUUCCGUCAUCUGUGAUUACCGGAAUGCUGGCUAGGAUGUUGCCGUUGACCUCCCAAACUUAAAAUACCGGAAAGCCGGCUCCAAUGUAUGCGAGAGCUCCACCUCUAUUGUUGUAACAGCAUCUGAUGCGUACUAGUCCUUUAUUCCCGUUACUCUUUGCCAUCUCCACUUGGAACUUGGCGUAAUGGCUCCCGGCCUCCUCUCCGGUGAAAUUGAGCAACCCCGGAGCUGGCGUGCCAUCAAGAUUUCCGUCAUGUCUGUAGCGAAAGUAUUCGCUGUUGUGGUUUGGUUUCACCACUAUAAAUCUUGGCAGAGUUGGCAUUUUCAUUUCUGUUGUCUGUAUAUCUUGAUAUUACAAGUAUUUGUUGUGCAAUAUGCAUGCUAUGUUCAUGUUAUGCGUAUAUACAUAUAUAAGUGUUUUAACACUUUGCAAACGUUUUCUCCAAAAUUUUGAUUUUGGUGGUGUUCUAACUUUUGUGAAUGCUAAUAACAAUUCCCUCAUUAACUGUUAGGACGAGCAACAAAACAGUUUUGAUUCUGUGCACAAAGGCGAUCCCUCGUAAGAAAUUGAUUCUUCAACAGAAAGAUGUUUUAAAACAAAUUUGAAGGGAAGGAAAUAUUUGAAUCGCAUUCAGAUGUCUGGUCAAAUUCUUGAACAGUUGAUAUACACAGAAGUUCCUUGUUUAUGUCACUACUUAUGAGAGGAUGUACGCAUUGCAUUCGCAUCAAAAGAGAGAGAGAGAGAGAGAGAGAGAGAGAGAGAGAGAGAGAGAGAGAGAGAGAGAGAGAGAGAGAGAGAAGGUUGUCAGUGGUAAGGGAACGAAUAACGAUGGCGUUGCGCUUCUAAUCAAAGGGGUCGAUCCGAGGGUCGUGUUCACUUGCCAUCGCCAUUCCAGUGCAAAGGCAUGUAGGGCACAUUACCUGCCACAUUAAAAACGCGAUGUUAGAUAUACUCGCCAUUUGGAAGUCAACCCUCAAAAUUUGCUACUAAAUUAUCUUAAACUCCAUUUCCAGUCAAUUUUUUUUCUUCCGAAAUGUCUUUCACGUGCUUAGGGAUAGGCAAAUACCCAUUGGUUAUAGGUAAUCGCGGUUACUCGCCCAUUUAAAUUAAACAGUUACGGUUAUGGCUAACUGUUUAGAUAAAUAAACGGUUAUGGGUAUAACCGUUUACCCGUAAAAUUUAAAUGGAUGGUUAUGAGUAUUAACCAUGGUUAUAAACGAGUAACCGUUUACCCAUUUAUUUUAUAUAUGUAAAGCUAACACAAAUCAUGUUCUCCAUCCAAUAAUACUUAGCACCCAAUAAAUUAGCAAGGAAUUCAUCGAUCAUUCUCUCAAUAACACUACUACAUGAAUGAUGAUUCCCAUCAUCAAGGAAUUUGCCAAAUUAAUUUAAAUUCCUUGUGGGUAACCGUGAAAUUGACAGAAAUACUUUAACAAAAAUGUCUUCUAAACAAUUUUUGUAACCCAAUAAUACUUAGCAAAUAUUAUAUUUACCUUCAUUGGUAACAGUUAAAAAUAUCGUCCGUAAACUAUUAUUUCAAUUAUUGGAAUGGUAUAAAGACUUAAAAAAUUAAAAUAUAAAAAUGUAUGACGAAUGUACCUAUAACGGUGUUUAAUUGUCAAAAAAAAAAUUAUGACAAUUUUUUUUAAUUUUCAAGUUGUUAAAAAACAUGUAGACUGGUGAAAAAAAGGUAAUGGUAAAAAGAAAAGAUAAACGGAUUAAAAAUGAUAAAUGGUAUACGGGUAUUAAAUUGUUACGGUUAAAUGGCUAUGCGGUUAUGGGUAUGGUUAACCGUUUAUAAAUGGUUAUGAGUAUGAGUAUAACCAUUUAGGCAAUUACCCAACGGGUAAACGGUUAUGUAGGUAUGAGCAUAAACGGUUAUGGGUAAAUUAACCGCGGUUACCCGCCCGCAUAACCAUCCCUACACGUGCUCGACAAACACAACAGUCACCAAUCAUGUGAAUCAGCUAUUCCUCAAUGUAUAUGAUGAAACAAGUGCAUCCCAGAGGCAGGCACGAAGAGGAAUUUACUAUGCAAUAAACAUUCAAUGGGUACAAUUUUAUGUCUAACCUUUCCCGCUCCUGAGCAAUUUGAACAUCUUUCAGUUUUUGGCAGUGAAAGGGGCUGGUUUCCGCCAUCAACUGUUGAAAUUGGUUCGGUAAGAACAAGGGUUCCAGUGCUGGAGCAACGAGCACAAGCAAGAUAUCCUGCAUAAGUAUCAAAUACACCGGUUAGUUGACAUAUGAAGGAUUGGUUUGGUAUUGCUGUGCUUUGAAAAAAAAACUGCUGUGAGAAUAAGCGGCUGUGCUGUGAAAAUAAGCGGCUGUGAAAUAAAUCAGCAGAGUGUUUGGUAAACUUUUUUGUAAAAGUGUUUUUGGAAAAAAAAAAGUCUAAUAGUGGGUCUUUUCAUUAAAGAAACACUGUAGCUCCAUGUGCUUUGAAAAAAACCAGUUUUCCAAAGCUACAAAUAGCAGCUUCAGCUUUUUCCUUUGAUUUCAGCUUAUUCUCACAGCAGCUUCCAAAAUAAGCCUUUUUUUUUUCAGUUUACCAAACACCUAAAACCCUCACAGCUUUUUUUCAUGGGUGCUUUUUUUUUAAGCACCUCACUCCCAAACUUGGUUUGGUAUUGCUGUGCUUUGAAAAAAAGCUGCUGUGAGAAUAAGCGGCUGUGAAAUAAAUCAGCUAAGUGUUUGGUAAAUUUUUUUGUAAAAGUGUUUUUGGAAAAAAACAGUCUGAUAGUGGGUCUUUUCAUUAAAGAAGCACUGUAACUCCGUGUGCUUUGAAAAAAAACCAAUUUUCCAAAGCUACAAAUAGCAGCAUCAGCUUUUUCCUUUGAUUUCAGCUUAUUCUCACAGCAGCUUCUAAAAUAAGCCUUUUUUUUUUCAGUUUACCAAACACCUAAAACUCUCAUAGUUUUUUUUCAUGAGUGCUUUUUUUUUAAGCACCUCACUCCCAAACUAGGUCAACCAAUCCAAACAUCUCCAUCGUAUAUAUUUAAAGCUACGGUACAUAUGACUAAAAGUGAGAAACAUAGGACAUUAUCACACCAGUUCCAAGACAAUAUUUGCAUCGCUUAUGCUCCUGCUGUUUCACAUUGCUUAUUUCAACUACCAUCAAUGCUGAGAUCACUCCGACUGCUCCUCCAGAGAACGAUGCCACUAUGGGAUCAACUUGACUGCAGAUUGAAAGUAUAUGAGAUCAAUAAACGAAACUGAUAACAAUGUAGUAUUAACAUUAUUUAGCUCCAUGUCAAGAUAGACAACACAUCCUAGAUUUUUCUAAUGUGUAAAAUUUGAGGACCCUCGUAAAAUUUGACCACAUCGGUUCCCAAAGUAAAAUUUAGUACCUUUGGUUCCUACAUUACAGACCGAAAAUAGUAACUACCGAAUUUAAAGUUCAUAUCAAGAUAGAGGAUACAAAAUUUCGAAACGAUAAUUGCUAGAGAACAGGAGGGUUAAUAGCCCGAGAUAUGAGCCAUACCUCAACUGCAACGGCAGAUGCAUAUUUACUAUAAAAUCUUUAUACGAUGUGCCUCCUAUUCCCAGCUUCAACUCCAACUGAAAGAUGUAAACGUAAUUGUCGGCAGAGAGUUAGAAACAUAACCGAAUCCAUGUUUUAUAAGCAGAAAGUACACUUAUUUGACAUGCUUCCUCAUUUUUUUACUUGCAAAUUCAAAACCGUAUUGUCAGACCAGUAAAAUAAAAUAAUGUUUACUAAUAACUGUUAAAACUAAUCACAACAAGUUAAUGCAUAAAGAACUUACGGAGGGUGCUAUGAGGCCACCGAAAAGGAUAAACCCCGCAAUAAUUGAAUAACAUACAGCAUAAUACUGCUUAAGGUUGUCUGAACUCUGCAAGCAAUGCAUUCACCUUGUGAUUAAUACUUUUGCACAAACACUAGUUUUCGCAAUUUUUUAUGAACCGACAAAAGGCUACAACAAAAUAUGGCUAAAACAUGUCGGGGAUAUGAAAAUACAUGUCUUCACAGGGGCAGCAGCUUACCAGGGGAGGCAAAAAUGGAAUGAAUGAUGGAAAACUUGAUCUUCAUUUACCGCUCCAAGCUCUGCGCGUUUAAUCCGUUUAAUCCGCUGUUGUAUCCUCAGCCUGCGAACCUACGCAUAUCGAAGCUCAUUCUUAAAGAACACAUUUCUAAGGGCAAUUGGAGAGUAAUUUGAAACAUGCUAAACUGAGAAAGUGGCAGCAACUAGCAAUUGCUCUCACCUCCUCCGUAUGCAAGAAAAUUUUGUUGCGCCGACUCCGAAUAUUAUCUUGAAUUUCCUGCAGCUCCAUUGUCGCAAAGUCCUGCACUGUUUCAGGCCCCUCUAUGAUACAAAAUCUGCACAAUUAAGCAUGUAACAACUAAAACUUACAGGCUACAAAGCAAUUUCCGUAUCAUUUUUGGGUUAAUUAACAUCAACAGCAGAUAAAUCACAUGAGUUUUUCACAUGAAGUUACAAACCUUCAGAGACCAGUAAGCUCUCUGCAAUCUCAUAAAUUUCACUGUGCAAAGUAACAAUCCAAAGCUUGGAACUUUAAAUUUCCAUUUUCUGUUAUUUUCCUAGAGAGAGAGGGGGGAGUACCCGGCGGGGUUUGUAUCGGCGGCGGGUUUAGGAUCAGAAUCGACAGACGGAGCGAACGAGGAGGAGUCGGGCUCCGAAGCCAUGGCCAGGGAUCGCCAUCUGGAGCUGCUUGUUGAUAUGGGGCUUCUUGCGUAGCUGAAUUUGGAGCAGCGGAAGCUAUGCAGUUUGUACGGACCGCACCGAUUUACGGGGAAAGAAACGGCCAAAAGUCUGCCGGAGCAGAGCAUCUCUCUCUCUCUCUCUCUCAAACCAGAAGGCAGAGCUUUCUGUUUCUCUUGAGGUUUCUUUCACUGGUAAAUUCCAGACAAGCAGAGAAGGCGGCUCUCUGAGAAAUGGCGAUGGUGCAAGUGGAGACAAAACAAAUGUAAAUCUUGAAGCACCGAACAUGUGCAGAACACUUGUCAACUACCGAACUCUAGGAUUAGGAGAGAGAGAGAGAGAGCGAGUGACCGGCCAAAAAAAAAUGGAGGGAAGUGGCUGAUUCUUCUUUUUAGUGGACCUGGUGUCCUUCGAUUCGAGUACUAUGUCAUAUUUAAAAUUUAGGGUUAAUUUUGUUUAAGUUUCUUAGUUUUCAACAUUUAGUACAUAAAGUUUUUUUCAUCUCAGAGUGGUACAUAAAGUCAUAAUUUUGAGACAGUCUAAUACAUCCGUUAAGGUUGCUGUUAAAUCAACCGUUAAAUAGUGACGUGGCGUCUAGGUGGAUAUUGACUGGACGACACGUAUCAUUAUGGGUCCAUGUGGAUAUUAAAAAAUUAAAAAAAAAAAAUUAAUGGGCCGUUCAACCCCUCCUCCCUCGACCCCCUCCCUUCUCUCCUCUGCACCCACCCUCCCCACGUCUGCAACCCAUCCCCACGUCGUCAUCUUCUUCUUUGCCCAGAUCCCGCAAGAAUCUUCUUCGUCGCCGACAACUCAGCCACCAUCUCCAUCUCCGCCUUCCCCUCCUCCGAACCCGACUCCUACCCACUUCCAGUUCCAAUUCACCCUCUCCCAAUUUGCCCACUUCUUGUCCGAUUUUCGCGCCACUAUUGAACCCGAGCCCGACCCACAAAGAUGCUUAGAUUCUGAAAAAGAGAUGACACAAAUGCAAGAAAUGGAAAGCAGUGUGGUUUAGAGGUUAGAAACUGAGCAAUUUUUGGAUUGCUUUUUGGUUUGAUCAAUUUAAAGAAAUGAAAUUCUGAGUCGAAUUUCUUGUUCGUUAUAUUCGAUCUCCGCUUGAGAAUUUUAAACUUAAUAAUUGCAAAUCAAGAUACAAAAUUGACAUGAAUUUCGAAUUGGGGUUUUGGGAAAUUUGAGAAGUUCUUGGCGAUUCAUAAGAAACUUCAACUCCCAAUCGUUUCUUCUCGCUCACAACCCGAGAUUAAUAAUUUUAAAGUUUGAGCUUGAAUGUUCUUUGUAAUUAAAGAACAGAUGUGCAUCCCUCUGAAUGGCAAGAGGGUGAAUAGGAAGCGAAAAUCGGUGUGUGGCAAAUCGGAGAGGGUUAGGGAAAAAGUUUAGAGUCGGGUUCGGAUGAGGGGAGGGCGGGGUUAUAUUUUUUGUCGAGGCGAAGAAGAUUCUGCGGGAUCUGGGCGAAGGAAGAUUGACAUGGAGGGUGGGUGCACAGGAGAUAAGGGAGGGGGUCAAGGGAGGAGGGUGAACGGCCCAAUUUUUUUUUUUUUUUGGGUCAUUUGGACCAUCUCACUCAUCACCUAAGACGCCACGAUCUAAUAUUAAUUCCGGUUGACUUUGUAAAUUGGAUGUAUUAAUUAACAAACAUAGAUUAGGACAUUGAUGAUUUAAAAUUUGGGGUUUUGUUCUUCAGAAAUUUGGUCGAAAUAAGAAAUUCCCUAAAAGUUCAAUUCAGAAGAGUUACUUGCCUUACAAACAUUUUUUAAAUACUUACUAAGAAAAAGAUUUUUGUGGGUGGGUACAGUAUGGGGUUUAACUCAUUGUGUUUUAGUUUAAAUCUUUUUCUCUCUUCUUUAAUAAUAUUUAGUAUAUUAUCAAUUCGUAAUAAAAAAAUUUUGAUUAAAAACUCUCAUCUAUAUUCUAGCCAAUGGAAAAAAAUGAAUAGUGAUUUUGAUGUUGCUUUAACAAAAUAUUUUUUAAAAACAAUGGACGGCUUUCAACAAAAAAUUUGAGUAAGAGGGGUUUUGCCUUAAGUAAUUUUUGAAAUUGAAUUCAUGGUGGUUUUUUGAUUUUAUUAAAUUAGUCCCUCCCAGCAAAAAUGUGAUCAAUUUCUCUAUAAAAGAAAUAUAAGAUAUAAAUGAGAUAAUAAAGGGGUCAUUAAUAAAGAGUUGAUGAUUGUUUUUUUUUUUUUACAAUUCACACUAAGGGGGAAUAAUUGAUUUCUUUGUUGGUGUUCAAAAGCUUUUAAAUUUAUCUCUUUAAAAUAGUUUUAAUAAUCUUUUAAUGUGUUUAGUUGCCAAAAUUUUAUUUUUUUAGCAAUGAUAUUAUCUCAAUUUGAUUGGGCUUAAAUUUCUCUUAUUUUUCAUUAAUUUUCAUAUUCAAAACAUCUUAAAUGUCGUAAAUGCCGAUCAAAUAACUCUUUUCUUUUUAAUUAAUUAAUCUAAAAUUAAGUAAAAAUGAAAUUAUUACAGAGAUUUUCGAAAACCAAAUUUACAUUAUUGAUUUUUUUAACCUUUUUACAAACAAUAUAUCUAGUCUUUUUGUUUUACAAAGUAAUAUUGAAUUUUUUCACAAGAAGGCUAACAUAUCACAUUCAUUGAUUCAUGAUCAAUAUUUAAAAGUCAAAAAAAUAUUAGUAACCAUUCUCUAUUUUAACACAAUGUUCCAAGAAACAAUCUAGGGAUUAUCGGAUUUAAUGACCAAGAGGUUGGAAUUUUCCCCGUAAAUAAAUGAAUUGUUAACAACAAACAUAAAAAACAAAGCAAUAAAGAAUUCAGAUAGUGAAUACCUACUAAACCAUGUGAACACAAGCAAAAUACUUCAGAAUCACAUGUUGUCGAAAAAAUACGACUAUUUCUAAUCAGAAUUACAAUAUACCACGUUUUGCCCAUCACAUAAAAUCCAAAAACUAGUUAGGGAGCUCAAAAAGGGAGCGGGUUUGGAAACCACUGAUACACGAAGUAAAGAGGUGGUACUGUUUUGGUAAAACACAAAAGGUGCGAAACAAAGUAAACAAAACGGAAGGAAGAUGUUAUAGUCAUUCUCAGCAACAAAAUUCGAGCUUGUUGUCGAAAUCACAACAGGAGACAAUUUCGAUUAACAGCCUUUCCUGCCAAACUCAAUUUCCAAAAUCCUACAUCACAUCAUAAAUCCAUUGUUUCAUUCCCACGCACAAUCCCUACCCACUGCACAGGAGAACAAUUGUUUCUGCAAAGAAAAAACAGUUAACAAAAAACGGCAUGCAUAUCGCAAAAUCGGGAUAGGAAGCAGAAGCUUUCCUUGUUUUCCUUAAACACCAAGCUCUACAUUCCAAAAAGAACAUGAAAAAAUAAAAUUAAAUAAAGAGCCUUUCCUGCUUAUUUUGAAUUAAGGCGGGGAGGUCGAGACACGGCUGGUGUAUUUUUGUUUUUUUAAUUGUCAAACUGCCCAGGACACGCUGGGCAUUUUUUUUUUUGUUUAAACCUGGGCCCAAAACGACGCGUUUGCCAUUUAAAAAAAAAUUCCUUGGGUCAUUUACCAAUUCCUUUUUUCAAAAAAAAAUAACUGGCCCAGCGCCUUCGUCUUCUACAAAGGCACAAAAGCCCAAAAACCCCGACGAACCUUCCGUUUCACAGUUGGUGUGAGCGAACGGUGGUCGCACCAGGGGUCGCACCACCAGUCCAAGGGUCUUAAAGUUGCUUCAUGCUCUCCAAGGUCCGCGACGUGGUUGCGCACCCCAAUUGAACCGCACAGGAUCCGAAUGGCUUCUUCCCAUACAUGCCAUCGAAAUUCAGCAAAAGCAAUAACCAGCGAUUUCUUCUGGAGAAUUUAAGCCACCCCAUUGGACCAACAAUUCAAUCAAAAGAAACCAGUAACCAAGUUCAAUUGAGUUUAGAAGCAUUUACAAUGUUCCCACGGAUGUUCAUCACUUUACCCAAUAGUUCGUUUCAAGAAGGAAAUUCCAGCAGAACUGAAACUUCAAAACUUCAGAAGGCACCAAAUUUUUGAAGUAAAUUCAUUUCAAGUUGAAAUAAUCAACUUAGGUGAGGACCCAUAAAAUUAGGAGGAACAUGAAAGAAAGCUUUAUCUUUUUCCUCUAAACUCAGGCGUUACUAAACAAACGGACAUUCACAUCCCCACCAGAUGCAUUUCCUUUCACAUCUUCCCAAGUAAAUCAGUACCUUCUUUCGUCUGAAUCUUAAGUCUGAAUUCUGGAAGUGAAAAUACUGGAAAAAAGUGGGCCUUUAUAAAAGAAUACCUCACGUUUUAGUCAAUGUAUCAGCGCACUAAGAGGACCAGAGGCAGGAGUGAACGACAGCAAACAAUUCAUGUAAUAUUCAGUCGAGUUUUGGGUGAUUUCUGCAGCGAUUUCGGAGGCCAAGAGCCUGAUAAGAAAGCUGGGACGGAAGGGCAGUGGUCUGGAAGAAAAGGCUCGGGUCACACUGUCGCGAUUCGCGAAGGAGAAGUGGCCCAAUACAAUUUCGGCCUGUUUGCACUGGACUGUUUUGCACAGGGCCAAGGCCGACCCUGAACCAGAUAAAGCUUCUCCAAACAGUAUAUAUCAGGUGCUAGAAAUUCUAUAGAACCAUUCAAUCUUAGAGCAACAGCUUAGCAUUAGUUGGUACAAAAAGAUUUCCGAUUAUCGCUUUUAUUUAUUCCUCCUCUGAUGUGUCCUUUUAGACUGCAACAGACGAUUUAAAGAAAUGAAAGUUAGCAGAAUAAAUGGCGCACAAAGGGAUUUAAAAUCCUGACAUGUGUAUUUUUGGCAGAUUUAUGUGAGCAUGCAACUAAAACUGGCAUCACUAUCAAUGGUGCACGAAGAUUGGCGGAAAAACGUAAAGGGAAGCAAUCACAACACAAAAUGUACGACGUAAUCUGUCCACAUGUUGGAAGGAGCUAUGAAAGUAUGGCUUUUCACUAAUCAGGCGUCCAGAGAAUCAAUAUUUUACUCACGGAUCAGUUACGGAGAACAAUCCCCACCAAAGCAAUCUCAAUAGUCCUCCACAUCUCAAACCAAACAGAAAUCGCACUAACAAACACGACUUCUAUACUAUUAGUCCUUCCCAUCUCAAAUCUAGUAAGUAACCCAUCUUUCGUCUGAAUCUGGAAAACAAGCAGCAGUGGAUUUAAAAAUCUGGGUAUCUCAAAGUUACUCACUUUAAUCACAAAUUUAACAAUUAAACAUAUAAAUGGGCAUUUUUAGUGAAAUAUUAGUGUAGUACUCACUGUGUGCUAGGAGCAAGAGUACCCAGAAAGCUCAAUGAGCUGCGCACAGAGGACUGCAGCGGUGAACGAUAGCGACCAAUUCUGUAAAAUUCAGUCGAGUUUUGGGCAAUUUCUGCAGCAAUUUCGGAGGUCAAGAGGCUGAUAAGGAAAGCUGCGACCAAAGGGCACUGGUCUGGAAGAAAGGCUCUGGUCACCGCUGUCGCGAUUCGCAAAGGAAGAAGUGCCCCAAAACAAUUUUGGCCCUGGGCAGGUGCACUGUUUGCACUGGGACAGGGCCGGCCCUGAAUCGCGAUAACGUCCUUCUCCAAACAGUAUAUAUACAGAUGCUAGAAAUAUCUACCAGAACCAUUCAAUUCUAGCGUCUACAGCUUUAGCAUCAGCUGGUACAAGGGACAUUCUUCCAUAGAGGGAGAUGAAAUCGUUGAGGCUCUUAUUUAUUCCUCCUCUUGAUGUGCCCUUUUAGACUGCUAAUUCCAGACGAUACAAUCUCAUGCAUCUUCCCUGAAAAAGGGUUGCCACACAUCGAGAUCAAAUUUUUCCAAUAAAAUUAACUUAAAAAUCAAACUCGUUAGCAGAAUAAAUGGUGCACAAAGGGAUUUAAAAUCUAGACAUAUGUGUAUUUUUGGCAGAUUUUAAGUGAGCAUGCAACUAAAACUGGCAUCACUAUAAAUGGUGGACAAAGAUUGGCGGAAAAACAUAAAGGGAAGCAAUCACAAAGCAAAAUGUACUAAGUAAUCUGUCCACAUAUUGGGAAAAAUUUUUAACAGUUUGAUUUGUAACUUCUCCAUUGUAUUAGUUAAAGACAAGACGGUGUCAACCAUGCAAUUUGCUGAUGAUUUUACUGAUGAAUGCAGAGUUAGCUGAUGAUACGACAAGCAAUUGAAAAUCCCAUCAUUAUACCCCACAUAUACCAAAAAAGCAAGUCAUUUGCACAAAUUCAGAAGGUUCAUCCACUGCAAUUUGCAGAUAUAGAAAUGUUAAGAUAAAUGGAAAUACAAAGUACCUUUCACCCAAAUUGGAGGAACACCGGUGGCAUUAGCAAGUUAGCAUCGGGAAUUGACAUUACCAGUAUCUUCACAGUUUCUGCGGUGGAGUUAUGUACCUCUCCUUGGAAAAUGCCACCAAAGCCGCCGCAACGCGGUGUAGUGUCCGAUUGAUUGCUUCAAAACAAAGCUUCGUAUCCAUGUGUUUAAUCAGCACAGAGUACCCAAAACCCCUGAAAAUUAUUUCUUUAUUCAGACAAUAAAAUUUCCCAAAUUUCGAAUUUUAAUUCCAAAUCAAAAAUAGGGUUUGAAUUUUGAUUACCUAGAAAUUGGGGGGUUGGGGUGGAGAGGGACCCGGGCCAGGACGGAGCUAUGUGUAUAUGCUAAGGCGUGCCAAAUUACAUAGAGUGUCAGGAAUGUGUACAAGUCUUUUGCAAUUUAUCAGACUUAAAACCUGAAGCCCCGUAAGGCGUUCAAUCCAGGGGGAAAGCUCUUUGAUAGAUGUUCCACCCAAGAAAAGCAUUCUUAAUCCUUCCAUAUUUUCUUCAAUGCUUGGAAACACCUCAAAUUUUGUACAAUUGUAAAGAGAGAGACGGUAAAAGGAUUUGAGUUGACAAAUGCUGCUUGGAAGACUCUCAAGUUCCUUGCAAUUCAUCAUAAGCAAACACCUCAAUCCCGUGAGAUUAUUAAUUGACAGGGGUAGUUCUUUAAUUUUUGACCCAGAUAAAUCAAGCUCUUCUAACCCCUCAAUAACUUCUGAAAUCUCUGGAAACAUCACAAGACUCGAGCAACCAGAAAGAUCAAGGGUUUUGAGAGAUUUCAUACGAAUGCUGCUUGGAAGACUCUCAAGUUCCUUGCAAUUGUUUAGGUCCAAAUAACUCAACCUCGUGAGAUUAUUAAUUGACAGGGGUAGUUCUUUAAUUUUUGACCUGGAUAAAUCAAGCGCUUCUAACCCCUCAAUCACUUCUGAAAUCUCUGGAAACAUCUCAAGACUGGAGCAGCCAGAAAGAUCAAAGGUUUUGAGAGAUCUCAUACAAACUUUGCUGGGUAGAAUCUUAAGUUCCAUGCAUUUUGAUAGGUUCAAAUGACUCAACCCCGUGAGAUUAUUAAUUGACAGGGGCAGUUCUUUAAUUCUUGACCCGGAUAAAUCAAGCUUUUCUAACCCCUCAAUCACUUCUGAAAUCUCCGGAAACAUCUCAAGACUCCGGCAGCCAAAAAGACCAAAGGUUUUGAGAGAUCUCAUACAAACUUUGCUGGGUAGAAUCUUAAGUUGCCCGCACAAACUCAGAUCCAAUAAAACAAUUUUUGUAAGAGCCAAAAUCGACCCGUGAACCUCAACUAAGCGUGUACAACCUUGAACAAUUAGCCUCUCAAGAUUUGGCACAUUUGUGAAGUCAGGGGUUAUCUCAAGGUUAUGACAAUGACUUAAAUUGAUGAAUUUCAACUUUUCCUGCGUCUGUUAAAACAUUCAGGAAAACAUGCAUUACUUAAUAAGACAUCUCACUCAAAGCCCAAACAUUUAAAAGAAACAAAUACAUGUAAAUGAUUGUACAUACCUGGGUUCCUUCCCAAAGUCGGUCAAUGAGGCUAUAUUGCAUGUCAAGUCCAACAAGAUUUUCGAAUUGAAAGUUGGAUGGCAAAGACUUGAGAGGGUAUCCAGACCAGGAAAGACACCUCAACUCACUAGAAACAAACUUUAAGGGCCCAGUCAGGUGUUGUAUGCCGUGAGCACUGAUCUUGAGAAGUCUUAGUUUAGUCAUCCUAUCAAAAGCUUCAACCAUUAAGCAUCCCUCAUCUGAGUUCCACGAAUCGAGGAUUAUGCUUUCGACUGUUUCUGUACCCUGUGCAAAUCAAAGGGAAGGAAAAAGCAGAGAACCUUAGUUUAGAUUAUGAAGUUAAUGCUUGUUUCUUAAGGAGUUGUUUGAUAAUAAUUUUGUUUUCACUUUUCACUUUUGUUUUGAUUAUUUAUUUAGAAAUCUGAAAAUUGAAAACAUAUAACUUGUUUGUAAUUGUUUUCAAUUUUCAAUUUUCAAUUAUUAAAAAAAUGAAAAUUAAAAAUUAAAAAUGGAAACAAAAGUGGUUAUCAAACGAGCUUAAGAAAUUGAUUUUGGUCAAAAGUUGAAGCUUUCUACUAAACAUUGCAUAAGAAAAGAAAUUAUCACCGUAUUUUUAGUUAUCACAUGAAAAACAUCUUCAUAACUCCACAACCUACUUCGUCUCCCAGGCUCUUUGAUAGAUUCUUGGUAGACGAUUUUCUGACCCAUUUCCUCUAGUAAAUCAUGCAUCUCCAGUUCCCCCUUCGUUGAGACAGUUACUAGAGCUCGAUCGAUUAGAACUUUUAUUCCAAUAUCAGGAUAGAAACCACAGCUGUGCAGAACUUCGGUUGCACAGUCUUCUCUCAUUCCUUUAAAGUAACAUGCAAUAUCUAGAAAGAUAUCCUUCUCCAUGUCAUCUAGUCCAUCGAAGCUUGUUUUAAGCACAUCAUGAAUUCCCUUUUGCGGGAUUUUCUUUAUUUUUUCUAACUCAUUUUCCCACUGGCGUACAUUUUUGUUAUAAAGAAAAGCUCCCAAGACUUUGAGUGCUAAAGGCAGACCUCGAGCAUAUUUUACGGCACGACGGGAGAGAUCAUCAUAAUCUCUGGUGGGUUGGUUUUUUCUGAAGGCGUACCGCCUAAAGAGUUCCAGAGCUCCAGAAUCACUCAAAAUCUGGGGAUUAUAUAUCUCACCAGCUAUGCUUAGUAAUUGCGAAUCUCUGGUUGUUAUAAUAAUUCUGCUUCCACCACCAAAGGAAUGUGGCUCUCCAAGUAAAGCUUCAAUAUGUUCUAAUUCUUCCACAUCAUCAACAACAAUAAGAACUUUUCUCCGACCUAGACUAUUUAACAUCACCUGGAAACCUUUAUUCGAAACGUCGGAACUCCCCACCCUGUUGUUCGAGAUACUCGAUAGAAGUUCUGCCUGCAUAUGUAGUUUGCCAUGCUUCAUGAAACCUUCCUUGAAAUUUUCAAGAAAGCAACAAGCUUUAAAUCCACCAGAGAUUUCAUUAUAAACAGCUCUCUAGCGAUGGAUGUGUUUUUUGCCUAAACCCACACCCAUACCCCCAUAUUCCAACAAUGCGAACAUCAUAUUAGUUUCAACUCCAGGAGGAUGCAGUAAUGAAUGCAUGUUAUGCAUAUGAGAGUCCAUUUCAACCAAGCCAUUAUAUUUGCUUGAUGAUGAUGAGAUGUAUCGCCGACCCCACUUAGUGGGAAAAGGCUUUGUUGUUGUUGUUGUUGUUGAUGAUGAUGAGAUGUGGAUCAAUUUCUUAAAAACAUCUUCUACAAUUUUCUCAAUAAGCUCUGCAUCAUCCCUGUCAAAUUUAAAACACAAUAUAAUUACAACACCAAAUGAUACUUAAUGGGUCGUUUUGAUUACAAUUUCGUUUGCAAUUUUUUUUAAAUCUAGAUUUUAAGUUUGCAGAUUUUGUUUUCAGUUUUUAGUUUCAAUGAAAGUAGUUAUUAAACAAGUUUUCCAAUUUUUCUUUCAUGGUAUACAGUACGUAGUCCCAAAUAUCAGUAGUUAGAUCUUGCAUUUAGAUCUAAUGGGUAUUUACAACCUUUUUUCCUGAGAAUUUUGUACCAUUGUAGCCAGAUCACAUGUUUUCAUCCGUUAGUUUUAUAAAAAUGGAAACUACAAAAAAAAAAAAAAAAAAAUAUAUAUAUAUAUAUAUAUAUAUCAAAUGGCCCCUAAAUGCUAUUAAAAAUCUCAAAAAUUAACAGGAAACUAAAACAAAUUAGAAUUUAUUCAUGGUUUCGCAAAUCCCAGCCGGAUAAACUGGUGGCCGUUGUAAGAGAGAGGACCUCCAGCCGGAUAAACAUUUUCGAGUUAUUUGAUAUUUGUAUAGUAAAAAUACUUUAAUAGCAAGUGCGCGUGAGUGAAGAAAUUGAACUUACUUAUAUAUUCUUCGAAUCCCAACCGGAAAAAUUGCAGGCUCUGGGAAGAGCGGACCUCCAGCUCUGCACCUCCUUCACGUCACGUUACGAAGAACGACUUCAUGUUUAGCAAAAGCUUCUGCAAAACUUCCCUCGAGUUUACGUUUUACGAAUAUUGGACGGAUCGACUUGGUAGAAAAUGGGGAAUACAAUCUGGUUCUUGGAAUGGUUGCAUUCCAAGAUUUCCACGAGAGUUCUUUCAAGCACCAUGUGGAUGAAGCAUAGUUUUGAGAGAAACUACACUACAAUCGAAAUCCUUGACUCUCUCGAAUCGCUGUCAGGAGCUCGAAAAGGCGGUCGCCUUUUUCUGAGGUCUUCAAUGAUGGCAUCAAUGAAGGUGUUUCUGAUUGUUUCUAGAUUUGUAGAGAUGCUCUUUGUAGAGAUGGCCUGACGAGAACCGCGAGUGUCUUUCCCCUCUAAAAAAACUGAUGAACACAUCUCGUCCCAACCAAGGCAAGAAGAAGAAGAAGAAGCAAGCCAUUAAUCGAUCUCACCUGGGCAGCGAUGAUCUCAGAGCAGCUAAGACUAAGCAAGAAUUGUAAGUACAGAACACUCAAUAGAUCUACAAAUUGGAUCCAGAAAUUAGUCAAUGAGUCAAUGCAAAAGGGAAAAGGGCAAUUAUGCUUUUUGCGUUUUCACAUCUUUCUUCAGGAAAUUUCGGUGUGAAAGGAAUCCGCAUACUUUUGAUUUUUCAACCCAAGAAAAUGCGAAGAAGAAGGGUACAAAGUAGUAAAUUUAAUCUACAGUUGCCUACCCAACACAACUCUCUUGAUUAAUAAUAUAUAUUUAAUUGGGAAAAGUAGUUUAGAGGAAGGAUGUUUUAUCUCCUUUUUCUUCUCUCUCGAACAGUCAAUCUUCCGUUCCCGUGCGAUUUAAUCAUGAUUAAAGCUAAGCUUAAUCUUAGGUCGUAUUAUUUAGGUCUAAUUGGAUUCUUAAUUCUUGUUGUGAUAUAGUAGUUCGAAGAUUAAAAAAAAUUAUGAUUUAAACGUUUGUGGUGAAAUCUGUUACGAUUUAGAUUCAAAAUUGAAAAUUUCGUUAACUCCAUUAAUUGUUAGCACAUGAAGAAACACUCACAAAUGAAACUAAAAAUAAUAAAGUUAGCCCUCACAUGUAAUCUUCACGUGCUAACAAUGAAAAGAAAGUUCCGUUUUAGCUUAAUAUAUGUGACUCACGUGUUAAUAAUUAACGGAAUAUUAACAAAAAAAUUUAUUUUAAGCAUAAAUUCAAAUAAACUUCACCACAUAAGCUUAAAUUCUAAUUUAGAUAUCUUCUAACUAUCUUAUCACCAUAAAAAUUAUAAUCAAAUUAAACUUAUUAUUUAUUUAUAAAUGCGUAACUAAAUCACAAAGUGUUGAAUGAAAGGGAGCACUCCAAAUGAUGAAAGGGGUAUGAUAUCCACACAUCUUUUUUUUUACUUCUUACACAUCGUUUUAAUUUUCGACCGUCGGAUCAAAUUAAUUGAAGAAUAUCAAAGGAUAAAAAUCAACAAAGGGUGUGUAAGAAGUAAAAAUGAGUGUGUGGAUAGCCAUCCAUGAUGCCAAAAUGAAGCAAAAAGCGGGAGCAUCGAAAGCUAUCUCCGUUUUGUUGUUCUAGCUUUGUCUUCUUUUGGCAGAUAGCUCCUAGGGACCGGCCUAUUUUCCACAGCUGGUUAUAGACUCAGUUGUGCUAUAUAGAAGGGAGUGUUUUGUUGUAAUUCCAAUAUCGAUGGAAAUCCAACAGCCAAAAUCUUUUCAAAUUUUUGUGAGGAUUUUGGGGUGUACGUAAAUUGAUUAUGUUUAUCGUAUAUUGUGUGAUCAUUUUUUAUCAAAUAUUAUUUGUGUUUCAUUUUAAAUAAAAUAAUUUAAAAUAAUUUUUAACUACAAGAUGUACGAUGAACAGAUAUAAUUCACAAAUCUCCAAAAUCCUUACAAAAAAAUCCGAAAAAGAUCCAAAUUCAAUGGAAAUAAGCUAAUUUUGAAUCAAAUUACAUUACUUUAUUUUGUAAAUAAAUUUAAUUUUGAAUUGAACAACACAUUCAUUUAUUAUGUAAGUAAUUCAUUUUGUAUGUAUCAUCAUAUAUAUUAGGCACAUUUUAUCAUAGGUGAUUUUGUGAAAAAUUAAUAAAAAGUUACAAUAUUAACAAUAGAUCAAUAAUAUUUAUGUUAAUUAUAAAUAGGUUAACCAUGUAUUGUGAUACUUAAAUACAUUUAAAAUAAAUAAAAAUUACAAAAUCUACUACUACAGCUAGCAUUCACUUCAACUAAAACUCUCUUCCACGUAGUUUUUAUAUUUGGAAUAAGUCAUACGAAUCAGAGACAUGAAGAGGUGUAAGAACUGUGAAUGUCCAACAACAAAGACUUCGGAGUUUGUUGUCGAAUAUCUGCAGCGCAUCAUUUCUGAUAGAUCAAAUCGAGCCAAUUCCCGCAAACUCCAAUCCCACCACCACCUUUCAAGCCGGCCUCAGCCCUCCGGGCGGCAUUUGGCAGGACAGCACUGGAUCAAACAAGAAUGGGACUGGCAGUGGGAGCAAUGAACGAGUACACUCAGCAGGGAAGUCCAUCAUGCGUUAAGGCAAAUGGUUCUCAAACACAAAGCAAUAGUUCGCUACCGAAAACAACCAAAGUCUGACAAAGGGAACCGUCUUACACCUAACCUGUUUUUCCCUCAUCAAAUGAGCGCGUUGAUCUGCAGAUAUUUUCUGCCAUCUCAAAACCUGUUACAAAGAAAUAUAACGUUGAUGUCGAGCUGGAUAGCAUAUUAUACCAAUUAUGUGUACAAACCUAUUGAAAUAAAGUAGCUGUAGUUGCAUAUUACGACAGAUAUUAACGAAAACAAAAGAAGGCUCGCCUAUUCAAGAUCCUAAAUCCCAUGAUUCUUUUGUUUUUAGUUUCAGAAAUUUUCAGAGCACAAACUGGAAAGUACCAAGAUACUUACAUAUUGGGCAUAAUGAAAUGCAUCUUCAUCUUUCAAGCAAGAUUUGAGUGAGCGCAAACCGUCCUGAGAGUUACAUAGAGUCAAUCGGUAAUAUAAAAACGUAGAUGCAUCACACCCAAACACAAGUAUUCAAACACCGACAACUUCUUCAUGCGGUGAGGCAUGUUAAAAAAUAGGGAAGAACAGUUAUUGAAUAGGAAGUUAAAGGACUAAAUUUAUGACCUUGUGUUUGUAGUUCUUGGCUCGUAUGCGUUCAUCUAUUACAAAACCAAUCUGUAACAGGUACAACAGAAAAUAUAAGCAGUAGUCAGAACAUUAAGCAUCGGCAUUCACAUUGCCGCCAAUCCAAAGUUAAAAGUCUAAAGGCAAAACAGUAUGAUUCUUAUCUCUCAAACAAAAAUGAAACUAUACCCCAGACAUAAAUGAAAUAAGUUCUACUGCCUCAACUGAGUACUGUGAUUAUAUAUAAAUCCAAUUCACCUUGUCAAGUAAUCUCUUAGGAUCUUGAAAUGCUUGCUUCUUAGCCCAGUCAUUAAAUACAUGCGAGAUAAUCGAUCUCUCAUCCACACUGAAUCUAUUGUACAGUGACAGAAUAAUAAAGUUAAACAUGAACAUAACCAACCAAAAAUGCUAGUUAUAAUAGUACACCCAUAAUUGCAAGCAAAACCUUUUUAAGAAGCCAUUUCCAUGGUUUUCCUCCCCAAAUUCCAUCAAUUCUGCAGAGGCAACGUCAAAUUUACUAUGAUGGAGAUCAUUUUGAACCAUAACAACUUCAGAAGGUAGGAGAUUUGGUUUGAGAUCAUCUGUUGACGGAGUAGUUUCUUUUGAAGGGUCAUGAUGCUUUGAUUGCAAGCCUUCUGUACUUACGUCAGCCUACAAAACAAAAAUUGCAUUCAACCCACACUAGACUUAAUAAGAUUAGAAACACUUCAGAUUCUUCAUUAUUUGUAAGUUUGACUAAACAGCAGAACAACUGAGGAUAAUGAACAGUAAUACACACCUGGACUUCUCGUAGAGAUUUGGAAUUUCUUUCAGAAAUCGCGAAGGUUGAAGCAUCUGAAGGAGUCACCUUCUCAGUCAGAGCAACAACAACAAAUAAGGAGGACAGGAAUUCAAGCUAAAACGUACCUGCCAACUGGAAUCCAUCGUAACAUAAAGAAUGAAAAGCUUUUUUCGAGCACGAGUCAUUGCAACAUAUAAUAGGCGUCUUUCCUCCUAUGAUUAGAGUGGGAUUAUUGAGUUAUUGACCAAAAGAAAAAAGAGUGGGAUUAUUGUGAAAAACACUUCAAAGCUCUGCAUAUAACUGAAAAAUGUUGAACAAUUUACCCCACACCUCAAUGGAGGUCCCAUUUUCUUUUGCAACGCCAUUGAAUUCAUGCAACAACGGGAUCUCAGAUUCAUUUACCUGUGUUAUUGGCAUGAGCAUUAAAGCAAGCUAAGAUGAUUUGAAGAGGUUGAUAUCGUCAUGAUUAUAGUAGAACAGAAUACCAAUUUCAAGUCAUCAAUUAGGUAUAGCAUUGGCAUGUUUAAUCAGUAAAUCUAAUGACAGAACACCUCAACUCUACACAUAAAUAAAUAAACGGUCGUACCCAGUGCACAAGGCUCCCGCUUUACGCAGGGUCUGGGAGAGGUGAAUGUCGGCUAGCCUUACCCCCAUUUAUGGAGAGGCUGCUCCCAAGUCUCGAACCCGAGACCUACCGCUCAUGGGCGAAGGCACUUGCCAUCGCACCAAGUGCGACCUCUACACAUAAAUAAAUAAACAACCUGAAAAAUAUUACAGCCACUUGUUAAGGCAAAUACCUUAAUUAUGAAAACUAUAUCCCACUCUAAACCUUUUGACUGCAAGAGAAUGAAAAAGAAAGACAGUAAGCCAAGAAUGUUUUGUAGAACUCCAAAGGAAGUCCAAUAGGGAAAUCAUCGCAAGUACAAGAGUUAGCGAGGUUCGCAUAAGAGGAUAUCAAAAAGAUCUAUAACCUGAUGAAUAGUAGUCAAAGUGACAGAACUUUGGUUGUCAUGUCUUCGGGAGUGAAAAUUUUCACUCUCCCGCUCAGAUAUGUAGUCGAUGAAUGCUUUGAGUAAAUUAACGCAGCCUUUUUCUUCUGCUACGACUUCUCUCUCCCCUUUUCCCGCAACAAAAUGAGUUGAUAAGAAAUCAGAUACGUCGUCUAGUAGGUACUGAAGAACCUGCAAUGAGAAUAAUCGCAUCACAACAACAGAGUUGGACCAAGAUUUAAGUGACAACAAUGAUUAACUAACUAAAACAGAGAAAUUAUUCAUUUAAGACCUUGUUGACUGAAAAAAGGGUUUUCCAAGCAGCGGGUCAUUUAAGCUUAUUGUAUAAAUGACAAUCAUCACAAACGGCAAACUUACAGAUCUCACGUCAUUGUCUUCAUUCAGCAGUUUUCCUCCCUCUAUAUCAACGACUGCACGUUGCUCAAGACGGUACUUCUAAAAAUUGAAAGUCAAACGAUAAAUGAUUAAGAAGUAUUGAAUAUAAGCAUGAAACGAAGAAAAUGUUAUGGAAUGGUGAUCCUCAUCCUCAAAGAUGAUUAAAAGCAAUUUGAUUCAAAAAUGACAUAUCAACUCUGGAGAAAUGGAAGACAAACCUGUGGUACCAUAUUCGCAACUGAGGUUAUGACAGCUGAAAUCGAUUGUUCCUGUGUGCAUUAAUAAGUGAGACUACCAUAGAGAUUCACAACUAAAUAAAGACAGGUAUUCCACAGAACAACCUUUACCUCUUUGGAAACACAGAUCUAACAAAAACUAUAACAUUUUGGAUUAAUAUUGACGAAUCAAGAAUAAUGCAAGGGAGCAAGAGAUACUCUUCCUUCUAAUAACAAGGAGGUGUGAAAAGUAUACAGAGUUCCAACAAUUAGAGAACUAAAAUCAAACUAAAAAAAUCACCAAAGUAGACAGAAUCUCACUUCGCCAAAAAUUUGAAAAUAUAUCCUUUUUAUCCAUUGAGAUUCAUGAACUACUACUACUACAUCAUGCCAAUAAGCAAUGCGUAAGAGGUGCUACAAUUUACCGAAUAUAUUUACCCUGAGAACAAGUUUUGAAAUCAUCUCUAGUGUUAACAGCACCUUGCGUCCUUGGGUAAGCUGAGUCCUAUUAUCAAGUAAAGAGACCAAUCAGUACAUAUCCAAAAAGAUCUUAAAUGCUUGUAAUACCAAAUAAGAAAGAAACAUGAGUAUAUCUUGAAUUAACCAUGCAAAAAUGUAAUGUUAAAGCAUCUUGUCAUACAGACCUCUUCAAGGUACCAGAAAUUUUUGCACUAAAGAUGUCACAAGCAGCUGAUAUGAAGCUGCAUUUUCUGUGAGUUGAAAUUUUGUCAAUAUAAUCGAUCACCUGAAGAGAGAGAGAGAGAAAAAGACAGUGAUAUCCAGAGAUGUGAGCCUAAAUGCUGAGUGUGUGUAAAAAAAAGAAGAUUAAAUGGAUAGCAAGAAUAUACAACUUUAAUGCUGAAAAGAACAUUGAAUAUGAUGUUCAUUCAUCAUUCCCAUUGAACGUGUACCUUCUUCUUUUCCUCUUUCUCAAAAGCAAGUAGAGCCUUGAAGACUUGCCUAUAUGAUCCAUCAUCACAACCAGGCAAAGUUGUUUUAAUCAUAGCAACAAUGGCUCUAACUACCUGCCAUAAGAAACAUGCUACAUCAACAAGAUCACAGAGUGUACCAGAAACCGUAAUGUAGCAAAAUCUUGGAUAAAAUAGCUGGCCAAAAGGGAAUGGAAAAGCAAGCACGAAAAACAAUGAAAAGGACCAGUGAUGCCAAAAUUCUGGUGGAAAAGGUGAAAAGCUUAUGUCUAUUACAGUUCUUGUAUGCAUUCUUUAUAACUUAAGUUCUACGUAGCAAAAACCACCUUAUGCACAACAAUAUUGGAAAAAUUAGAUACAUACAACUGAGAAGAUAGGUUUUCAUAAUCUGGACAAGUGCUAACUACCUUCUUCCUAUAAACUGCCACUCCAUGAACAUUAAAUGGUAUUUUCCUUUCACGCAAGGCUGUCUGGAAGACUUUUCCUGAUACCUGUAGCAUAAAAUACAAAAGAAAAUGUGACCAAAAUGUCUUAUAUGAUUCACCUCAUUCACAUUAGCACUAAGGCAAGUAAGCUUGACCUGCCUCCGGUAAAGGAUUGCUAUAUUUCCAUAGAAGCACCCUGCUUCUGACCGUUUAGAUGCAGUCUCCAGGAUCUUGUCGACAACAAAGGCACAUUGUGCAUCCUCAUUGUGACUUUCCUUGAUAAUUACCUACAUUUUGCCAGUAAAACCAGUGUCACUAACUAAAAGGACUGAAAAAUGACAUCAAAUUGUACUUGUUGGAGCAAGGAAAGAUUAAGUACCUUAGACCCAGAAGAAUUGUCCGUGUCAACAUUCUUUAGUUGGCAUCGCUUCUUAUUGUUUUUUAUAACAGAAGAUGCAGCUUCCACAAUAUAGCGUGUGGACCGAAAGUUUUUAUUAAGCCUAAUCUGAACCAUAAAGUUAUGUCAAAUCCCACAGAACCCCAUAAAAUAAAACUUACUUUCCUGUAAUUGUACAAUAUAUUUGUUCUAUACUAUAUAUAAUGAAAAAAGACACUGUGAAUGACAUAAGAUAACAUAGCAGUCAAGUGCGAAGCGAACCUCUUUGUAAUUUGAAAAAUCUUUACGAAAAGAAUCAAAUCCAGAAAUGUCCGCCCCAUUGAAACUGAAAAUGGACUGCAGCAGGAUAUAUGUUAUUUGAUUUAGAACAGAUAAGGGCUGGAUUAGAAUGAGCUGAGAGAGAGAGAGAGAGAGAGAGAGGGAGAGAGGGAGAGAGGGAGCAAUAACAUUGGAUUUCCAUAAUAAAUCAACAACAUGCCUGAUCAUCAUCACCAACAAUGGUUAUGUGGUUAUGAGAGGCGAGAAUCCGCAAAAGACUAUAUUGCAUAGCACUUGUGUCUUGAAACUCGUCUAUUACAAUAGCUUUCCAUGACUCCUGGCACUCCUUCAACACUAAUUAAGAGAACACCAUGUAUCAACAUUUAGCAUUACUUGUAAAACUAGAUAAAUCAAUGAAAUAUACUUAGAUGAUAGAGACCUUCAGGAAAAUCACUUAGCUUAGCAGCUUCACAGAGCAGCUAAUUAAGUCGUGGUAGUCCAAAGCGUUGCACGAUUUCAAGAUAUCAUUGUAAUUCCUAAGAAUUUCACCCUGAUUCAGAUUGAGAGCUAAAACUCAUAAGCAAUAGUUUCAAAGAACUGAAAUGAUAUCUGAAAUUCUAGUUCUGAGCGUACUCCUGUCACAUCACCCAUUCUUCGGCAUUCAGCGGGAGUCUUUCCAGAAGCUUUUGCCUGAAACAUAAAUAAAUUUAUUGCCUAAUGCCACAUAUUGUAAGACACACCAUUGUAUUGGUCAUUCUAGCUUGAUUGUAGCUAAUAUUUUUUAAAUCGAAUGAUUAGAGUUCUUAAUCCACAAUAAUCUGAACAUUAAAUUUCGUAUUCAAGACUAACCUGUGUCACAAACUUCAGCCAUUUCUUUGAUGCAUCCUUAAAAUGAUGUGGAGAUGUUACGCCGUUAGACUCUUCCCCAUCUAUAGCAACAUUAAGAUUCGUUUUACUCUUUUCAUCUUCUGAUAACCGCACAGCUUCAAUGAUUGCUCUUCUCUGUUGCCCAUGUCCAUAUAUCAAAAAUUCUGGUCUGCGCUCGAGUCUAAAACACAAGCCAACAUAACAGACUCAGCUGUACCACCAUAUGUAUGGUGUUCAAAAUCAAGGGAGGUGAAUCAAUAGCUUACUUCUCAGCAUGUGAUCGGCAAAGUUGCAAUGAAAAUGAAUGCAAUGUACUGAUUGUUAGUAGUUUUGCCGUUGCUUUCCCAGUCACAGAUCCAAUUCGAUCUCUCAUCUCGGAAGCUGCUGCUGUAGUGAAAGUCAUUGCUAGAAUGUUCGACGUGCUGAUGCCCUAAGAACACAAAAAAAAAAAAAACGAAUAAGAUUUCGAUCAUAAACAAGAAAUGUAGAGAAACACACAAUUAUGAAAGAAAAAGUUAGGGGGAAGUAGCAACACCUCAUUGAGCAGCAUUAGAACGCGCCCAACAAUCAUCAAAGGUACUGAAAUAUCGCUGCAAGCUGCCUCGCGCUGCCUUUCGUUGAGAGAAAGCUAAUACUUCAAAUACUCAUCCGGCAUGUUAGGCAAUCCAUGGUUAACGGAAUCCGUUUGGUUUUCACUACUCAAAGGCGGCGCUGAUGCGGCACGAACGUCACUACCACAACUCCCAAUAUCAUCACGCUGAAUGUCCACACUUGGUUUCUGCUCAAUUAAAGCGUCAAUUUCCUGCAAAAUACUCUCAUCGAAAUCAUCAUCGUUAAGAAUUCCAGAUGCAGAGAAAGAAUCAAAUGAAGUCAGAAACUGAUGUCUGAUUGGAGUUGUGAAAGAAUCCGAUUUUGACACGCUUGAUUCUGUCCGGCUAACGCUUAAGCUCCCGGAACACGAAGCACUGCCAUAUUCACCACGCGCUGAAUUGUACCGGCUUGCGGAAAUCGGAGGCGGUGUUCUUUGAACUCUAUUGAGCUGAGUUGGCGUUUGGAUUCCAUUUCCGCCACAGAUUCUGGAAUUUGAAAAACACAAUUGAAUUGAUUUAAAUUGAAGCAAGAAAACAGCCGAGUAGCCAAAAAAUAGUAAGAAGAUGAAACCUUUGAUUCCUGAACGACUUACUUGGUAUGAGGGAGGUGAUGAUCAGGUGAAACGGCGUCGUUGCGGGGGCGUUUGCGAUCAAUGAGGGCCUUGGCGGCUCUGAAAUUCCGAGAGAUGCGGUUUCUUUGUUCCGCCGUGAGCCCUCCGCCGUACGCCUGAACGUUUUCCUUGGACAUUGCUUCGAAGAUUCCAACGGAGGAUUUGGCCUGACGGCCUGACCAGGCUGAUAACAGUGUAAAACCUUAGGAGCUAAGGAAAAACUAAGAGAGAGAUCGUAGAGAGGGAAAGUUUUUUCUUUUUGGAAACCAGUAGAGAGGAAAAGUUUGUUAAACCUGAAUAAUAUUCUUUUGGCCUAAUCGGAUAAAUGGUCCCGUGGUCAUAAGGUAUUCGGAUGAUAGGCCUGUGGUAAAAAAAUUCAGAUUUAAACCCCUGUGGUCUAAAUCUGUUAGGAUUUAUGCCCUUUUGUUAAAUAAUGCUGACGUGGCUGCCACAUAUAUGCCACGUGGCUGCCAAAUGUCUGCCAUGUGGCAAAAAUAAUAAUUUUUAAUUUUUUUUUUUAAAACCUGAAUUUUUACAAAAAAAUAAAAAAUAAAAAACCCAGUCCGGCGAGGGGGGGAGCUGGUCUCUGGCGGGAGGAAGAAGAAGAAGAAGAAGAAGAAGAAGAAGAAGAAGAAGAAGAAGAAGAAGAAGAAGAAGAAGAAGAAGAAGAAGAAGAAGAAGAAGAAGAAGAAGAAGAAGAAGAAAGAAGAAGAAGAAGAAAAGAAGAAGAAGAAGAAGAAGAAGAAGAAGAAGAAGAAGAAGAAGAAGAAGUCGCGCGGGGAGACCGGCGGGAAGAAGAAGAAGGAAGAAGGAGAGGGAGGAGGGUCGCGCGGGGAGAGGGCUCCGGCGGGGGGGGGGGGGGAGCUGGUCUCCGGCAAGAAGAAGAAGAAGAAGAAGUCCAGCGGGGGGGGAAGGGCGAAGGGCGGGGGGAGCUUCUGGGUUUUUUUUUUUUUUUAAAUUCAGGUUUUUUAAAAAAAAAAUUAAAAAUUAUUAUUUUUGCCACGUGGCAUAUAUGUGGCAGGCACGUCAACAUUAUUUAACAGAAGGGCAUAAAUCCUAACAGACUUAGACCACAGGGGUUUAAAUCCGAAAUUUUUUACCACAGGGGCUAUCAUCCGAAUACCUUAUGACCACGAAAACCAUUUAUCCGAUUAGGCCUAUUCUUUUCAUUCAACUUGUCUACAAUAAUUACUAUUGGAUAAGUAUAUAGGCUGUGUCAUUACUACUACACGUGCAAAACAUGUGCACAUAUGGCUUACUAGAUAGAAUAGUAUAAAUACCUUUUCCUUUCCUUUAUUUUGUAAGAGGUUGUAAUACCUAAAACAGUUAGAGAAAUAUAUUGUAAUUCUUUCUGACUUCUCCUCUAAGCUUCCUUCUUCAGUGUAUUUCUUAAUUUCUAUGGAAUUCAUCUCUACUGUUAAGAUGGUAUCCAGAGUCGUUCUUGCUUGCGCAAUGGUACUGGUUCAUCGUUUCCAUUGCUUCGACUGGUAAGAAGGUGAUAUUGCUUAUGGGCUUUGUCUCUGGAUAUUUGUUCUUUGCGUUGGAAACCCUAAAAGAGUUUAGUGUUCUUCUUCUGAAAUUUCGUUUGAAUUGAAGUGUAAUUGAAGGCCGAUGCCAUAGUUUUUUGGUUAAUUGAAGAGUUAUAUGUUGAUUUGAUGAAAGGCCGAUGCCAAAAUUUGUUGAGAAUUUUCAAUUUCUUGAAGUGAUUUGAGUUGAUUGAAGGCCGAUGCCAUAGUUUUUUGGUUAAUUGAAGAGUUAUAUGUUGAUUUGAUGAAAGGCCGAUGCCAAAAUUUGUUGAGAAUUUAGUUUCUUGAAGUAAUUGAAUAGAUUCAAGGACGAUUGCCAUUGUUGGAGUAUAUAUGUGAUUCUUGCUUCUCUGCGAUCGUAGAGUGAUUGUCUUCGUAGUUGGAAAUCAGAUUUGCAAUUCUUGUUCAUCUGGAGUUAUCCACCGAUAUCAUUAACAUAUAAUAAGAGAACAAUAAUUGAUGAACCAUCACACUUGACAAAUAAAGAAGGAUCUGCAUAUGAUGACUUGAACCCAAGCUUAGGCAAAUAACCUGAAAACAUGUCAUGCUAGGCUCUGGGAGCUUGCUUGAGACCAUAUAAAGACCUCUCCAGUUUGCACACAUAAUCUGGAUAGGUAGAAUCCACAAACCCUUAGGGCUGAGACAUAAAAACUUAUUCCUCAAGAAAGCCAUGCAAAAAAGCGUUAUUGACAUCUAACUGUAUGAGUUUCCAAUUAUGAGAUGCAGCCAACGAUAGAACCAAUCGAACUAUGGUUGGUUUGAUCACAUGGCUAAAGGUUUCAUAAUAGUUAAUACCAACUUCUUGAGAAUACCCCUUAGCUACAAGUCUAGCCUUGUACCUAGCCACUGAACCAUCUGGAUUUCUUUUAAUCUUGUAGAUCCAUUUACAACCAACAAGAUUUUUGUCAGAUGGUAAGGGCACAAGCUUCCAAGUACGUUGUUGAAUCAAAGCAUCCAUCUCUUAUUUCAUGGCAUUUUGCCAUUGAACACACUUGAUUGCACUAGAAAAAGACUUAGGUUCCUUGAUUUCAGAAGCCUGAUCCACCUUAGCAGAAAACACCUUCUUUUUCAUAAUCCUAGACUUAGACUGGGUUUGCAUGGGAUGACAAUUUUGAGCAUUGAUACACACUAGUUGGAGAUCAUCCACUUGAGACAUUGUAGUAUUUGGAUGAUCUUUUGAAUACACAGUAGGCAAAACCUCUGAAGAAGGCACACCACUUGUGGAAUAAGAGACAAGAUCACCAGAACUAGUGGGUUGAGAGGAUGAUGACUGAGUAACAUGCCGUGAUUUAGAGGUAAGAGAAGUGGGACCAAUAAAUGGAAAUGUGGAAGAAACACUAGGUGGAUGAAUGAAUGUGUUUGAAUGCACAACAGACACUGGUGAGGAAGAAUGACCAGAAGUAACUUGAGGAUUGAAACCCAAAGCAUUAGAGUCUGUAGGAAACUUGGAUUCAUAAAAAAUAACAUGUCUAGAUACUAACAGUUUCUGAUCUUUGAGAGAGAAGCAAAUAUACCCUUUGUAUUGUGUAGCAUACCCCAGAAAAAUACACUUAGUAGUUUUAGGUUCAAGUUUAGUGCUUCUAUAGGGUUUCAAUGAAGCAUAACAUAAACACCCAAAAAUUCUCAAAUGAUCAAGCUUAGGUGGAGAUUUAUAUAGCAUUUCAAAAGGAGACUGCAUAUGUAGGGUAGGUGUGGGCAUUCUGUUUAUAAGAAAAGUAGCAGUGGCACAGGCAUGGAACUAGAAUUUUGAAGGUAAUGAAACUUGUUGUAAAAAGGUAAUAGCUGUUUCAACAAUAUGUUGAUUUUUUCUCUCAGCUAACCCAUUAUGGUAUAGGGUAUAAAGACAAUAUUUUUGAUGAACAAUGCCUUUGGUAAGAAGAAAUUGCUUAAACUGAGUACUAACAUAUUCCCCACCCCUAUCACUUUGCAAAAUUUUUACAUGAGCAUCAAAAUAAAUCGAGACAAAAGUAAGAAAGUUGACAAAAACAGUGAACACUGCAAUUUUAUUAUUUAAUGGAAAAAUCCAAGUAUAUCUUGUACAUUCAUCAAUGAAGGAAACAUAAUACUUGUAACCUUCUAUAGACAGACUAGGUGAGGGACCCAAACAUCUAUGUGAAUUACUUUAAAUGGAGUAAGUAACUUCGAAGCAAUUACAGGAAAAGGGAACUUGGUAAACUUGCCUUGCAAACAAGCUUUACAAGUAUGAGAUUGAGAGUUACAAGGAAAAGAUAUACAAGACUUAUCAAGUGUUGCAGUGACAAUGGAAUGUGCAGGAUGACCUAAUCGACAAUGUCACAAUGUAGAAGAAAUCUUUUAUCCCACAAAUGCAACUGGAUUAAAAACAGGAGAAAUAGACCUCUGUGGUUUGAUUAUGGGAAGUGGAUAGACAACAUUAUUACUCAGCCCUUGGAAUAGCACUCUCCCGGUGACCUUGUCCUGUAGAUAGAGAGAAACAUCAUUAAUGAUACAACGACACUGAUUAUCUUUGCACAACUGAUUCAUAGAUAAUAAGUGUUGUGACAGUUUUGGAACAUGUAACAUAGAGUUUAACUUGAAAUUAUGUGACUUAGUGAGAAGAGAAGAGGAACCAAUAUGUUUGAUAGCUAAACCUUCACCACUAGCACUGGUCACAAUAUCAUUUGAUGGAUAAAUUUGUUGCCAUGUGCAAGUUUGACAAAUCUGAGGUCAUAUGGUCCAAGUCAAGAAACCAGAAAUCUUGUUGAAGAGUUGAGGAUGAUGCACCAGCUCGUGCUUGCAUAGCAAGAUGAAGAUUUUGUGAGGAUGUAGUUGAGAGAUAUGGUAUGACAAGAUACUAAAACUGGGAGCUAUUAGACUGUGGAAUCAUGCCUUGUGAAGGACCACAUGGAUUCUAGCUAGGUGCUUCACCAUAUAACCCAGUAGGCAUUGGAGUUGGCAUAGAUGAGGAUAAACCCUGAGAGAAAUGCUCUGAUGUGCCUGUAAAAUUCUUAUUCCAAUCAAAGCAAGUAGCAGCAACAUGGUGACAAAUUUGACAUCCAUGUUGAAAACAAUUCAAUGCAGAAUGACCUUUGCGAUCACAUAUUUGCAGAAUGACCUUUGCAACCCUAGAAAGAAGAAGGAGUGAAGAAGACCAAAUGUGUACGUUUCUCUUUGAUUGUUUUUCCCUCCUAAUCGCGCAGUUCGAAAUCACGGACCUCGGGCCUCGGCCUAGUGGGCCCAAUUAUGAGGCCCAUUAUCUCCGGUCUUCUCGUUCUACUUCUAGUUACCCAAAUUAAGAACGUACUGGUUCGCUUUUAGCGCGAGAGAGAAAUGGAGGCCCUGAUUGCCUCGUACGGAGACUCGUCGUCGGGCUCAGACUCCGAGUCGCCGGCUCCACCUUCACCACCACCUCCGGAGCUCAACAACCCUCAAGAACCGACCCCUGCGCUGCCUCCACCUCCUCUUUCACUUCUCGACAGCCCCAAUUCCUUCGGUAACCUCUGAUUCCCAUCAAUUUCAUCUUUUAGCUUUCUGCUGUGAUGGCUUUUUCCGAGUUGCCCACCAAGUGUUUGAUGUUUUGCCUCUGAAGGAUUUCUGGACUUAUCGGCAAGCGCCCAGCCGAGCAGAGUUCGGAACUUUCCUCACGUCGAAGGGAACUACGCAGUACAUGUAUACAUCCCAGGUUAUCAAAAUUCUCGAAAUUUUCAGCUCCAUUAGCAAAUGCGAUCGCUUUGCACUUAGUUUUUGCUUGUUUAAUUGUGUGGUUCCAGUUUAUAUACCACCAGCACCAAGGAAAGAGAUGGCCUUGUUUUUGAACAAGCUAGCUUCUCUGGUGCCUGGUCUCCAUGCGGUUGACGUUGACUUCCCGCUUGACAUUCUGCGUAAGGACGAGCACAAGCUUGAACAAGUUGCUUUAGGCAGAGAGUUCCAUAUAAGUCUCGGAAGAACUGUUCCGAUUCGGGUGCACCAGAUUGAUUCCUUGGUGACAAUGCUGCGGCAGAAGCUUCAGAUUCAGAGGCGGUAUGGUUACAUUUACAUUCUCUUGUCCGCAUUGCGUGAAGUUAGUUCUGUUAUUUAACAUAAUUCUGUAAGCCUGCAAAUUUUUUGUCCAUUUUCGGUUUAACACAUUUUGUUAUUGUGAAACAGGUAUUGGAUUGAUUUUAGCAAGUGGGAGGUUUUUGUUAAUGAUGAUCAGACCCGGACCUUUGUGUCUAUCGAAAUCAUUGCUGCUGGGUUAGCUGAGGUAUGAUUGCUAGCUUUCUCUCUUGGUGCAAUUCUAAAUGUUUUCAGUUGUUAUAUGGGCUUAAGAUUUAGUAAGUACUUGCCGAAGGUCAUGGGAUUUUGAAAUAUUGAUAUCUUGCUUGCUUAUUAGCUUAGAUUUGGUCUUCGAUGCACUUGUAACAUGAAAAACACAAACGAAAACUAAUGCAUGAUAUGCUCAUGGUUUUAACAUGUGUUGUCCUGGCGUAAAUCAUGUUCCUAAUCCUGUCAUGUGAGUAUAAGCCUAUGAUACUUAGGGCAUGUUUGGCGGGCCGGACAAGAUUGGAAUUGGUAUUUCAGACUAGUUAGGUUAGGAUUGAACUGGAUAGGAUAGGUUUUUGGUCUAAAGAUUGGUGUAGACUGUCUUAACGAUGGGAUUUAAAACGUGAAACAGAUCUGCGACAUCCCAACGAUGACCCGCCCACCCAACAACUCUGCUCGUGACUUGCAACACCUCUCGUACCCUCCACGCCCCUUGAGGCCCGUCAGACCACUCUGAUAUCCUGGAGAGGUGAAACGUGGUUACUAGAAGCAUACCUGUUUUCGUAUUAAUGCACGGUUGAAGCAGCUUUCAUUGUCUACAAGUCUGAAAUAUUUCAACUUCCAUUGAUUUCAGAUAACAAAGCAGAUUCAAGCUGUGAAUGAGGUGUAUAAGCUUUUUCGUGUUUUUCAAACUCGAAAAACAAGAUUGUGCCUGAAUACUACUCAUUGCUCAAAAAACUAAAUCACUUCAUGGGGUGUUGGUGAUCACAGGAUCCGCGCCCUCACAUCUCGGUAGCUUGGGCAUUGGGUGACAUCAGCAAUUCCCUGAAGAAAGUGGUUGAAGAAGAAAGACGAAGAUCUACCAUCGGAGGAUCGUUACAGAAAUGUAUUUUUACCAGUAAAUUCAAUGGUAUCGAAUGUAGGAUUGGUAAUAAGACACAAAAUAUGUAAAUUUUCUGAACAAUAAUGUAGCCAUUUAACUGUAUCGUGAAAUUCCGAGAAUAUAUCGCUGAGCAUUGGAUGAGAAGACAUUUCUUUGUUGGUGUCGAACUUCUUGUCGAAGGUAUUGGCACCAGUGUAAACGUCAUCAUCCAUGUUGAUGGUAAUUACUUCCCAGCUACCAAGGGUGUCGGAACAACCUUGCACGCAGCCUCCUGUGCAUUACUUAAUAUUGUCUCAGUUUCUCCAAACUUGAAUGCUCCUGUAAACCCACUCUUGACCUUUCCGUCAUCUGCAAUUACAGGAAAGCUGGCUAGGAUGUUGCCGUUAACCUACCUAACUGGCUAGGAUGUAGCCGUCAUCUCCAAACUUAAAAGACCGGAAAGCCGGCUCCAAACCUCAAUGUGCUACUAGUUUUUGUAUGCGAGAGCUCCACCUCCAUUGUUGUAACAGCAUCUGAUGCGGACUAGUCCUUCAUUCCCGUUACUCUUUGCUAUCUCCACUUCAAACUUGGCGUAAUGGCUCCCGGCCGCCUCUCCGGUGAAAUUGAGAAACCCUGGGAAACCCUGGAGCUAGGCGUUUUCAUUCUGUUGUCCGUAUAUCUUGAUAUUACAAGUAUUUGUUGUGCAAAAUGCAAGCUAAGUUCAAGUUAUGUUUAUGUAUGUGUGUGUGUGUGUUGUCACUUCGCCACUUUUCCAACGUUUUCUCCAAAAUUGUGAUUUUGGUGUUGUUCUAACUUUGGUGAAUGCUAAUAACAAUUCCCUCGUUAACCAUUGGGACGAGCAACAAGGCAGUUUUGAUUCCGUGCACAACGGCGAUACCUCGAAAGAAAUUGAUUCUUCACCAGAAAGAUGUUUUAAAACAAAGUUGAACAGUUGAUGUAUACAGACGUUCCUUGCUUAUGACACGACUUAUGAGAGGAUGUAUGUAUUGCAUUUGCAUCAAAAGAAAGAAAGAAGGUUGUAAGUGGUAAGGGAACGACUACCGAUGCCGCUCCACUUCUAAUCAAAGGGAUCGAUCCGAGGGUCGUGUUCACUUGCCAUCGCUAUUCCAGUGCAAAGGCAUGUCGGGCACAUUACCUGCCACAUUUACGGACGCAAUGUUAGAUAUAGCUGCCAUUUGGAAGUCAUCUCUCAAAAUUUUGCUACUAAAUUAAUCUUAAACGUCAUUUCCAGUGCAAUUUUUUUCUUCUGAAUUGUCUUUCACAUGCCCGACAAAUAAAAGUAUCACCAAACAUGUGAAUAUAGUGCAUCUAAGCGGCAGGCACUAAAAGGAAUUUAGUAUGCAAUAAACAUUCAACGGACAUAAUUAUAUGUCUAACCUUUCCCGCUCCUGAGCAAUUUGAACAUCGUUCAGUUUUUGGCAGAGAUAGGGGUUGGUUUCCGCCAUCAGCUGUCGAUAAUGGUUCAGUAAGAACAAGGGUUCCAGUGCUGGAGCAACGAGCACAAGCAAGAUAUCCUGCGUAAGUAUCAAAUACACAGGUAAGUUGACAUAUGAAACCAAUCCGAACAUCUCCAUCGUAUAUAUUUAAAGCUACAGUACAUAAAACUAAAAGUCAGAAAUAGAGGACAUUAUCACACCAGUUCCAAGACAAUAUUUGCAUCGUUUAUGCUCCUGCUGUUUCGCAUUGUUUAUUUCAACUACCAUCAAUGCUGAGAUCACUCCAACUGCUCCUCCAGAAAACGACGCCACUAUGGGAUCAACUUGACUGCAGUUUGAAAGUAUAGGAGAUCAAUAAACGAAACUGGUAACAACAUGGUAUCAACAUUAUUUAGCUUCGUUUCAAGAUAGCUGACAUCCUGGGUUUUUCUAAUGUGUAAAAAUUGAGGAUCCUUGUAAAAUUUGACUAUAUCAGUUCCCAAAGUAUUUGAUUCCUAUGUUACAGACCGAAAACAGUAACAAUUGAAUUUUUAGAUUCAUAACACGAUAGAUGGUACAAAAUUUCAAAACGAUAAUUACUAGAGAACAGGAGGGCUAAUAGCCUGAGAUAUGAGCCAUACCUCAACUGCAACGGCAGAUGCAUAUUUACUAUAAAAUCUUUAUACGAUGUGCCUCCUAUUCCAAGCUUCAACUCCAACUGAAAGAUGUAAACGUAAUUGUCGGCAGAGAGUUAGAAACAUAACCGAAUCCAUGUUUUAUAAGCAGAAACUACACUUAUUUGACAUGUUUCCUCGUUUUUUUACUUGCAAAUUCAAAACCGUAUUGUCGGACCAGUAAAAUAAAAUAAUGUUUACUAAUAACUGUUAAAACUAAUCACAACAAGUUAAUGCAUAAAGAACUUACGGAGGGUGCUAUGAGGCCACCGAAAAGGAUAAACCCCGCAAUAAUUGAAUAACAUACAGCAUAAUACUGCUUAAGGUUGUCUGAACUCUGCAACCAAUGCAUUCACCUUGUGAUUAAUACUUUGCACAAACACUAGUUUUCGCAGUUUUUUAUGAACCGACAAAAGGCUACAACAAAAUAUGGCUAAAACAAGUCCGGGAUAUGAAAAUACAUGUCUUCACAGGGUCAGCAGCUUACCAGGGGAGGCAAAAAUGGAAUGAAUGAUGGAAAACUAGGAAGUUCGUUUUCUUGAUCUUCAUUUACCGCUCCAAGCUCUGCGCGUUUAAUCCGCUGUUGUAUCCUCAGCCUGCGAACCUUCGCAUAUCGAAGCUCAUUCUUAAAGAACACAUUUCUAAUGGCAAUUGGAGAGUAAUUUAAAACAUGCUAAACUGAGAAAGUGGCAGCAACUAGCAAUUGCUCUCACCUCCUCCAUAUGCAAGAAAAUUUUGUUGCGCCGACUCCGAAUAUUAUCUUGAAUUUCUUGCAGCUCCAUUGUGGCAAAGUCCUGCACUGUUUCAGGCCCCUCUAUGAUACAAAAUCUGCACAAUUAAGCAUGUAAAAACUAAAAAUUACAGGCUAAAAAAGCAAUUUCCGUAUCAUUGCUCGGUUAAUUAACAUCAACAGCAGAUAAAUCACAUGGGUUUUUCAAAUGAAGUUACAAACUUUCAAAGACCAGUAAGCUGUCUGCAAUCUCAUAAAUUUCACAGUGCAAAGUAAAAAUCCAAAGCUUGGAACUUUAAAUUUCCAUUUUCUGUUAAUUUCCUAGAGAGAGGGGGGGUGGUACCCGGCGGGGUUUGUAUCGGCGGCGGGAUUGGGAUCAGAAUCGACAGACGGAGCGAAAGAGGAGGAGUCGGGCUCCGAAGCCAUGGCCAGGGAUCGCCAUCUGGAGCUGCUUGUUGAUAUGGGGCUUCUUGGGUAGCUGAAUUUGGAGCAGCCGGCGCUAUGCAGUUUGUACGGACUGCACCGAUUUACGGGGAAAGACACGGCCAAAAGUCUGCCGCAGCAGAGCAUCUCUCUCUCUCUCUCAAACCAGAAGGCAGAGCUUUCUGUUUCUCUUGAGGUUUCUUUCACUGGUAAAUUCCAGAGAAGCAGAGAAGAAGGCUCUCUGAGAAAUGGAGGCAAAACAAAUGUAAAUCUUGAAGCACCGACCAUGUGCAGAACACUUAUCAACUACCGAACUCUAGGAUUUUUAUUUUUUGGUAAACUACCGAACUCUACGAUUAGGAGAGAAACAAGGGGAGAGAGAGUGAGUGACCGGAAAAAAAUAAAAAAUAAAAAAAAUAUGGAGGGAAGUGGCUGAUUCUUCUCUCAUUUUUUCCUAUUGUUUUUCAGAAAAAAAAAAAUAAUAAUAGUAAUUAGUCGUUAGAUUCGAGUAGUCGUUCGGUAUGUCACAUUUAAAAUUUUAUUAUAGGAAGCAUAAGGUUAGGCCAUCUCCAAUCGAAUUAGGUCUGAAAGAUCAUGUUUAUCCUUAUAGUUUUGCAAGAAAUUAUAUUUUAAUAAACAAUGCAUGUCAUAUUUUAUACCAUCUCUAACCGGGGGGCCAAAGAAUCAUGGGCCAAACAUAGCCCUUUGACAAUAAACGCAUCUCCAACCGAGAGGGCCAAAAUGUCAUAGACCAAAAAUAAUCCCCUAAAGAAUUUAUUAUUUUAAUUGAAUUAAUAUAGUUAAUUAAAUUAAACUACCGUAUUAAAAUAAGGUUUUCUGACAUAUUUUGAGUGCCACUUGCCACAAUAACGAAGAAAGCGUGGUAUUGUUGCACUUGCUAUAAAGUCAAGCUUGACAUUCUGCCGCUGGAGAACUGGUUGGCUGACUGGAAAUGGCCAACCCGUUGGCUUGAUUUGGGGGUUUUGGCCAGAUGGGGCCCAACAAGCCAUUUGGCCUAGCCUUGCUUGAAGACGGUUUUCUUGUCAUUCCAAGCUAUUUUUAGCCCUAUGACCAUUUGAUUUGAUCGGUUGGAGAUGACUUUAGGUGCGGUGAUUGUCCUUGAGAUAUCGAAGGUUCUGUGUGAUCGAAUACUUCGUCCUCCUCCAAAGCCGCCACUGUUGAGAAGGUUACUUGCCUUAUGCAAACAUUAUGAAUUGCAAGUGAUGAAUUGUUCUGAUGAUAAGGUUUAUUUUUUAACUCAUUAUGUUUCGAGUUUAAACAUUUUUCCCUCUCUUUAAUGUAUAUAUUAAUGAAAUAUUGUUCGUAAUAAAAAAAUAAAAAAAUGAUACAUUCUCAUUCAUAUAUAAGAUGAUCAAGUCUGAAAUUAUUACUUUUAAUGAGUGACUUAGUUAACCAUUUUCAUUUCUUAUGCGUUCAAAAUUAGACAAAUUCUUUGCAAACAUUAAAAAAAAAAAAAGAUAUUAAGGAGACUUUGAAACUAUUACAUUAUGGGAGGGGGAAUUUCGAACUCGGGACUUCUGAGUAGAACCCAAAUGCUUCUCCACUAGGAUAUUAGACUAGUGCCGGUCCUGAAUUUUUUGGUGCCUGGAGCGAAUAAUGUGCCCUUUUCCAGUACAACAACAUAAAUUAAAAAGAAAUAUUUAAAGAGGGCUGGAACCCAGUCGAAGCUGGGGGGCUAGGCCCUCACGCCCAUAUUAUAUUACUUUUAAGAAUAAACAUACAACUGGGGGAACAUAGUAUCGAAAUCCCGACGAUCAAAAGCAAAAUAUAUACAACCACUCCAAGCAGUCAACAUGGCCAUCACAUAUUGAAUCCAAA